rnacentral:lncRNA from 1 species
UGACGUCGUCGAGAAUCCCGCAGAGACGCUCCGCCUCGUCGUCGUCGGCGGCGCUGCAGAGCCGCCCCACCAGGUCUCCCUUCGCGCGCCGGAACACGUGGCGUGAAAACUGGACUGGGUCGGCGGCUUCGAUGGCGUCGUCCACGGCGUCGAAGGCGACGUACAAGGUGUUCCACCGCCGGAGCAUCUGCCCGGCCAUGGCGGCGGCUUUUCGGCGAGCUCCUGCAAAUCUGUGAUCGAUUUGAGAUUGGAUGGGGAAGUGGGGAGGAGGAGGAUGGGAUGGUGCAUUGGGGAACGAAGAAUUGGUGAGCUUAUAUCUCCCGGCGAGCUCCUGGUCGAAUUCGGAAGCGCGUUUCGCUCUAGUCGGACGGAAUCCGAUUCAACAGCGGCAAACGCGUAUCAUAAUUCAUAUGCACGGCCAUGCCGCCGGCUCCCGCAAGAAACGGCGCAACAGGAGCACCGACGAUCAUGAGCUGACGCACGUGCUCGGGAAGGGCGGCUUCGGCGUCGUCGUCAAGGUGCGCCACGGCGGCACCGGCGUGGACGUCGCCCUGAAAUGCCUCACCCGCUCGCCCGACGACGGCAGCGUCAAGACGAGGCGCCGCGCCCUCGUGCUCCAGCGCAACCUGCUGCGUGAGGCGUGCUACCUCGCGGCGUGCUGCGGCCACCCCUCCGUCGUCGCCUUGCACGAGCGUGGCAUCGUCCACCGGGACAUCAAGCCCGGAAACAUGGCGGGCGCAUCGCCGCCGCGCGGACACGCUCUGGUACAUGGCUCCCGAGGAGCGCCUGUAGCGCGACGGGUUCGAGGUUUUAGAGAGGCUCCUCACGUGCGACCCCGGCGUGGGUCUGCCAGCGGCCAUGGCGCUGCAAUGCCUGUGGUUCGCUGGCACCGACGUCCCUGCCUCUCCUGUGUAGCAUGCGUGCUCUACAAAGUGGACCAGCAGGUGUCGCGAAGUGCACCGACGCCGCCUCGUCGGCCACUGCCUUCUCCGGCGGCCUCCCCAUGCUCUUCGACAGUGCGCUCAAGUGGCGAGUAGGACACUACGGGGGGCCCACUUGAGGAGUCUAUGGUGUUCCGCCGUAGUGCUCGCUGCAAUGUGGUUACUUCUGCCAAUGGUGUCGCUGCAGCUGUUGAUGAUUCGUUGUCUAAGGCGAUGAGGAUGGGAUGGCAGCAAAAAAGAACCUCGACGAACCAGUGGUGUCCAAGACGGUGUUUCCAGCUACGCCCACUUGUUCGUCUACACCAUUUUGUGACGCCUCAAUAGGUACAUCUUCCACACCUAUCAAUUCUAUUAUUCAUUUACCCAAUGAUCGUUUUACAUCAAAUUUGAGUAACUUAGGGGUUUCUUUGGGUGAUGGUGUUCAAAAAGUUGAAUUCUCUGUUAAUACAAUUAAACACAUGGAGUUUGAUAGGUUCAGGGUAGCAGCCAAUACCAAUAAGAAUAAAAAUGCAAGCUCUGCAUGUUAACAAAAUCCUUUUGAAAGUGAUGACGAGGACGCUACACCUGAUGGUGGCGCCCCUGCUCGCUCACUUGCUCAAAGAUGUUUCUGAAGUUGAUUUAGAUGAUGCGGACCCUGAGUACAAAAAUUUGUGACCUAAUAGCUACCCCUCGGAAAUCUAAGUCGGCUUCAAAAAAGAAGGACAAGAGUAACAAGAAAAAAAAUAGUUUCCUGAUGAAAGGUAUAUUACGGAAUAUCAUAGGUCUUGUAGAUCCUUGGCUAAAUAUCGGUAUGUUGCUGAUGGCAUCAGGGACAAUAACCUUGACUUCGUUGCCUUACUAGAGUCAGGGAAGAGUGACAUGUCAAAAACAAAUCUUAACCGACUCUCUGGAGGUGCAUAUUUCGUUUGGCAUUGCCUACCUCCUCGAGGCAGAUCCGGUGGUGUUCUACUCGGGAUUAAUGCAUCCAUUUUUGAUUUAUCUUUGAUUGUGGAAGGGGAAUUUUAUGUUAAAUUCCAUCUACACAACAAGGAGGAUAAUUUCAAAUGGAUCCUUAUGGCGGUCUACGGACCGGCGCAAGAUGACUUCAAAGCAGGUUUUUUAGCAGAGCUUGUGCCUGCUUGUCAACAGAAUCCCUUCCCCACGCUAAUUGGGGGUGACUUUAAUAUUUGGCGGAGUAGUAGUGAGAAAAGCAAUAAUAGAUACAAUGACCGUUGGCCACUUCUUUUCAAUGCUGUAAUUAAUAGCUUUGAUCUAAGAAAAAUUGGUUUAACAGGAAGACAAUAUACUUGGGCAAACACUCUUCCGAAUCCAACUUACGAGAAGCUGCAUAGGGUCUUAACGACCACGGAAUGGGAAUCAAAAUAUCCGUUGGUUACUGUACAUGCCCUUGAUAGGGGUGUUUCAGACCAUACACCUUUGUUGCUUGACACUGGCUCGAUUGCUUUUGCUGGGAGUCAAAAGCAGUUCAAGCUAGAACUAAUCUGGUUCACACAUGAGGGUUUCUUUCCGUUGGUUACGAUCGUGUUGUUGAGAUCUGGAAUCGUCCAGCUAAGGGGCGCAACUUUGUCCAACGUUGGAACAACAAGAUGAGUGCCUUGCGUAAGGAUCUCACGGGUUGGGCAGCCCAUCUCAGUGGUACUUACAAGUAAGAAAAAUCGAAACUUCAAUCCAUCUUAAAUGAGUUGGAUAUAGUUGCCGAGGUACGAGGCUUGUCUGAGAUUGAGAGAGAGCAUAUCUCUCAUUCACGAGAUCAGCUCGCGAAACUUCUUCGGGAGGAAGAACUCAAAUGGUACCAAAGAGCAAAAGUUUCUGAUGUUCUGUUUGGAGAUAACAACACAAAGUAUUUCCAAAUGAUUGCUAAUGGAAAGCAUAGGAAGAAACACAUGUUUUUCUUGGAGCAGGAUGACGGAAAAAUUGAGGGGCAAGCAGCACUCAAGGCCUAUAUUAGUAAGUUUUAUAAAAACUUGUUUGGCCCACCGGAGGAUACUACUUUUUCCCUCGAUGAAUCUAGGAAGGAGGACAUCCCUCAGGUAUCCGCGGCUGAAAAUGAAUUCCUAACGACACCUUUUUUGGAAGAAGAGGUUCAUGACGCUAUUUUCAAUAUGGAACAUAAUAAGGCGCCUGGACCAGAUGGGCUUCCCACGGAGUUCUACCGGAAAUUUUGGGAUCUCAUUAAGCAUGACUUGAUGACUAUGUUCCAUGAAUUGCAUGUUGGUGAGUUGUCCUUGUUCAUCCUUAACUUUGGGAUAAUAACUCUUCUGCCAAAAGUUAAAGAGGCAAACAGAAUACAACAAUAUAGACCUAUUUGUCUUCUUAAUGUUAGCUUCAAGAUAUUCACUAAGGUCGCUACAAAUAGGAUGAAUUCGGUAGCUGAUCGUGUGGUGAGUCCAACUCAAACAGCUUUCAUGCGAGGACGGAAUAUCCUAGAUGGGGUAGUCAUUCUGCAUGAAACUGUACAUGAGGUGCAUAGAAAGAAAAUGAAUGGGGUGAUCUUUAAAAUAGACUUUGAGAAAGCCUAGUGAAAUGGCCUUUUUUGUUACAAACUCUUAGUAUGAAAGGUUUCUCGCCCAAGUGGAUAUCUUGGAUUGAGUCUUUUGUAUCGGGAGGAAGUGUAGCUAUAAAGGUAAACGAUGAUGUUGGGCCUUAUUAUCAAACGAAGAAGGGUGUUCGACAAGGCGAUCCCGCUUCCCCUAUGCUCUUCAACAUCAUAGUUGACAUGUUGGCCGUUCUAAUUAAUAGAGGCAAAACAGAUGAGCAGAUUAGUGGAGUAGUGCCACAUCUAAUUGAUGGAGGCCUAUCUAUUCUUCAAUAUGCGGAUGACACAAUUCUUUUUAUGUAUCAUGACCUAGAGAAGGCUGGAAACAUGAAGAUAUUACUUUCCGCGUUCGAGCAACUAUCAAGUCUUAAGAUUAAUUUCCAUAAGAGUGAGUUAUUCUGUUUUGGAGAAGCCCAAGCUAUAGAGAGUCAAUACAUCGAGAUUUUUGGUUGUGCCUCCGGUGAAUUUCAAUUAACGUAUUUAGGUAUUGCUAUUCACCAUAGGAAACUGACAAAUGCUGAAUCGAAAAAGGUAUUAGAAUGGUGAGAGAGAAGACUUUGUAGCUGGAAAGGAAAAUAUCUUUCUUCAGGAGGUCGCCUUACACUGAUUAACUCGGUGCUUAGCAGCCUUCCCUUGUAUAUGAUGUCCUUUUUCACUAUACCAAGGGGUGUACUUAAAAAAAAUGAUUAUUUUCGCUCUAGAUUUUACUGGCAGAGUGAUGAUCAAAAGAAAAGGUACAGAUUGGUUAAAUGGAGCAUUUUGUGCCGCACUAGAGAGCAAGGGGGUGUAGGAAUUCAUUAUUUGGACAUGAAGAAUGUUGCCUUGCUAAGCAAGUGGUUGUUUAAGCUACAGACAAUUGAUGGAGUGUGGCAACAAUUGAUACGCGAUAAGUACUUAUGUAGUAAGCCAUUGUCACAAGUCCAGUGGAGAGCUGGAUAUUCGCUCUUUUGGGCCAACCUCAUGAAAGUUAAGGGAGAUUUUCUCCGCUUUGGUACUUUCAUGAUAAAGGAUGGGACCCAAAUCAGGUUUUGGGAGGACAAGUGGUUGGGUAAUAUCCCGCUGCGGGAACAAUAUCCAAAUCUUUACUACAUUGUAAGGCACAAACAGUCUACUGUAGCAAACGUCCUCCAAACUUACGCCCGAUGUUACAAUGGAGAGACCUUGUGGGGCCAAAAUUAGUAGCUUGGAAUAAUUUACUUCCUCGACUUGCUAAUAUUGUUCUCACACAUGAGCAAGACGUUUUUCGCUGGAACUUAACUCCUGAUGGGGUGUUCUCGGUCAAGUCUCAUUAUCUUGCUCUUGUGCAUUGUGAUGUUCCCAAUAUCAACAAAAGCCUGUGGAAAAUUAGGGUGCCGCUCAAAGUUAAGAUAUUUCUUUGGUACUUACGACUUGGAGUAGUUCUAACACGGGAUAACUUGGCUAAAUGUAAUUGGCAAGGCAGUAAAAAUUGUUGCUUCUAUCACAAAGAUGAGACUAUCCGGCGCCUUUUCUUUGAAUGUCGCUUUGCACGGGCCAUCUGGUCUAUUAUACAUGCGGCUUCAGGGUUGUUCCCACCUCAAAUCAUGUCACAUAUGUUUAGUGGUUGGCUACGGGGCAUAAGGAAUGACCUAAAACGACAAGUCCUGUUAGGGGCGGCUACUACUUCUUGGUCGCUUUGGUUAUGCAAGAAUGAUGUGGUUUUUAACAAGAAUUUUUUUUCAUCUCCUCUACAGGUUAUUUAUUCAGUCACCCAGUGGCCCCGUACCUGGGGUAUUAUUCAGAAGCUGGGUUCUCAGGAGUUGGUUGCAGCGGCGUGUCAACAUUUGGAGCGGGUGGUCAGGGAGUGUUUUACCCAGGAGCAUGGGUGGCGGUCUAGUCUAAGGAUUGACGAUCCAUAGCAUUUUUCUGUUAUUCCACUUGUCAUAAAACUCUUGUNNNNNNNNNNNNNNNNNNNNNNNNNNNNNNNNNNNNNNNNNNNNNNNNNNNNNNNNNNNNNNNNNNNNNNNNNNNNNNNNNNNNNNNNNNNNNNNNNNNNNNNNNNNNNNNNNNNNNNNNNNNNNNNNNNNNNNNNNNNNNNNNNNNNNNNNNNNNNNNNNNNNNNNNNGUGUGGGGGGGGGGGCUGUGUGCAUUCUAGUUAUGCAGAGGCUGGGAGUGAUCUUAGCAUGAUUGUAUCAUCUUGAUGUAAUGCUCUGAGUUCAAUAUAAGCUUCCUUUAUCGAAAAUAAUGUUCUACAUCAUCGCUCAUCAUCGCUUCGGAGUGCAUUUUUAGUCUUUGAGGGUACAAGAUGGUUUGUUUUGUAUGACUUGUAAUAGAAUUGUAAAUAGGGUUUUCUUUGCGAGGGAAUUGUAAGUAGGAAGGAUGUUCUGUAUAGUAGGAUCUCCCUCCUCUGCAACUACUAAUACACAUUAGUGAUCUAUACACGUUCUUAUAUUUCUUUACAAAGAGUGGAUCAACUCGAGGAGAAUUGCAGUACAAGAGACGAACUUGAAUAAGAAGCACCAUAUGUCUAAACGCUGCUCUUUCGAGGACUAAAAGAACCCAUAAACUGAGUGGAGGCACCAAAAUUCCCCUUCCCCCACCAACCAACGGAGCGACAGACAGAGAAACGACGAAUCCACAGGCGAAGCCUAGGGGGGAGAGAGUUUUUCCAAGGAGCCAAGGGUUAGGGGAGGAAAAGAGAAAAAGUGGUUGGACCAUGACGUUUGUAGAAAACUAUAGGAUAACUGAAUAUUUGUUGUUGUGUUGUUGUAUUGAUCUGACCCAGAUGUGGGGUAUAUAUAAAGUAUAAUAUGAGGGAGAGAGACUUGAAGUAGAGGGCAAACCGUACAUGAUUAAAUCUUAUUCUAUCUCUAACUCUUAAUCUCCAACUUAAACAUAAUUAUACUUCUAACAUUCCCCCUCACUUGUAGCGGGAGUGAAGUAGACGAUUGCAACUGGAUUUGAAGUCUUGCAUUUCUGUCAUCUUUACCGCUGCACCAUCAACUAUGUUUCUCAUGGGUCGGCACCUAGUGCCUUCCUCGUCUCCUCCUCUAUUUGCUCCCGUGGUCAUAACGAGAGUGACGUGGACGCUAGUGACGACGCAUGCGCUGUUGACUGGAAUAGUUGCCGAUGUAUUGAUGUUGAUGUAGUCGUGUGGUCGAUGUUGAGGUUGCCGAUCGUGAUGUAGCCGUGGUUGAUGUAGAAUUCGUCAUAGUUGAUGGAAACAUAAUCGCCGGAGACGCAAAAAUAUGUGUGAUGUGUAUGACGGAGCUGCAAUCACGUAGCCAAUGUUUUGCACUUAUUAUAGAGGUACUGUUGAGGGCGACGUUUUGCACCUUGAGAGGUACCGUCCCAGGUGCCAGAGGACGCGGUUGUAGGUGAGACCAUCCGUUUUGUAAAACUGAAGGAAGCCCAUCGAGCAUACACCAGUUUUGCCAUGACCGUGCGCGCGAUUAUAGUGGCUUUCAUAAAAGUGAUGUUAAUGUGUUGUUGCAGUCGUAGCCGUCGGACGCGGUCAAUGCCAUCAUUAGUGUUGUACGCGUCUUGCAGUACUACUGUCAGAGAACACAUGUGGAUGAAAUUGUACACGCGAUGAUAAUGUGUUGACGAGGUUGUUAAUGAUGACCAUACCCAGGCCCAGGCAGCCCGAGCAAUUGUUGUUUUCUUCAUUUCCUAUAGCUACAAUGUUCAAAGAUGGAGCCAUAUUUUUUGGUCCACCACUGAUCAUACUGAUCUAGACCUUGGCAGUGGAGUGUCAACGGAGAUGUUGCAGCGGCGUGCAAUGAUGAUUCGUACCCUUAAGAUGAACCAUGGCACAUUGAAUACUUUUUUCGGUUUUGUUAUUUUUCAAUCAACUGAUUUACAAUUCACCAUCGUUCAAAUCUUUGUCCGUCCGUUCUCGUGCGGAGAUUCGUGCUCGAUCGCCCUGUACUUUUGUGGUUUUCGGGUUGUUUUUAUUUUAGCGAGUUGGUUUUAUUUUUAGCCCGUUUGCGUUGCCAUGCGUCGCCCGGACCGUUCACUGUUAGUUUUUGUCCUUUUUGAAUUCUGAGAGGGUCGUGUCCUUUACCCUUUUAUUUUGUUUAGGCAGAGGGAGAGAAGGAGAGCGGCGGAGCAAGCGGUGGAGAUUUCCCUCUGUUCAUGGCGAUUCUAAGCUCCUCCACCGGUGGAUUCUGAUUUCUUCUCCAUUCUCCCCACGGCCUGCUGCUGAUGUGGUUAGCCGUCCUCCUCUCUCGCAUUUUGCUCGUGUUUUUUUGCGGCUGUGUGCUUCUAGAUUUAGAAAUUUCAUGUGUCUGUGCUUUCGUUUGUAGGUGCCUUUUGGGAUCCCUGGCAGGUGUAUGUUGUUGUUGUGGUGUUUUUUUGGUUCCCCGGGGCUCGGUGAUUCGGAGGCGUUGGUGAUUUCUCGUGGCCUCCUCGGUUUUUGCUGUGGUAUUCUGUGAGCCCUGUGUGUAUCCUCUUCCCGAUGCAAGGUUAGUUUGCCGGUACCCCCUCCCCUUUGUCGCUAGAUCUGGCAUUUUGUUGUGGUGUUUUGCUUCAAUAUGUGUAGGAUUUCGCUAGAUCUGGCGUUCUGUGUGUUAGUGCUCGUGUAGGAUUUCGCUGAAGUGGAACUAGAUGCAGCAAACGUCUGGAUCUAUGUGGAUGUUGGAGUGCUCGAUGUAGUUGUCCAGGUGUCCUUUCAUGCAAUUUCUUUCCCUUUUUGUGUGGAUGUAACUAGCGAAAUCUAGCUCGUAGGGUUAUCUCUGUAAGUGUGCAUGUGGGUUGUCAGUGAGUUGUAGUGAUUGUGAUUGAAUAUUUUUCAGCUAAUCCACUCAACUUUAGUUGUGGUGCUGGUGUUUUUAGCAUUUUUGGAUGAUGAAAUGCAUGUGUUUAGUUUCCUAGUUACCCUAGAUUUUACCUAGUAUUUCCAGUGUACUUUGUCCCAGCUUUUGAGUUGAUUUCCAUUGUAAGUGUAAUGUAUUUUGUCAGUGUAAUUUAUUCCAGUGUUUUAAUGUACUUUGUCCCAUCUUUUUCAGUGCCAAUGAUUCCAUUGUAGUCUGUUUUAUGAGUGGAUUUAUAGUGUAAUUUUAAUGUAUGUUCAAUGUAAUUCAUCUCAGUUUUCAGUGAAUUUUUUACCAAUAACUCGAGUGUAUUUUUCCCAAUAAUAGCACUCUAAUUUGUCAUCGGAUUUUAGUAGACUGUAAUUUAAAUGUAUUUGCAGUGUACUUCAGUGUAUUUGUAUUCGGAUUUCAAUGGACUGUAAUUUGAUUGAAACUACUUUAUCGGAGUUAUAGUCGGAAUCCAAAGCAAUUUCUUAAUAGAAUCACAACAUAUUUGUUAGUGUUGUUGUGUAUUUUAUUAUUGGAGUUGCAGUGUAAUUGCAUGAAUAGUGUAAUCCUAGUUUUGAUUUUUCUUAUUGGGUGUUUUUUGUUAGUAUUUAGUAUCUGUUUUUCAAUGUAAAUUUAGUGCAGUUGCACUGUAACAGUAUUUGAUAGGUGAUUUACAGUGUAAUUCCACUGUAAGUAUUGAUAUCUGAUUUACAGUGUAAAUUCAGUGUAAUUCUGCAGUAAUUUUGAGUGUACUCCGAGUGUAAUUGUUCCGUUGGCGAUUUUGUUCGUUGGAUUCAGUAUUUUCCACCCUCCCCUUUUGUUGUUGUUGUGAUGUGUUAGCUAGAGAGUAUGAUUUGUGUGUUGGAUCUGUUUGUUGUAUCUGCCUAUAGCUAUUUCCCGUGUAGAUUUUGUGAGGCUGGGUCGUUCGCUUGAUGCUUUCAAUUGAUUUGGUAAUUGCGGUAGUUGGGGUAGGUCUAUUUGGCUUGUUUACUUCUAGUAGUCUGGUGUAUCCAGUUUGUAGGAUUCUUGUCAUGUUUUGAUGAAUAAAGUGAUUCGUCAUUUUUACAGGGCCACCUACCAUUUACAUUGUCAUGUUUUGAAAUAACUGUGUAAUUUAACCUACAUUUACAUUGUAAUCUAACCUUAUUUUACUCCGUAAUACUUCAUUUGUAGUUCUCAACUCUGAAUGUAAUUUACACCGUAUUAUGUCCCAAUUUUAAGCGUAAUUUUGUGCUAUAUUUAUAGUAUAAUAUAUCCCAAUUCUCAGUGUAAUUUUCACUAUAUCUACUGUGUAAUUGUCCCGUAGUUUCAGUGUAAUACCCAACAUACUUUCACUCUAAUUUUCACUCUAGCUACUGUGCAUUUUGUCCCGUACUUUCAAUGUAACUCAGCGUAUAGUUUCAGUGUAAUUUUCACUGGAAUUACUGUGUAAUUUGAUCAGUAGUUUGUUUGUGGUGUUCUUUUUACUGUGUUAUUUACACUAGAGUUACAGUGUAGUUUUCAUCGUAACUACUGUGUAAUUUGUGUGAGAGCUACAGUUAUGAUGUUUUUUCACCAAGUGCUCAAUUAUUGUGUAAUUUGUAGUAUACUUCCACUGUAGUCUGUCCUUUUUCAGUUGAUUCCAUAUUUACACUGUAAUGUCAACUAUUGUAAUUUAUUGUAGUAUAUUUUUACCCAUAAUUCCACUGCAUUUUUACCCUUUUUUGCAGUGUACUCUGUGAUUUCAUUGUAAUUUUACCCUUAUUUUUAUUGUAAGUUUACUCAUUUUUACAGUGUACAUCACUAUGUGAUUCAACUGUAAUUUUCCCCUUAAUUCCAUUGUAAUUUUACUUUUUUUUACAGUGUACGUGUGUGAUUCUACUUUAAUUUUUCCCAUAAUUCCACUGUAAUUCUACCCAUUUUUACAGUGUAUUAUUCUGUGAUCCCACUGUAAUUUUAUCCACAAUUUCCGCUGUAAUUCUAUCCAUUUUUACAGUUUUCCACCCAUAAUUCCACUAUAAAUUUACCCUGAUUCCACUGUAAUGUUACCCAUUUUUACAGUGCACAUCUCUAUGUUAUUCCACUGUAAUUAUGCCCCUAAUUCCACUGUAUUUGUUUCCCAUUUUUACAGUGUCUAUCUUCUUCAACUGUAAUUUUAACCUUUUUGUCAGUGUGCAUCUUCUUUAAUUUCUGUGUAACUUGAUUCCUGUGUAAUUUUUGUCAUUUUUGCAGUGUAAUUAUACCCAUAUUUCCACUGUAAUCCUUUUUUCUAUGCAAUAUUAUGCAGUUUAUUUAUUUGUUUAGUUUUAGUGCCUAGUUAUCCUUUGUAAUCAUCAUUAUAAGCCUAGUUUUAUUCCUUAUUUCUCUUAUUGUGCCCCAUUUAUCUUGUAUUUUUCAGCUUCAAUCUCAAUGGGUAGGCUUCAGAAAGUAUCUCACGAGGAUGUUCCACUUGUUUCUUCAGUGGAGAGUGAUGAUUCUUUGAAAGAUACUUUCGUGCCUAAUGAUUUGCCGAUGAUGCCUCUAAUGCAAUGUCUUUGGUAGUCAUUUUUGUCUUCUUAAUUUCUUUCAGUUUCCGUCUUUAUUUCUUUUUAGUUUAUUAAUUGUUCUGGUUGUUCUAUGAAUGUUUUUUCCAGGAUUGUUCUGGUGAGGAUGCGGAGUUUGAUAAAUCUCUUUAUAAUUUCUAUGUGAAUAAUGUAGGUCCUUUUUCCGUUCUAGCUUUUGUGAGUGUUAUGUUUUUUUGUAUUGAUUUUUCCUUUUUUAUCUUUGUCUGAAUAUCUGUAUUUGUUCUUUACAGAAAGUGAAGUACCUGAAGAGGAAAAUAUCAUCUGCUAGCAGGAGGAAUGUUGUUAGUCCAUUUUCCCUUCUUUUUUUAACUCGUCUAUUUUGGUUGCUAGUCUGAUGUUAUUUAUGUUGUGGUUCUCCUUAUGUGUAUUUAUUUUAGUUUUGCCUUAUUAUUGUUGUCCUUAGUUGUCUUUUUUGUAGAGGCAGAAACGAUCUUCAGAUUUGCCCAAUUGAUCAACAUUCACUAGAUACUCUCGAAAGUUCUUCUUUGGUGUUGUUGAUGGCUUGUGUCCUAGAUAUAAGGGUGUUAUUAAUUGAGGAUUAUGGUAUGGGUUGUGUCCUCGGCUUUGUCUGAACUGAGGUUCCCCUUCGGCUUGUUAAGUGGCUUGCAUCAAGAUUUGAUGUUCCUACUUCUGAGUUUCAGUUGAAAAGGAAAUUCAUCCCCUUAACUAAGUAUGACGUCCAUGACAUUCUUGACCUCCGAGUAGAUGGUGAACCCCUUGUUUGUGAUCCAAAGUCUGGUCGUGAUUUUAUCCUCUCUCAUUUCAAUCUUUCCAGUAUUCCUCUAGUGUCUUUUUUGCCAACAAGCUUAAGUCUGUUGAAGGUGAUUUGCCCGACGAGGACGUCUUCAUUUGUUUCAUGAUCGUCACUUUCUCUAUUUUUCUUUGUCCAAACUCUAGCCUCAGUCCUAGUCCAAAAUACCUCCAUAUCUUUCGGGAUUGUCAGUCUGUGUGCAGUUAUGAUCUGUCUAGGUUUGUGUAUGAGUGGCUUUUGAGUAGAAUCAAAAAGUUCAAGGAUACUACUAAAGUUGCUUCCAAAAGAUCAGUGACAUUUGGUGGAUGUCACUAUGCUUUUGAUGUAAGUUUUCUCUUUUAUUUAUUUAUUUAUUUUUGUAUUGUUUGUAUUUAUUUAUAGUUUUCUGUAACUUUUGUUUGACUGUGUUUUUGUGUUUGGUUUGUAGGUUUCUCACCUUGAUCAAUUGAAUUUUGGCCUUCACUCUGUCCCUGAUGUGAAACCUCGCAUACUUGCCUGGAGAGGUAACAAAGUGAAGCAAUUUGCAGAGCAUGAUAGAAACAACAACCNNNNNNNNNNNNNNNNNNNNNNNNNNNNNNNNNNNNNNNNNNNNNNNNNNNNNNNNNNNNNNNNNNNNNNNNNNNNNNNNNNNNNNNNNNNNNNNNNNNNNNNNNNNNNNNNNNNNNNNNNNNNNNNNNNNNNNNNNNNNNNNNNNNNNNNNNNNNNNNNNNNNNCGCUCUUUUGGAAACAGGUCAUUGAAGCGACUCUGUGUUCCAGCUAAUUUGCACGUUUUAUUUCCUUUUCUUUCAUAUUUGUUAUUUUUUAGGUUUUUGUUGUUUUAUUCUUCUGUAUUGCAUGACUUCUUUUGUUUUUUUGUUUUAGGGUUCUGUUGGAAAAACCACAAGCAGUAAGAGUGUUGAUAUUGGCCCUUCUGAUGGUACAUUUGCAAUGAAAGUUCAAAGUUCUAUUGGUCCUCGCUUUGGCUCUCAGGUAUUUUGUUCUACUGUACUUGUUAUUUUCAGUAUUUUUUGGUUAUUUUUGUCUUGUUAUUUGCUCAUUUUGUCUCUUAUUCAGGCUGCUCUUGAUGUCAUUGAACUUGUUGAGUCGAGUAACCAAGACAAGCCUAAGAUAUUCUUGGAUUGGGCAGAGUCCCUUGUUCUUAAUGUAUUGGAUUGUGCAUUGCAUUCAUCCAUCCCAAAAAUGUCCGCCAGUGAGAAUCAGUCAAUGAACAAGUUCUCUUUUGGUUAGUCCAUCCGCUUGUUUUUUAUUAUUUCAUAGCUUUUUCAUUUAUCUUGUUUUGUUGUGUUUUUGACUCCCUUUUCUUUGCUUAUUUUUUGUUCAUAGGCAAUAAGUCUAUUUCAAUUCAUUCUGCAAUCGCAAAUAGGGAGUUUGUUAAAGUUGCUCAUAAUCUAGAGACUGAAGUACAACAAGAGAAUCUUCAUUUGCCGUAUCAUACUACUGUUGUUGUUCCUCCUGCUGUCCCCGAUGGUGGUAUUGACAACCCAGCAGUGUUAUCUAGCUCCUGUGUUCCUGCUAAAGUACACACUGAGGUAUGCAUGUUUUCGUUGUUGCAAUGUUUCCUUUUGUGGUUCAACUUUUUGUUGUAGUUGUUUCUUUAUUUUUUUUCAUGGUUUUGAUUUUGAACUGUUGGUGUAGGCUGUGCUUUGUGUGACGUAUCCAGGAGUGUGAGGUUAAGGACGCGUUAAAAAGGAUGAAAGUAGGCAAGGCGAUGGGUCCUGAUGGUAUCCCCAUCAAGGUGUGGAGAGGCCUUGGAGACAUAGCGAUAGUAUGGCUAACUAAGCUUUUCAACCUCAUUUUUCGGUCAAACAAGAUGCCCGAAGAAUGGAGGCGGAGUAUUUUAGUACCAAUCUUUAAGAACAAGGGGAUGUUCAAAGUUGUACUAAUUACCACGGAAUCAAGCUGAUGGGCCAUACUGUGAAGCUAUGGGAGAGAGUCAUUGAACACCGCUUAAGAAGGUUGACAAGCGUGACCAAAAACCAAUUUGGUUUCAUGCCUGGAAGGUCUACCAUGGAAGCCAUCUUCUUGGUACGACAGCUGAUGGAGAGAUACAGGGAGCAAAAGAAGGACCUUCAGAUGGUGUUCAUUUAUUUGGAGAAGGCCUAUGAUAAGAUACCUCGGAAUGUCAUGUGGUGGGCCUUGGAGAAACACAAAGUCCCAAUAAAGUACAUUACCCUCAUCAAGGAUAUGUAUGAUAAUGUUGUGACAAGUGUUCGAACAAGUGAUGGCGACACCGAUGACUUUCUGAUUAGAAUAGGGCUACACCAAGGGUCAUCUUUGAGCCCUUAUCUUUUUGAUUUGGUGAUGGAUGAGGUCACAAGGGAUAUACAAGGAGAAAUCCCAUGGUGUAUGCUCUUUGCGGAUGAUGUGGUGCUAGUCGAUGAUAGCCGAACGGGGGUGAAUAGAAAGUUAGAGUUAUGGAGGCGGACUCUAGAAUCGAAAGGUUUUAGGCUUAGUAGAACUUAAACUGAAUACAUGAGGUGCAGUUUUAGUGCUACUAGGCACGAGGAUGGAGAGGUUAGCCUUGGUGGGUAGGUGGUACCGGAAAGAGACACGUUUUGAUAUUUGGGGUCCAUGUUGCAGAAGGAUGGCGAUAUCGAUGAAGACGUGGGCCACUGAAUAAAGGCUGGGUGGAUGAAGUGGCGCCAAGCUUCUAGCGUACUCUGUGACAAGAGAGUGCCACAAAAUCUAAAAGGCACGUUUUAUAGGAUAGCUAUCCGACCUGCGAUGUUGUAUGGCGCGGAGUGUUGGCCAACCAAGAGACGACAUAUCCAACAGUUAGGUGUAGCAGAGAUGCGCAUGUUGAGAUGGAUAUGUGGCCACACAAGGAAGGAUCGGGUACGGAAUGACGACAUACGAGAGAGACUUGGGGUAGCACCGAUUGAAGAGAAGCUGGUCCAGCAUCAUCUCAGAUGGUUUGGACAUAUUCAACGGAGGCCACCGGAAGCGCCGGUGCAUAGCGGACGGAUAAAGCGUGCUGAGAAUGUUAAGAGGGGUCGUGGUAGACCAAACUUGACAUGGGAGGAGUCCGUUAAGAGAGACCUGAAGGUUUGGAAUAUCGACAAAGACUUAGCCAUGGACAUGGGUGCGUGGAAGUUAGCUAUCCACGUUCCACAUCCAUGACUUGGCUUCGAGAUCUUAUGGGUUUCAACUCUAGCCUACCCCAACUUGUUUGGGACUGAAAGGCUUGGUUGUUGUUGUUGUUGUUGUGGUGUAGGCUGUGGUAACUGCACAUGUUGCUCCUGUUCGACCGGUGUUAUGUGAAGUUAAAUCAAAAGGUUCUACAUCAAUUCCUCUAGAGCCCCCAAUAGGUAUUACCUUUGUAAUCAUGUUAACUUUAGUUUUUCAGUUGCAUUUUUAUUGUAAUUUUGUAUUCUUUUGUUUUUUUCUAGGUAAUUAUCCUUCAAAUUCUAAAUGCGGCAACCCAGAUGUUGAUUCUGUUGUGGUGCUUUCAGGUAUUUGGCUAAGUUUAUAUCUCACAUUAUUUCUGUAGAAUUUCUUUUUUCAAGUGUUUUUUUUUCAGUAAUGUUAUUUGUUAAGUGCUUCUUUAGUUGACUUUUUGUUUUUUAUUGUUGUAUAGAUGGUCCUCCCAAGGAAAAAGUUGGUGUUAAUGCAUUUGGGAUCCCAUCUUUGGCUGAGCUUAAUUGUUCUCUUGGUAUCCAAUCAUCUUCUAUAGCUUGCAAUGGCACCCCAGUUAGUGCUGACAGAAAUUCUGCUAUGGAAGAUGGAAAUUCUUUUUGUGGCAUGUCACCCCUUGUUCCUGUUCGUCUAUCGCAGUAUUUCUGUAAUGAGGUUUCUAUUAUUUUUGUACCGAAUCUUUGUUUUCCAUGUUCCCUAGUUUCCCCUAUUUUUUGUUUGAAUUCUUUGUUUUCUUUUUCUGUGUAGUUGGGUGAUGUACAAUGUUCUCAGUAUGUUGCUGAUGUCUACUACGCAGCCUUCUCCUUGUAGACGUUGUUGGGCCUCCUAGUGCAUAGGUUUGUAGGACAGUAGCAAUUUUUCCUCAAGUGGGUGACCUAAGGUUUAUCAAUCCGUGGGAGGCGUAGGAUGAAGAUGGUCUCUCUCAAGCAACCCUACAACCAAAUAACAAAGNAUCUAUCCUAGAGUUCAUACUAGAAUAACACCUUAAGACACAUAUCAAUCAAGACCCUAAUGUCACCUAGAUACUCCACUGUCACCUCAAGUAUCCGUGGGCAUGAUUAUAUGAUAUGCAUUACACAAUCUCAGAAUCAUCUAUUCAACCAACACAUAGAACUUCAAAGAGUGCCCCGAAGUUUCUAACGGGGAGUCAAAAUGUGUGCCAACCCAUAUGCAUAGGUUCCCAAUGUCACGAAACCCGCAAGUUGAUCACCAAUACAUACAUCAAGUACUCACAUUAAUAUCCCAUUGUCACCACAGAUAGACAUGUGCAAGACAUACAUCAAGUGUUCUUAAAGACUCAAUCCGAUAAGAUAACUUCAAAGGGGAAACUCAAUUCAUUACAAGAAGGGAGAGGGGAAGAACAUCAUAAGAUCCAACUAUAGUAGCAAAGCCCGCGGUACAUUGAGAUCAAGACAUAUCAAGAACACGAGAGAGAGAGAGAUCAAACACAUAGCUACUAGUACAUACCCUCAGCCCCGAGGGAGAAUUACUCCCUCCUCGUCAUGGAGAUCGCCGGGAUGAUGAAGAUGGCCACCGAAGAUGGAUUCCCCCUCUGGCAGGGUGCCGGAACGGGCUCCAGAUUGGUUUUUGGUGGCUACAGAGGCUUGCGGCGGCGGAACUCCCGAUCUAGGUUUCUUUUUGGGGGUUUCUGAAUUUAUAGGAAUUUAUGGUGGUGGAAUUUCGUCGGUUGGGCCCACGAGGAGGUCACAAGCCUGGUAGGUGCGGCCUAGGGGGGGAGGGGUCGCGCCUCCCGGGCUUGUGACUCCCUCGUGGCUCUUCUGUCGUUCUUCCAAAGCUAUGAGUGUCUCUUUUGGUCCCAAAAAAAUCAUCGCGAAAGUUUUAUUCCAUUUGGACUCCGUCUGAAAAAGGGUCAAAAACACGAAAAAAAUCAGAAACUGGCACUUGGCACUGAGUUAAUAGGUUAGUCCCAAAAAGAUAAAAAAUAGCAUAUUCAUGCAUAUAAAACAUCCAAAGUUGACAAGAUAAUAGCAUGGAACCAUAAAAAAUUAUAGAUACGUUGGAGACGUAUCAAGCAUCCCCAAGCUUAAGUCCUGCUCGUCCUCGAGUAGGGAAGUGAUAAAGACCGAAUUUUGAUGUGGAAUGCUACCUAACAUAUUUGUCCUUUGUAACUUCUUUCUUGUGGCAUGAAUGUUCAGAUCCGCAAGAUUCAAAACAAUAGUUUACUAUUGACAUGAAAACAAUAAUACUUCAAGCAUACUAGCAAAGUAAUCAUGAACUUUUGAAAUAACAAGGCCAAAGAAAGUUAUCCUACAAAAUCAUAUAGUCUGGCUAUGCUCCAUCAUCCCCACACAACGAAUUUAAAUCAUGCACAACCCCGGUAUUGACCAAGUAAUUGUUUUUGCACUCUUACUUUCUCAAACUUUUUCAAUUCUCACGCAAUACAUGAGCGUGAGCCAUUGAUAUAUCACUAUAGGUGGAAUAGAGUGUGGUGGAGGUUGUGAGGCAAAAAGGAGGAGAUGGUCACAUUGACUCGGCGUAUCAAUGGGCUAUGGAGAUGCCCAUCAAUAGAUAUCAAUGUGAAUGAGUAGGGAUUGCCAAGCAACGGAUGCACAAAGCUAUAAGUGUGUGAAAUCUCAAAAGGAAAACUAGUGGGUGUGCACCCAACUUGCUUGCUCAUGAAGACCUAGGGCAAUUUUGAGGAAGCCCAUCAUUGGAAUAUACAAGCCAAGUUAUAUAAUGAAAAUUCCCACUAGUGUUAUUUUGAAGAACAUGGUGCUAUUUUGAAGCACAAGUGUGGAAAACGAUAGUAGCAUUGUCCCUUCUCUCUUUUUCUCUCAUUUUUUUGUUUGGGCUCUGUGGCCUCUUUUUUUUGGUGGCAUCUUUGGCCUCUUCUUUUAUUCCUCACAUGGGACAAUGCUCUAAUAAUGAUGAUCAUCACACUUUUAUUUACUCACAACUCAAUACUUAGAACAAUGAUGACUCUAUAGGAAAUGCCUCCGGUAGUGUACCGGGAUGUGCAACGAUCUAGCUUAGCGUAUGACGUUGAAACAUCUCGCUAGCUAUCUCAAAAUCAUGCAAUGGCAAUAUGAAAGUGACGACACAUGUCAUGAGACAGAAUGGUGGGAGUUGCAUGGCAAUAUAUCUCAGAAUGGCUAUUAAAAAGCCAUAAUAUGUAGGUAUGGUGGCUGUUUUGAGGAAGGUAUAUGGUGGGUUUGUGCAGCAGCGAAAGUUGCGCGGUACUAGAGAGGCUAGCAAUAGUGGAAGGUGAAAGUGCAUAUAUACCAUGGACUCACAUUAGUCAUGAAGAACUCAUAUACUUAUUGCGAAAGUUUUUAUUAGUAAUCGAAACAAAGUGCUAAAUGCAUACUCCUAGGGGAAGGGUUGGUAGGUGUUAACCAUCGCGCGAUCCCGACCGCCACAUGAAGGAUGACAAUCAAUAAAUCAAUUAUGCUCCGACUUCCUAACAUAGCGGUUCACCAUACGUGCAUGCUAUGAGAAUAACUAACAUCAACACAAGUAUUUAUAGAUUCACAACACCCUACUAACAUGACUCUAAUAUUACCAUAUCCAUAUCUCAAAACUAAUUGUGAGGAAUCAAACUUCUCUUACUAAUCAAUGCAUUUGAAUAUGGAAGUUUUAUUAUAUCCUCUUUGGAUGCCUAUCAUAUUUAGGACUCUUUCAUGGCACACGCCAACUACCAAGUUACUCAGAGAGAGCACUCUCAAAAAGAUAUAAGUGAAGGUCGAGAGUUUUUAUUUCUCCAAAAUAUGACACCGCGUGCUCUAAAAAGAUUUAAGUGAAGCACUAGAGCAAAAUUAUCUAGCUCAAAAGAUAUAAGUGAAACACAUGCGAGCUAAAUUGCCUAACUCAAAAGAUAUAAGUGAANNNNNNNNNNNNNNNNNNNNNNNNNNNNNNNNNNNNNNNNNNNNNNNNNNNNNNNNNNNNNNNNNNNNNNNNNNNNNNNNNNNNNNNNNNNNNNNNNNNNNNNNNNNNNNNNNNNNNNNNNNNNNNNNNNNNNNNNNNNNNNNNNNNNNNNNNNNNNNNNNNNNNNNNNNNNNNNNNNNNNNNNNNNNNNNNNNNNNNNNNNNNNNNNNNNNNNNNNNNNNNNNNNNNNNNNNNNNNNNNNNNNNNNNNNNNNNNNNNNNNNNNNNNNNNNNNNNNNNNNNNNNNNNNNNNNNNNNNNNNNNNNNNNNNNNNNNNNNNNNNNNNNNNNNNNNNNGUUACCGAUGGAUUGAAGACGAAAGAGGGGAUGCCUUCCCAGGGCAUCCCCAAGCUUAUGCUCUUUGGUGUCCUUGAAUAUGGCUUUGGGGUGCCUUGGGCAUCCCCAAGCUUAGGCUCUUGCCACUCCUUGUUCCAUACUCCAUCGAAACUCUACCCAAAACUUGAAAACUUCACAACACAAAACUUAAGGGAACUUCGUGAGAUGGGUUAGUAUGAUAACGAGCAAAUCAAUCACUUGGGUACUGUAAAAACAAGACUCAUAAUUAUUUUCACACAAUUCCUACUGUAUUUUACUAUUUCCAUAAUUUAUAUUAGUCAAUAUAAUCUAUGGAAACACCAAAACAAGCAAACUAUGCAUUGAAAACAGAAUCUGUCAAAAACAGAACAACCUGUAAUGAUCUGAAUGCUAACCAUACUUCUGCACUUCCAAAAAUUCUGAAACAAUUAUGAAAAUUAAGGCAAUUUGUAUAUCAAUCAGAAGCAAAAACUAAUCAACUGAAAAGCACUCUCUGGAUAGAAAUUAUAAAUGAUUUCGCGAGUGUAAAGUUUCUGUCUUUUUCAGCAUGAUCAAACAACUAUCAUCCAAACUAAUCAUAAAGGCUUUACUUGGCACUUUAUUGAAACUAAGGAAAUAAAACAUGAUUAAUACAGUAGCUUAAUCAUGUGAACACACAAAAACAGUAAGGAUACAUAUUGUUUUGUCUCCCAACAAGCACUUUUUUAAUGCCUUUCAAGCUGGGCAUGAUGAUUUCAAUGAUGCUCACAUAAAAGAUAAGGAUUGAAACAUAAUGGAAGCAUCAUGGAGCAUAUGACUAGCACAUUUAAGUCUAACCCACUUCCUAUGCAUUGGGAUUUUGUGAUCAAACAAUUUAUUGGAGCAAGAAUCAACUAGCAUAGGAAGAUAAAACAAGCAUGACUUCAAAAGUUUCAACACAUGGAGAGGAAGCUUGAUAUUAUUGCAAUAUAUAGAAGCAUAUGAUCCUCUCUCAUAAUAAUUUUCAAUAGCAUCAUGAAUGAAUUCAACUAUAUAACCAGAACCCACAACAUUCUUUUCAUGAUCUACAAGCAUAUAAUUUUUACUACUCUCCACAUAAGGAAAUUUAUUCUCAUCAAUAGUAGUGGGAGUAUCGUAAAAGACUUGAACACUACGAAUUGUUUCCACAUUAAAAGAGUAAUGUUCAGUGAAAGGAUACUCAAGAGUAUGACAAGUUUUAUCAUCCCUCUUCUUUAUAGCAUAAGUAUCAUCACAAUAAUUAUCAUAGAUAGGGGGCAUGCUUUCAUCAUAAUAAAUUUGAUCAUUCAAAGUGGGGGAACUAAAAAGAUCAUCUUCAUCAAACAUAGCAUCCCCAAGCUUGUGCUUUUGCAUAUCAUAGACAUAAUCACUCUCAUCAUUAAUAGUAUGAAUAGCACCAGGAUUAUAGCAAUUAUUGUCAUCCUCCACAUUUAUUUUUAAUUCAUUCUCAUGAGGCAUAUCAAUAAUAGGAGCAACAUUAUUUGGGAGAGAUACCUCUUUACCUUUACUUUUUCUUCUUUUCUUCUUCUUCACCCCAUGUGAAGAUUUACUUAAUUCUUCCAAGCUUCUUUUUGGAGAGGUUGGUUGAAUAGAAAGCUCCUCCUCGUUACCUGAUUCAUCAUAAGAAAUAAUAGGAGGGUAUUGGGAAACCUCUUCCCCUUCGUUAGUCUUAUCUUUAUCUUCUGUUUGUUUCCUUGUCUUUAAGUAAUUGGCAAUGUAGGGAUUCUCAAUGCAAUUCACCACACAAUAUAAGCAAAUUUCUUCUAGAUCAAAAUCAAGCACAUUCAUGAUAGCCCAAUCUGGAAGGCUCUUAGUUUUAUGUUUCAUGUCUUCAUACCCCAAAAGUAGACUAAGUUCAUUACGAUGCUUGAGGGUAAUGAAGUUAUCACAAUUUUUGGACACCAUUUGAUCAUGAAAGAAUUUGCAUUGGAAAUUAAAAUGGCCUCUUUCAUUGCAAAGAUCACAAGUAAUGCGAAGAAAAUAAAAUUCUUCAGCACAAUAAGCCAGCCUUUCAUGCAACCAUUUAGUUUCUAAAUACUUAUGCCUCUUGCAAAAUCUAUUUCCCCUUUUUGGUAUAUAUUUGCAAACUCUAGGCACUCCACAGAAAUCGACAUGCUUAUAGGAAACAUUUUCAUCAUGAAUGGUGCAAUCAUCAUUGGCAUCAUGGGUAUUCAAAGAAUUCAUACUAACAACAUUGCAAUCAUGCUCAUCAUUCACAUAUUUUAUGCCAAGCAUUCUAUGUAAUUCUUCUUCUAGCACUUGAGCACAAUUUUCCUUCCCAUCAUUUUCAUGAAAGACAUUGAAAAGAUGAAGCAUAUGUGUCCAACUCAAUUCCAUUUUUUUUGUAGUUUUCUUUUAUAGGCUAAACUAGUGAUAAAACAAGAAACUAAAAGAUUCGAUUGCAGGAUCUAAAGAUAUACCUUCAAGCGGUAACCUCCCCGGCAACAGCGCCAGAAAAGAGCUUGAUGUCUACUACGCAACCUUCUCCUUGUAGACGUUGUUGGGCCUCCAAGUGUAGAGGUUUGUAGGACAGUAGCAAUUUUCCUUCAAGUGUGUGACCUAAGGUUUAUUAAUCCAUGGGAGGCGUAGGAUGAAGAUGGUCUCUCUCAAGCAACCGUGCAACCAAAUAACAAAGNAUCUAUCCUAGAGUUCGUACUAGAAUAACACCUUAAGACACAUGUCAAUCAAGACCCUCAUGUCACCUAGAUACUCCACUCUCACCUCAAGUAUUCGUGGGCAUGAUUAUACGAUAUUCAUCACACAAUCUCGGAAUCAUCUAUUCAACCAACACAUAGAACUUCAAAGAGUGCCCCGAAGUUUCUACCGGAGAGUCAAAACGUGUGCCAACCCAUAUGCAUAGGUUCCCAAUGUCACAAAACCCGCAAGUUGAUCACCAAAACAUACAUCAAGUACUCACAUGAAUAUCCCAUUGUCACCACAGAUAGACACGUGCAAGACAUACAUCAAGUGUUCUUAAAGACUCAAUCCGAUAAGAUAACUUCAAAGGGGAAACUCAAUUCAUUACAAUAAGGGAGAGGGGGAAGAACAUCAUAAGAUCCAACCAUAGUAGAAAAGCCCAUGGUACAUCGAGAUCAAGACAUCUCAAGAACACGAGAGAGAGAGAGAUCAAACACAUAGCUACUAGUACAUACCCUCAGCCCCGAGGGAGAACUACUCCCUCCUUGUCAUGGAGAUCGCCGGGAUGAUGAAGAUGGCCACCGGAGAUGGAUUCCCCUUCCGGAAGGGUGCGUAAGAGGCUCCAGAUUUGUUUUUGGUGGCUACAGAGGCAUUCUUCCAAAGCUUCGGGGGUCUCUUUUUGUCCAAAAAAAAUCAUCAUGAAAGUUUUAUUCCAUUUGGACUCCGUUUGAAAAAGUGUCAAAAACACGAAAAAAACAGAAACUGGCACUUGGCACUGAGUUAAUAGGUUAGUCCCAAAAAAGAUAAAAAAGCAUAUUCAUGCAUAUAAAAUAUCCAAAGUUGACAAGAUAAUAGCAUGGAACCAUAAAAAAAUUAUAGAUACGUUGGAGACGUAUUAGUUGCAGACAGAUUUCUGAAGUCGUUUGAUUCUUCUAGAAGCGAGGUAUUUUCUUCUUGUAACUUUCUUAAUUGCUUUAUGUUCUAGUUUUAUUUUUUGUUUUCAGUCUUAACUUUCUUGUAUUAACUUUUCUUCUAGGAUUGCCUUUUUAUGGUUAAUGUACCUUCCUAUGAUAUUUCCAAGUCAAACAAACACAUGAGCUCCCCAACUGUUGACUUAUGUUCUCCUGAUGUUAUCAAUUCAUCUCACCUGGUUGUAGUGAAGGUGUUUUUACUCUUUGUAUUUCUUGGUUUCUUUUUUUUUUUAAUUUUUCUUUUCUUUUUGUGUAGUGCAUUUAUCUGAUGCUAGCUGGUUUCUUGCAUUUUGUUUUGUAUUCUUUUAUUUUCAGGUGAAUGAGGCAAUUGUUGAUGUUCAUAAAGUUAGUAGCUCAUGCUUCAAUGCUAGGUGUCAAGAGCUUUCUAGGUCCAAUGAUUGCUUACAACAAACUCCAUAAUUUUGCUCCUCCCGCAGUAAGUCGUCGUAAUCUUGUAAAAGUAUGCAUUAUGUAUUUUUUUUACCUUUUUUGUAUAUUUUCUUAAUUCACACUUUUUCUUUCAUUUUUGUUUUCUUCCUUUUGCAAUUUGUUUGUUUGACUUUUUUUGACUUCCAGGUUCUUAAUAGCCAAGAAGUAGAUCUGGUGCUUGUCAAGCCUGCUGUUACUAGUGCUCAUCUUUCACAAGUUGCUGGAUGUUCAGUUGCUGCUCUAUCAUGUCAGUUUCCUGAUGCUUCUACAGUUAGUUUAUUUGUAGGCCGUUUUCCUCGUAGGAUGAUUGUGCUUGGCAGAUUCAACUCUGAUCCUUAUGUUCCUCAAGUCAAUAUUUUUUCGUUUCUGCUCAAGAAAGGCAUAACCAUCACGCCAUGAUUCAUAUUGCUUCUCACCCAGAAUGGUGCAAGUAAGUGAUUGUUUUUUUAUUUGCAGUGAUGUUUUUGUUAUUUUUAUGUUCCUUUUCUUUGUCCCGAUCUUCAGUGUAUUUUAUUUGCAUGUAUGAAGCAAUUCGAUAUGAAAAAGCUUUUUGUAGUUUUUGUAGUCUUUCUUCUCUCCAGUUCAAUUCUCAUGUAGACAACUUCUUGAUAUUGUGUGUUUGUCUUAUCUUUUCAAUGAAUCUCAUCCCUCUGUUUCCAAGAAACAUUUCUUCUUCUCUUAUAUUGGUGUAAGUAGUUCUUUUCUUUUUCUGUUUUUUAGAGUCGCUUGUUUGUUAUAUAUUCUUUUUAAGUGUUGUUGGUCCUAAUCUGUUUUAUUUUUUGCUCACCUAGGAAACAAUUUUGGACGACACUAAUCUUGAGAUUGUUGCUAAUGCCUUCAAUGGAGCUAAUAGUGCUUUUUCUAUGCGGAGAAGCAAUACAUGUUGGGGAACAUGGUAAUUUCAAAAAUUUCCUACGCCAUGCAAGGAUCUAUCUAUGGAGAAACCAACAAUGAGCAAAGGAGUAUAACAUCUUCAUACCUUUGACAUUGGAAAAUCUUUAGCAGACGAACAACACGAUCUAGUGCUAUGCUUAGGAUUGGGUCUUGUCCAUCACAUUAUUCUCCUAAUGAUGUGAUCCCGUUAUCAAUGACAUCUAAUGUCCAUGAUGAGGAAACCAUGAUCAUCUAUUGAUCAACGAGCUAGCCAACUAGAGGCUCACUAGGGACACAAUGUGAUCUAUGUAUUCACACAUGUAUUACGGUUUUCGGUUAAUACACUUAUAGCAUGAAUAAUAGACAAUUAUCAUGAACUAGAUAUAUAACAAUAACCACUUUAUUAUUGCCUUUAGGGCAUAUUUCCAACAGUCUCCCACUUGCACUAGAGUUAAUAAUUUAGUUAGAUUGUGAUGAAUCGAACACCCAUAGAGUUCUGGUGCUGAUCAUGUUUUGCUCGUGGAAGAGGUUUAGUUAACGGAUCUGCGACAUUCAUAUCCGUAUGUACUUUACAAAUAUCUAUAUCUCCUUCCUGAAUGUAAUCACGGAUGGAGUUGAAGCGGCGCUUGAUGUGCUUGGUCUUCCUGUGAAACCUGGGCUCCUUGGCUAUGGAGAUAGCUCCAAUGUUGUGACAGAAGAGGGUCAUCGGGCCCGACGCAUUGAGAAUCACUCCUAGGUCGGUGAUGAACUCCUUCAUCCAUAUCCCUUCCCGAGCUGCUUCUGAAGCAGCUAUGUACUCCGUUUCACAUGUAGAUGCCGCCACGACGCUUUGCUUGAAACUGCACCAGCUUACUGCCCCACCAUUCAGAACAUACACGUAUCUGGUUUGUGACUUAGAGGCAUCCGGAUGUGUGUUGAAACUAGCAUCGACGUAACCCUUUAUGACGAGCUCUUCGACACCUCCAUAAACGAUAAACAUAUCCUUAGUCCUUUUUAGGUAUUUAAGGCUAUUCUUGACCGCUAUCGAGUGUUCCAUACCGGGAUCACUUUGGUACCUCCCUACCAAACUUAUGGCAAGGUUCACAUGAGGUCUGGUACACAACAUGGCAUACAUAAUAGAGCCUAUGGCUGAAGCAUAGGGGAUGGUACUCAUCUUUUCUCUAUGUUCUGUCAUGGUCGGGCAUUGAGUCUUACUCAAUCUCACACCUUGCAAUACAGGCAAGAAAACCCCUUCUUUGCCUUAUCUAUAUUGAACUUCUUCAAUAUCUUGUCAAGGUAUGUACUUUGUGAAAGACCUAUGAGGCGUUUCGAUCUAUCUCUAUAGAUCUUGAUGCCUAAUAUGUAUGCAGCUUCCCCAAGGUCCAUCAUUAAAAACACUUAUUCAAAUAGGCCUUUAUGCUUUCUAAGAGUUCUAUAUCAUUUCCCAUCAACAAUAUGUCAUCCACAUAUAAUAUGAAAAAUGCUACAGAGCUCCCACCCACUUUCUUGUAAAUACAGGCUUCACCAUAAGUCUGUACAAACCCAAACACUUUAAUCACCUCAUUAAAGCGAAUGUUCCAACUCCGAGAUGCUUGCACCAACCCAUAGAUGGAGCGCUGGAGUUUGCAUACUUUGUUAGCACCUUUAGGAUCGACAAAACCUUACUUCUGCAUCAUAUACAAUUUUUCCUAAAGGAAAUCAUUAAAGAACGCCGUUUUGACGUCCAUUUGCAAGAUUUCAUAGUCAUAAAAUGCGGCAAUUGCUAACAUGAUUCAGACAGACUUCAACAUCCCUACGGGUGAGAAACUCUCAUCAUAGUCAACUCCUUGAAAUUGUCGAUAAACCUUAGCGACAAGUCGAGCCUUAUAGAUUGUGACAUUACCAUCCACGUCAGUCUUCGUCUUGAAGAUCCAUUUAUUUUCUAUGGCUCGCUAAUCAUCGGGAAAGUCCACCAAAGUCCAUACUUUGUUCUCAUACAUGGAUCCUAUCUCGGAUUUCAUGGCAUCAAGCCAUUUGUUGGAAUCCGGGCCCGCCAUCGCUUCUUCAUAGUUCGAAGGUUCUCCGUUGUCUAACAACAUGAUUCCCAUGACAUGAUUUCCAUACCACUCAGGUGCGAAAAGUAUCCUUGUCGACCUUCGAGGUUCAAUAGCAACUUGAUCCGAAGUUCCAUGAUCAUCAUCAUCAACUUCUUCUCUAGCCGGUGCCGGCACCUCAGAAACAUUUUCUUGAGUUGUGCCACUCUCCAGUUCAAGAGGAGGUACAAUUACCUCAUCAAGUUCUAUUUCCUCCCACUUACUUCUCUCGAGAGAAACUAUUUCUCUAGAAAGGACCCGUUCUUGGCAACAAAGAUUUUGCCUUCGGAUCUAAGAUAGAAGGUGUACCCAAUAGUUUCCUUAGGGUAUACUAUGAAGACACAUUUUUCCGCUUUGGGUUCGAGCUUCUCUGGUUGAAGUUUCUUUACAUAAGCAUCGCAACCCCAAACUUUCAGAAACGACAACUUAGGUAUCUUGCCAAACCAUAAUUCAUACGGUGUCGUCUCAACAGAUUUAGACCGUGCCCUAUUUAAAGUGAAUGCGACAGUUUCCAAUGCAUACCCCCAAAUUGAUAGUGGUAAGUCUGUAAGAGACAUCAUAGAUCGCACCAUAUCCAAUAAAGUGCGAUUUCGAUGUUCAGCCACACCGUUAUGCUGCGGUGUGCCAGGCGGCGUGAGUUGUGAAACUAUUCCACAUUUCCUUAAGUGCCUGCCAAACUCGUGACUCAAAUAUUCUCCUCCACGAUCAGAUUGUAGGGACUUUAUUUUCUUGUCACGUUGAUUCUCCACCUCACUCUGAAAUUCCUUGAACUUUUCAAAGGUUUCAGACUUGUGUUUCAUUAAGUAGACGUACCCAUAUGUGCUUAAGUCAUCAGUGAGGGUGAGAACAUAACGAUAGGCACCGCUAGCCUAACCGCUCAUUGGACCGCAUACAUCGGUAUGUAUUAUUUCCAAUAAGCUGGUUGCUCGCUCCAUUGUUCUGGAGAACAGAGUCUUGGUGAUCUUGCCCAUAAGGCACGGUUCGCAUGUGUCAAAUGAUUCAAAAACAAGAGACUCCAAAAGUCCAUCUGUAUGGAGUUUCUUCAUGCGCUUGACACAGAUAUGACCAAGGCGGCAGUGCCACAAAUAUGUGGGACUAUCAUUAUCAACCUCACACGUUUUGGUACCAACACUAUGAAUAUGUGUAACACCACGAUCGAGAUUCAUUAGGAAUAAACCAUUAACCAGCGGAGCAUGACCAUAAAACAUACCAAUCAUAUAAAUAUAACAACCAUUAUUCUCAGAUUUAAAUGAGUAGCCAUCUUGUAUCAAGCGAGAUCCCGAUACAAUGUUCAUGCUCAAAGCUGGUACUAAAUAACAAUUAUUAAGGUUUAAAACUAAUAUCGAAGGUAGAUGCAGAGGUAGUGUGGAGAUGAUGAUCACAUCGACCUUGGAACCAUUCCCGAGGCGCAUCGUCACCUCGUCCUUAGCCAACCUACGCUUGUUCCGCAGUUCCUGCUUUGAGUUGAAAAUGUGAGCAACAACACCGGUAUCAAAUACCCAGGAGCUACUACGAGCGUUGAUAAGGUACACAUCAAUAACAUGUAUAUCAUAUAUACCUUGGAUGUUGCCGGCCUUCUUGUCCGCUAAGUACUUGGGGCAGUUCCGCUUCUAGUGACCGGUUCCCUUGCAGUAAUAGCACUUAGUAUCAGGCUUGGGUCCUUUCUUAGACUUCUUCCCGACAACUGGCUUACCGGGCGUGGCAACUACUUUGCCGUCUUUCUUGAAUUUUUUCUUACCCUUGCCCUUCUUGAAACCGGUGGUCUUAUUGACCAUCAACACUUGAUGCUCUUUCUUGAUUUCUACCUCCGCAAAUUUCAGCAUUGAAUACAACUCAAGAAUAGUCUUUUCCAUCCCUUGCAUGUUGUAAUUCAUCACAAAGCCUUUAUAUCUAGGUGGAAGCAACUGGAGGAUUCUGUCAAUGAUUGCAUCAUCCGAAAGUUCAACUCCCAGUUGAGUCAGACGACCAUGCAACCCAGACAUUCUGAGUAUGUGUUCACUGACAGAACUAUUCUCCUCCAUUUUACAGCGAGAGAACUUGUCGUAGAUCUCAUAUCUCUCGACCCGGGCAUGAUCUAGAAAAACUAGUUUCAGCUCCUAGAACAUCUCAUAUGCUCCGUGUUGCUCAAAACGCCUUUGGAGCCCCGGUUCUAAACUGUAAAGCAUGCCUCACUGAACGAGAGAGUAGUCAUCACUCGGCGACUGCCAGGCGUUUCUAACGUCCUGGGUUGCCGCGGGUACGGGAGGGUCACCUAGGUGCGCAUCAAGGACAUAAGCCUUCUUGGAUGCAAUGAGGAUGAGUUUUAAGUUACGAACCCAGUCCGCAUAGUUGCUGCCAUCAUCUUUCAACUUUGUUUUCUCUAGGAACGCGUUGAAGUUCAGUGGGACAUUUGUGUUGGCCAUUGUAUCUACAAUAUUUGUAAAGACAAUGUUAGACUAAGUUCAUGAUAAUCAAGUUCAUCUAAUCAAACUACUAAUGAACUCCCACUUAGAUAGACAUCCCUCUAGUCAUCCAAGUGUUACAUGAUCCACAUCGACUAGCCCGUGUCCGAUCAUCACGUGAGACAGACUAGUCAUCAAUGGCGAGCAUCUCCAUGCUAAUCGUAUCAACCAUACGACUCAUGUUCGACCUUUCGGUCUCCCGUAUUCGAGGCUAUGUCUAUACAUGCUAGGCUCGUCGAGUCAACCUAAGUGUUCUGCGUGUGUAAACUGGCUUACACCCGUUAUAUGCGAAAGUUAGAAUCUAUCACACCCGAUCAUCACAUGGUUCUUCGAGACAACGAUCGUUCGCAAUGGUGCACACUUAAGGGAUACUUUCUCUAAAUUUUAUGAGGGUUCAUCUUAUCUUUGCUACCGUCGUUCUAAGGAAUAAGAUGUAAAACAUGAUAAACAUCACAUGCAAUCAUAUAGUGAAAUGAUAUGGGCAUUAUCAUCUUGUUCCUUGGAUCUCCAUCUUCGGGGCACCAUGAUCAUCAAUGUCACCGACAUGACACCAUGAUCUCCAUCAUUGUGUCUCCGUGAAGUCGUCGCGCCAAUCUAUUACUUCUACUACUAUAGCUAACGUUUAGCAAUAAAGUAGAGUAAUCACAUGGCAUUGCAUCUCAUACAAUAAAUUAAGACAACUCCUAUGGUUCCUGCCAGUUGUCAUACUCAUCGACAUGGAAGUCGUGAAUCCUGUUACAAGAACAUGAUCAAUAUCAUACAUCACAUAUGUAACAUCACAUUCUUUUGGCCAUAUCAUACCACAUGGCAUACCCUGCAAAAACAACUUAGACGUCCUCUAAUUGUUGUUGCAAGUUUUACAUGGCUGAUUGAGUUUCCAGCAAGAAUGCUUCUUACCUACGUGAAAACCACAAUGUUUAUAUGCCAAUGCUAUUUACCCUUCAUAAGGACCCUGUUCAUCGAAUCCAAUUCGACUAAAGUGGGAGAGACUGGCACCCGCUAGCCACCUUAUGCAACAAGUGCAUGUCAGUCGGUGGAACCUGUCUCACGUAAGCGUACGUGUAAGGUCAGUCCGGGCCGCUUCAUCCCACGAUGCCGUCGAAUCAAGAUAAGACUAGUAACGGCAAGCAAUUGACAAAAUCAGCGCCCACAACAUUUGUGUUCUACUCGUGCAUAUAAUCUACGCAUAGAACCUUGGCUCGGAUGCCACUGUUGGGGAACGUGGUAAUUUCAAAAAUUUCCUACACCAUGCAAGGAUCUAUCUAUAAAGAAACCAACAACGAGCAAAGGACUAGAGCAUCUUCAUACCUUUGAAGAUUGCUAAGUGGAAGCGUUGCUAGAACGCGGUUUAUGGAGUCGUACUCGCAGCGAUUCAGAUCGCGGUGGAUUCUGAUCUAUGCACCGAACAACGAUGCCUCCGCGUUCAACACAUGUGCAGCUCGGUGACGUCUCCCAUGCCUUGAUCCAGCAAGGAGGAGGGAGAGGUUGAGGGAGAGCUCCGGCAGCACGACGACGUGGUGGCGGUGGAGCUACGUGGUUCUCCGACAAGGCUUCGCCAAGCGCUGCGGAGGAGGAAGAAGAGAGAGGUAGGGCUGCGCCGUGGGAGAGAGAUAAUUGUGUCUCAAAAAUCCCAAAACCUCAAGUAUAUAUAGGAGGAGGGAGAGGGAAGGCUGCCUUGGACCCUCCUCCAAGGAGGAGAGGUUCGGCCGAGAUAAGGGAGGAGUGGACCUCCCACAAGGGAGGUGGAUCUCUUCCUUUUAAAUCUCCUUUAGACUUAUCUCCUUAUCCCUAGCCGCACGGGCCUUUAGGGAAGGCCUUGACCAGCCCAACAAGGGCUGGUAGACCUCCUCUAACAGCCCAUGAAGUCCUUUGGUCAUCACACCCCUCCCGGGGGUCCUCUGGCACCCUCCCGACACUCCUGGUACACUAUCGAUGAACCCGAAACUUUUUCGGUGACCAAAACAGGACUUCCUAUAUAUCAAUCUUUACCUCCGGAUCAUUUCGGAGCUCCUCGUGACAUCUGGGAUCUCAUACGGGACUCCAAACAACCUUCGGUAACCACAUACUAUUCCCUUAAGUGUGUAGACCCUACGGGUUCGGGAAGCAUGCAGGCAUGACCGAGACACCUCUUCGGUCAAAAACCAACAGAAGGGUCUGGAUAUCCAUGUUGGUUCCCACAUGUUCCACGCGGAUGAACCACGAUGUCAAGGAUUCACUUAAUCCCGUAUGCAAUUCCCUUUAUCUAUCGGUAUGAUACUUGCCCGAGAUUCGAUCGUCGGUAUCACCAUACCUUGUUCAAUCUUGUUACCAGCAAGUCUCUUUACUCGUUUUGUAGCACAUCAUCCCAUGGAUAACUCCUUAGUCACAUUGAGCUCAUUAUGAUGAUGUUCUACCGAGUGGUCCCAGAGAUACCUCUCCGUCACACGGAGUGACAAAUCCCGGUCUUGAUCCGUACCAACCCAACAGACACUUUAGGAGAUACCCAUGGUGCACCUUUAUAAUCACCCAGUUAGUUCUGACGUUUGAUACACCCAAAGCAUUCCUACGGUAUCCGGGAGUUUCAUAAUCUCACGGUCUAAGAAAAAGAUACUUGACAUUGGAAAAGCUUUAGCACACGAACAACACGAUCUAGUGCUAUGCUUAGGAUUGGGUCUUAUCCAUCACAUCAUUCUCCUAAUGAUGUGAUCCUGUUAUCAAUGACAUCCAAGGUCCAUGAUCAAGAAACCAUGAUCAUCUAUUGAUCAACGAGCUAGCCAACUAGAGGCUCAUUAGGGACACAUUGUGAUUUAUGUAUUCACACAUGUAUUACGGUUUUCGGUUAAUAGACUUAUAGCAUGAAUAAUAGACAAUUAUCAUGAACUGGAAAUAUAACAAUAACCACUUUAUUAUUGCCUCUAGGGCAUAGUUCCAACAAUAUGGUAGGUGCUUCCUAGUUCUGUAGUUUUUAGUGUUUUCAGUUGUUUCUAGUCUUUUGUAGAUUUGGCAUGUUUCUCCCAGCUAGAGUUUUCUGAUGUGUUGUUUCUGUUCUUGCAGUUAUACUUCCCUCUAUGUAGGUUCGAACAUUGGUUUUCAUUUGUCGUUUGCUUGAAGGAGAGAGUGUUUUCCUUCCUUGCUUCAUUUUAUGGCCAGUUCUCAGAUUUUCAUAUGAAGAUUCGUGAUAAGAUGGUUAGUUUCUUUUCUGAUCUACUCUUUCCUAUCUAAUUUCCCUUUAGUUUUUGUCUUAGCCUUUUUGUUCUUUGUGUCCUUGUAGGUCAAUAACUUUAUCAACCUUUGGGAUAUGUUCGUGUCUCCUAUCAUGAGGAAGCGUAUUGAGUUCAAAAGUUUUGGCAUUGUGUAUCCUGUGGUUCCUCAGCAAACUAACGUGUACGUGUAGUGGUUUUCUGUAUUCUUGUGGACAUACUUUCCUUUUCAUGUCAUUUUUUAUAUCUUUUUUAUUUUAUUGUUCAGUGGAUUAUUUGCUUUCGUCUUGUUGCACAAUUUUUUUAUUUUUUCUCCAGGGAUGAUUGUGGAGUUUUCUCCAUGAUGUAUAUAAAGCACUGGACUCCUAGGACUCCUAUUGGCAACCUGUUUAUUUAUCCUGAUAUUGAUAACAUUAGGAACAAGCUGGGAAAUGAACUUUAUUUUAGCCCAUCCAACAGUGCCGACAAGUCUUUUGUCUCAAACUUCUUUGGUGAUGUGAGUGUUUUCUUUGGAUUUUUUUGUUUAGUCCUCUACCUUUCUUGUGUGUUUAUUUAUGGCUGCUUCUUAUGUUCGACUACUUUUUGUCUAUGCUUUGUAGGUGCAGAACUAGAUAAGAUUUUCUCUUGUGGGUCGUGAUCAAGCAUGUCAAUGCUCAUUAGUGGUGAUCAUCUCUGAAGAUUAUGGCGGCUAUUUUAGAUUGUAUAGUUUUAGUGUUUUGUUAGCUGUUUUUGUAUAACAACACUAUUAGUGCUACAACGUUCCUAGUCCUCUGGACUUUUAGGCUCAUGAUUUGUAUGCUCGCUGUUGUAUCCCUUGAGUACUAUUUGUUGUUGGGAAUGCUUUUUGCUGGAUUUUUAUGUUCGCUGUUCUAUUUUUUUGGGUGCAUGUGUUCUACUGAUUUUGCUGGAUGAUUGUAUAGUAUGUUGAUUCGUAUUUGCAUGUGCACCCUUCUUAUGUAUUUGCCACAUUUUUUUUCAUUUUUAUUGGUGUUUCUGGUCAUUGUUUUUCAAGGCAGUGGGGUGCGGCAGUGUUGUAUAUACAACUCGUUCUAAGUAAGUUUCUCACAGUCUACUAAUUGAGUAUAUUUAUUUUCAGUUCUUACUAUUUUUCUUCUUGCAUUUUUCUCAUCCAUCUUUGUUGUAUCUUCUUUUUUGCUGCAGUGUUAUUUUAUUGUUUAAAAAUUUCUUGGAGAAUCACUUCAGCAACAAAAUUGUUUAGUGCAUUUGGAGGUGUUUUUUCAUUCUCUUCUGUAUUCUGUAUAUUCAAUUUAUGUUUAUGUGUUUACUGUUGUAUUCCAGUUUUUCUUUUGCACUUUUUGUUGUGAGUGAGAUUGUUGUACUUUCAAAUUCAGCCAUAUAAUCUUAAUAUAAUUCAAAUUCUGCGGUACAGAAAGUAUAAAUAACAUAAAGUUGUAGUAGGUAGAAAACACUCCUUGCCCUCAUGAUACAAAACCGGUAUUGUUCCUAACAAUUUACUAUCUUUCUGUUCAAAUGCAAGAAGAAAAAUAUCUACUUCUCCUUUGUCAUCCACAGAUUCUUGAUCUCUAAGAUUGUGUUGUUGCUGUUUCAUCCUUCUUCUUGUUUCCUUUUUUCCUCUGAUUGUCGCCUUCAUUGUCUCCCCCUGCAUUUUGUUUUAUUACUUUCAUUUAUUGAAUUAAGGUAUAGGACUUGAGAUCCAACAUUCUCUUGUAUUACCUUUCUUUACAUUCCUAGGAUUAUACUGUUUCCGUCGGUUGCUUCUGGGUAGGUUGUAUUGCUUGUCAAGGUUGGUGCAUUUCUUGAUAGUGUGGUUGUUCGAACCGAAGUGCGAGCAUUUGUAGAACUUCUUCUGCUUUAUUGCUUCUCGUAUAGUUAGCAUCCUUGGUCUUCUUUUUGUUUUGCAAUAUCUGGGUCUUGUAUUGUUAGUGAUGUGUGAUACGUCCAUUUUGCAUCAUGUUUUCAUGUUGAUAUUUAUCGCUUCUUGGGCUGUUACUUCACUUCACGGUACAAUUCUUAUGCCUUUUCUCUCUUAUUUUGCAAGGUUUACAUGAAGAGGGAGAAUGCCGGCAACUGGAAUUCUGGCAUGAAAGAGGAGCAAAGUUGAGAUACCUAUUCUGCGCAACUCCAAACGCCGUAAAAAUCAAUAAGGAUUUUUUUCCCGAUUUAUCAAAAAUACUGGGCCGAAGAAGCGCCAGAGGGGCACCAGGGGGUGCCCACAAGCCUGCACGGCGCGACCACCUCCCCAGGCCGCGCCAUGAGGGCUUGUGGGCAGCCCACUGGCCCACUUGCUCCCCUCUUUUGCUAUAUGGAGGGUUUCGUCUAGGAAAAAAAAUCAGGGAGAAGCUUUUUCGUGGUUUCGCCGUCGCCACGAGGCGGAACUUGAGCAGAACCAAUCUAGAGCUCCGGCAGGACGAUCCUGCUGGGGAAACUUCCCUCCCGGAGGGGGAAAUCAUCGCCAUUGUCAUCACCAACACUCCUCUCAUCGGAGGGGACUCGUCACCAUCAACAUCUUCAUCAGCACCAUCUCAUCUCCAAACCCUAGUUCAUCUCUUAUAACCAAUCUCCGUCUCGUGACUCCGAUUGGUACUUGUAAGGUUGCUAGUAGUGUUGAUUACUCUUUGUAGUUGAUGCUAGUUGGAUUAUUUGGUGGAAGAGUUUAUGUUCAGAUCCUUGAUGCUACUCAUUACCUCUCUGGUCAUGAAUAUGAUUAUGCUUUGUGAGUAGUUACUUUUGUUCCCGAGGACAUGGGAUAAGUCAUGCUAAUAGUAGUCAUGUGAAUUUGGUAUUCGUUCGGUAAUUUGAGAUGUUGUAUGUUGUUUUUCCUCUAGUGGUGAUGAACGUCGACUACAUAACACUUCACCAUUAUUUGGGCCUAGAGGAAGACAUUGGGAAGUAGUAAGUAGAUGAUGGGUUGCUAGAGUGAUAGAAGCUUAAACCCUAGUUUAUGCAUUACUUCGUAAGGGGCUAAUUUGGAUCCACUAGUUUAAUGCUAUGGUUAGACUUUGUCUUAAUUCUUCUUUCGUAGUUGCGGAUGCUUGCGAGAGGGGCUAAUCAUAAGUGGGAUGCUUUUCCAAGUAAGGGCAGUACCCAAGCGCCGGUCCACCCACAUAUAAAACUAUCAAAGUAACGAACGCGAAUCAUAUGAGCAUGAUGUAAACUAGCAUGACCGAAAUUCCCGUGUGUCCUCGGGAGCGUUUUUCCUCCUAUAAGACUUUGUUCGGGCUUGUCCCUUUCUACAAAAGGGAUUGGGCCACUUUGCUGCACCGUUGCUACUUUUGUUACUUGUUGCUUGCUACGAAUAAUCUCACCAGACAAUCACUUUUUACCGACAAUUUCAGUGCUUGCAGAUAUUUCCUUGCUGAUAACCACUUGUCAGAUCCUUCUGCUCCUCGUUGGGUUCGACACUCUUACUUAUCGAAAGGACUACGAUUGAUCUCCUAUACUCGUGGGUCAUCAAGACUCUUUUCUGGCGCCGUUGCCGGGGAGUGAAGCGCCUUUGGUAAGUGGAACUUGGUAAGGAAACAUUCAUAUAGUGUGCUGAAAUUUUUUGUCACUUCUCACUAUGGAUACUAAUCCUUUGAGGGGCUUGUUCGGGGUAUCUUCACCUCGAACGAAAGCACAAAGACUUUCUCCUCAACCUGCUGCACCUACUGAAAAUAUUUGCUUUGAGUUUCCUUCGGGUAUGCUUGAGAAAGUGCUGGCUAAUCCUUUUACAGGAGAUGGAACAUCACAUCCAGACUUGCAUCUAAUCUAUGUAGAUGAGGUUGGUGGUUUAUUUAAGCUUGCAGGUGUGCCCGAGGAUGAGGUCAAGAAGAAGGUAUUUCCUUUAUCUUUGAAGUAUAAGGCGUUGACAUGGUAUAGGCUAUGUGAUGAUGCUAGAUCAUGGGACUACAAUCGGUUGAAAUUGGAAUUUCAUCAAAAGUUUUAUCCUAUGCAUUUAGUACAUCAUGAUCGGAAUUAUAUUUAUAAUUUUUGGCCUCGUGACAGAGAAAGCAUCGCUCAAGCUUGUGGGAGGCUUAAAUCAAUGCUAUAUUCAUGCCCCAAUCAUGAGCUCUCGAGAGAAAUUAUCAUUCAGAACUUCUAUGCUUGGCUUUCUCAUGAUGAUCGCACCAUGCUUGACACUUCUUGUACCGGUUCUUUAUGAAGAGAGAUAUUGACUUCAAAUGGAAUUUAUUGGAGAGAAUUAAACACAACUCUGAAGAUUGGGAGCUUGAAGAAGGUAAGGAGUCAGGUAUGAAUUUCACUUUUGAUUGCGUUAAAUCCUUUGUUGAGACAAAUACUUUUUGUGACUUUAGCGCUAAGUAUGGACUUGACUCUAAGAUAGUAGCUUCAUUGUGUGAAUCCUUUGCUGCUCAUAUUGAUCUCCCCAAAGAGAAGUGGUUUAAAUAUCAUCCUCCAUUAGAAGUCAAUGUAGUUAACCCCACUCUAGUUGAAGAGAAAGUCAUUGGCUAUAAUGAUCCUGUGGUUCCUAGUGCUUACAUUGAGAAACCACCUUUCCAUGUUAGGAUAAAGGAUCAUUCUAAAGCUUCAACUAUCAUACGUAGAGGCUACAUUAGAACACCUACACCCCUGAGCAAAUUAGAGUUGAACCUAGCAUUGCUAUUAUCAAAGAUCUUCUGUCUGAAGAAGUUGAUGGAAUAAUAUUCACUUCUGUGAAGAUGCUGCUAGAAUUGCCAAACCUCAUGUUAGAGACAAACAUAGGUCUCUUGUUGGCAUGCCUGUGGUUUCUGUUAAUAUAGGAGAUCAUUGUUAUCAUGGUUUAUGUGACGUGGGUGCUAGUGUUAGUGCAAUACCUCAAUCCUUAUAUGAUGAAAUCAAAGAUGAGAUUGCACCUGUAGAGAUAGAACCUAUAGAUGUCACUAUUUAACUUGCCAAUAGAGGUACUAUCUGCCCUAUAGGAAUUGUUAGGGAUGUUGGAGUCUUGUGUGGUAAAACAUAGUAUCCUGCUGAUUUCCUCGUUCGUGCUACCGCACAAGAUAGCUUUUGUCCCAUCAUAUUUGGCAGACUCUUCCUCAAUACCGUCAAUGCUCAUAUUGACUGUGAGAAGCAAACUGUCACUGUUGGCUUUGAAGGUGUGUCACAUGAGUUCAAUUUCUCCAAGUGUGGUAGACAACCUCAUGCAAAGGAGUUGCCUAGUAAGGAUGAAACUAUUGCCUUAGCUUCUAUUGUCGUGCCUCCUACUGAUCCCUUAGAGCAAUACUUGCUUGAGCAUGAAAAUGAUAUGCAUAUGGAUGAAAGGGAUGAAAUAGAUAGAGUUGUCUUAGAACAAUAUCCUAUCCUUAAGAAUAAUCUGCCUGUUGAAUUGCUUGGGGAUCCACCUCCACCAAAGGGUAAUCCUGUGUUCGAGCUUAAACAGUUGCGUGAUACUCUUAAGUAUGCCUAUCUUGAUGAAAAAUAGAUAUAUCCUGUUAUAAUUAGUGCUAGCCUCUCGGAGCAUGAAGAAAAUAAGUUACUAAAAACUCUGAGGAAGCACCGUGCUUCUAUUGGAUAUACUCAUGAUGAUCUUAAGGGCAUUAGUCCCACUCUAUGCCAGCACAAGAUCAAAACUGAUCCUGAUUUCAAACCAGUUGCUGAUCAUCAAAGGAGAUUGAAUCCUAAGAUGAAAGAAGUAGUAAGAAAAGUAAUACUAAAGCUCCUGGAAGCGGGUAUUAUCUAUCCUGUUGCUCAUAGCGAUUGGGUGAGUCCGGUGCAUUGCGUCCCUAAGAAGGGAGGCAUUACCAUUGUCCCUAAUGAUAAGGAUGAAUUGAUCCCCCACAGGAUUAUUACUGGCUAUAGGAUGGUGAUCGAUUUCAGGAAACUGAAUAAGGCCACUAGAAAAGAUCAUUACCCUUUGCCUUUUAUCGACCAAAUGCUAGAAAGGCGGUCCAAACAUACACACUUCUGCUUUCUAGACGGUUAUUCUAGUUUCUCCCAAAUACCAGUUGCACAAUCUGAUCAGGAGAAAACCACUUUCACCUGUCCUUUCGGUACCUUUGCACCUGCCACAUUUCAAAGAUGUAUGAUGGCUAUAUUCCCUGACUUUUGUGAAAAGAUUGUUGAGGUUUUCAUGGAUGACUUCUCCAUUUACGGGUCUUCCUUUGAUGAUUGCCUCAACAACCUUGAUCGAGUCUUGUAGAGAUGUAAAGACACCAAUCUUGUCUUGAAUUGGGAGAAGUGCCACUUUAUAGUUAAUGAAGGCAUCGUCUUAGGACAUAAAAUUUCUGAAAGAGGUAUUGAAGUCGAUAAGUCUAAGGUUGAUGCAAUCGAGAAAAUGCCAAACCCCAUAGAUAUCAAAGGUAUAAGAAGUUUCCUUGGUCAUGCUGGUUUCUAUAGAAGGUUCAUUAAAGACUUAUCUAAAAUUUCUAGGCCUCUUACUGAUGACCCACAAGUAUAGGGGAUCAGUCAUAUUCCUUUCGAUAAGUAAGAGUGUCGAACCCAACGAGGAGCAGAAGGCUCUGAUAAACGGAUUUCAACAAGGUAAUAACUGCAAGCACUGAAAGUAGCGGUAACAAGUGAUUGUGUAGCGAGGUGAAACGUAGCAAGCAAAAAGUAACAAGUAACAAGUAGUAGCAACGGUGCAGCAAGUGUCCCAAUCCCUUUUGUAACAAGGGACAAGCAUGAACAAAGUCUUAUAGGAGGAAAAACGCUCCCGAGGACACACGGGAAUUUCUGUCAUGCUAGUUUCAUCAUGUUCAUAUGAUUCGCGUUCGUUACUUUGAUAGUUUGAUAUGUGGGUGGACUGGCGCUUGGGUACUGCCCUUACUUGGACAAGCAUCCCACUUAUGAUUAACCUCUCUCGUAAUCAUGCACAACUACAAAAGAAGAAUUAAGACAACGUCUAACCAUAGCAUUAAACUAGUGGAUCCAAAUCAGCCCCUCACGAAGCAACACAUAGACUAGGGUUUAAGCUUCUGUCACUCCAGCAACCCAUCAUCUACUUAAUACUUCCCAAUGCCUUCCUCUAGGCCCAAAUAUGGUGAAGUGUUAUGUAGUCAACGUUCACAUAACACCACUAGAGGAAAAACAACAUACAACAUAUCAAAAUACCUAACCAAUAUCAAAUUCACAUGACUAUUAUUAACAUGACUUAUCCCAUGUCCCAGGAACAAAAGUAACUAAUCACAAAACGUAAUCAUAAUCAUGAUCAGAGGUGUAAUGAAUAGCAUCAAGGAUCUGAACAUAAACUCUUCCACCAAGUAAUCCAACUAGGAUCAACUACAAAGAGUAAUCAACACUACUAGCAACCUAACAAGUACCAAUCGGAGUUGCGAGACGAAGAUUGGUUACAAGAGAUGAACUAGGGAUUGGAGAGGAGAUGGUUCUGAUGAAGAUGUUGAUGAAGAUGCCUCCCCUCCAAUGAGAGGAGUGUUGGUGAUGACGAUGGCGACGAUCUCCCCCUCCGGGAGGGAAGUUUCCCCGGCAGGAUCGUCCUGCCGGAGCUCUAGAUUGGAUCUGCUCAAGUUCCGCCUCGUGGCGGCGGCAAAACCACGAAAAAGCUCCCAUAUGAUUUUUUCUGGACCAAAACCCUUCAUAUAGCAAAAGAGGGGGGCUAGUGGGCCGUCAGGGAGUCCACAAGGUCCCACUCCACCACCAGGGGGGGGUGGUGGUGGCGGUGGCAGGGCUUGUGGCGCCCUAGCAGCCCUACUACGGUACUUCUUUUGCCCAGUAUUUUUAUAUAAUCCCAAAAAAAAUCCACGUAACUUUUCAGGGCAUUUGGAGAUGUGCAGAAUAGUGGACUAAGAUUUGCUCCUUUUCCAGUCCAGAAUUCCAGCUGCCUGAAUUCUCCCUCUUCAAAUAAACCUUGCAAAAUAAGAGAGAAAAGACAUAAAUAUAGUACCACAGGUAAUAUAACAGCCCAUAAAGCAAUAAAUAUCAACAUGAAAGCAUGAUGCAAAAUGGAGGUAUCAACUCCCCCAAGCUUAGACCUCGCUUGUCCUCAAGCGAAAACCAAGUUCCAUAAACAUGUCCACAUGUUGAGGGACGAAGGUGUCGAAAAAACAUAAUACAGACAUGAGGGUAUCAUGAUCACACAUAGAACAACAAUACAUCAUAAAGAUUCUUAUGGGAAAGUAACAAUUCCUUCACAAAGCAAAGCAUGAAGCAAAAACCUUACCGAUAAGUAACCAACAACAGUCCAAAGUCAUUGAGGCAAUUGCAAUUUAUCACAACAUCAGAAAGAGUCAAGUAAGAGCUUGUAAGGCAAAUCCACAUAAUCAAUCAUCUCUUUUGUUUUCCACAAUUGUUACAACUCAUGUGGUACUCAUGGUGUCGAAGUUUCAGCUGGACACAGAGGAAGAUAGGGGCUUAUAGUUUUGCCUCCCAACUGCUUACCUCAAGGGUAAAGUCAACAACAAUAAAGCAUAAGUACUCAACUCCAAGUUGAUAUAUGAAUAUAGAUCUUUCCCAAACAUGUGACGGUAACCAAGACAAAGGCAAAAAAGGGAAUUGGUCAAGAUCACCAUGACACUUACAAGGGCAAAAAGUAAAGGUACAAGAUAGGCCCUUCGCAGAGGGAAGCAUAGGUUGUCAUGCGCUUUUGAGGUUUGGAUGCGUGUCCUCUUAGUGCGGAGGAACGUCACUUUAUAUUGCCUCCUGUGAUAAAGAACUUUAUUAUGCAGUCUCUCGCUUUUAUGUCUUCCUCAUCACAGGUUCGUACAAAGCUUAUUUUCCACACACUAAUAGAUCAUACAUAUUAGAGAGCAAUUUUUAUUGCUUGCACCGAUGACAACUUACUUGAAGGAUCUUAUUCAAUCUAUAGGUAGGUAUGGUGGACUCUCAUGGCAAAACUGGGUUGGAGGUUUAUGGAUGCACAAGUAGUAUUUCUACUUGGUGCGGGAGUUUUGGCUAAUAUGAGGUGGAAGCAAUCGUCACAUGCUAGGGGAUCUCUAAUCAUAUAACAUUGUUUGGAACCAAGCAAACACAAUUCAUCAUGUUGUCUUCCUUGUCCAACAUCUACUCCUAAGCAUGUAAUAGUUUGGUGAGUGCUCACAAUUGUAAAAAGUGUCUAAGAUGAUAUAUUUAUAUGUGAACCUCUCUUUCCUUAUUACUUCUUAUUAAUUGCAACAAUGACUGAGGUCUAUGUUGAUUCAUUCUCAUGAUCUUUCAUGCUAUCGUUCUUUUCAUACUUUUGAUCAUGGCACAAAGCAAAGCCCUUGACUAAGAUACUCUUUAUUAUAUAGCUCGCGAGCUCGAAUACAUCGGGGGAGAGGCAAAAGCAAAAGACUGAAACUAAAAACUAAAGACUUAUUCCUCUAAGAGAAGAAAUAAAAACUGAAAAGGAAAGAACUAAAACAAAGGUAAAAGCAAAAGAUAUAAAGGUGAUACGAUACCAGGGCAACUCCCCCAAGCUUUGCAGAAGCCAAGGGGAUUGCCCAUACCAAUGCUUAGUUGUCUUCCUUUGGUGGUGAUGGUUGUGGAGUUGUUGGAGUAGACUGAUCCUCCGUCUUCCAAGGCAUAGGUGCUCCAUCAUGGCAGGAUGAACGAGUCGCCGGAAUCCUCAAAUCUGCAGCCAACCUUAUUGAUUUAAUCUGUACUCAUACUCACAGUUUUGGUUCUGCAGGUAAUAGAUCUGGCCCUGAAGUUGAUCAACCCUCUCAUAGAGCCUAGAGAGGUGUUUCCCAAUGUCAAUGGCAUCCAUGUUGUGAUUGCUAGUGAACUCCGUGAUCAUCAUGUGGUUGGCGUUGAGUCCACGCUCCACCAUCCCCUCGCACUUGAAGACUUGUUGCUCCAUUGCUUCGAGCCUCGUCUCCAUGCUUCCGGUCUUCUUAGGCCCCUCAACAUCGCGGAUGUGCAACAUCCCCUCGCUCAUCUUGAUAGAUUGAGGGUGUUUCAGCACUUCCGUGAGGUAGGGAUUGAUGACCUUCUCGAAGAUCUUGUCCUUGGGAGCGUUUGGGGAAGUCACGAUGAUCUAGAUCUGUCACAGAAACAGGCUCGAAACAAAAACAGAGGAAAACUGCGAGAUACGGAGAUUAAAACCUUCGGGCAAGUAUAUAUUGAUUUUUUCUAGACCAGAAGGAGUGCUCCACAAGAAAACGGAGACCGAGAGGCACAUGAUGUGCCCACAAGCUUGCCCUGUGCCACCAAGGGGGGUAGGGGGCGGUGGCAGGGCUUGUGGCCGCCUCGUUCGCUCUCCAGACUGCCUUUUAUUUUUCUAAUUUUCCAAAAAUUCCAAAACGGAGGAAAUUUCCUAUUGGAAAAGCAUCGGAGUCCAAUUUCUUACCGAAACAGAUGCCUCUUCGUUUUCAGGGUCUGAAACAGGCUGAUAAACAUCCCUUAUGUACUCCUCUGGAGUUAUCACAUUGAUUAUAUUGGUCUCAACAUUUAUGGGAGUACCAAAGAUGUAAUGCUUGAUUCUUUGCCCAUUUACCACUCUAGGAAAAUUUCCUUCCGUGUUAUUGAUUUUGAUGGCAUCGGAACGAUAUACUUCCUCGAUAACAUAAGGUCCUUCCCAUUUAGAGAGAAGGUUGCGUGCGAAGAAUCUCAAACGAGAAUUGUAUAGCAAGACAUAAUCACCUACAUUGAACUCUCAUUUCUGUAUUCGUUUGUCGUGCCAUCUCUUAACCUUUUCCUUGAACAACUUGGCAUUCUCAUAUGCCUGGGUCCUCCAUUCAUCUAACGAGCUGAUAUCAAACAACCGCUUCUCACCGGCAAGUUUGAAAUCAAAGUUGAGCUCUUUGAUUGCCCAAUAAACUUUGUGUUCCAGCUCAAGAGGUAAAUGACAGGCCUUACCGUAAACCAUUUUAUAUGGUGACAUGCCCAUGGGAUUCUUAUAAGCAGUCCUAUAAUCCCAUAGUGCAUCGUCAAGUUUGCUAGACCAAUUCUUUCGAGAUCUAUUGACGGUCUUUUGUAGGAUCAACUUGAUCUCCCUAUUACUCAACUCCACUUGACCACUAGACUGAGGAUGAUAAGGAGAUGCAACUCUAUGGUUGACAUCAUACUUAGCUAGCAUCUUGCGUAAAACACCAUGAAUGAAGUGUGAACCGCCAUCAGUCAUCAAGUAUCUAGGGACUCGAAAUCUUGGGAAUAUGACUUCUUUAAGCAUCUUAAUAGAGGUGUGGUGAUCAACAUUUUUAGUGGGGAUAGCUUCUACCCACUCAGUAACAUAAUCCACAGCAACUAAGAUGUGAGUGUACCCAUUGGAACUCGGGAAAGCUCCCAUUUAAUCAAAGCCCCAGACAUCAAAUGGUUCAAUGACAAGUGAAUAGUUCAUAGGAAUUUCCUGACGCUUACUGAUAUUCCCUAUUCUUUGGCAUUCGUCACAAGACAAGACAAACUUACGGGCAUCCUUAAAGAGAGUGGGCCAAUAGAAACCUGAUUGCAAUACCUUAUGGGCAGUUCUAUCUCCAGCGUGGUGUACUCCGUAGGCUUCGGAAUGACACUUCUGCAGGAUCUGUCCCUGUUCAUGUUCAGGCACACAACGUCUAAUAACACCAUCUACUCCUUCCUUAUAAAGGUGAGGACCAUCCCAAAAGUAGUGUCUCAAAUCAAAGAAGAAUUUCUUCUUUUGCUGAUAGGUGAAACUGGGUGGUAUGUAUUUGGCUACGAUAUAGUUUGCAUAAUCGGCAUACCACGAUGCACUAUGUGACGUGCGGAUGACAUUUAAUUGCUCAUCACGAAAGCUAUCAUCAAUAGGUAGUGGGUCAUCAAGGACAUUCUCUAGCCUAGACAAGUUAUCUGUUACAGGGUUAUCAACACCCUUUCGGUCAACGACAUGCAAAUCAAAUUCCUGUAGCAGGAGAACCCAUCUGAUUAGCCUAGGCUUAGCGUCCUUCUUCUCCAUAAGGUACUUAAUAGCAGCAUGAUCAGAGUGAAUAGUGACUUUAGAGUCAACUAUGUAAGAUCUGAACUUUUCACAUGCGAACACGACUGCUAAAAUUCCUUCUCCGUAGUGGCAUAGUUUCUUUGGGCACUGUCUAGAGUUUUACUAGCGUAGUGAAUAACAUUCAACUUCUCGUCAACUCUUUGUCCUAGAACAGCACCAACAGCAUAAUCACUAGCGUCGCACAUGAUUUCAAAGGGCAAGUUCCAGUCAGGUGGUUGAACAAUAGGUGCGGUUAUCAAAGCCUUCUUAAGUAUUUCGAAAGCUUCCUCACAAUCCUCAUCAAAAACAAAAGGAACAUCCUUCUGCAAAAGGUUGGUAAGAGGCCUAGAAAUCUUAGAGAAGUCUUUAAUGAACCUUCUAUAAAAACCGGCAUGACCUAGGAAACUUCGUAUACCUAUGAUAUCUAUGGGGCAAGGCAUUUUCUCAAUUGCAUCAACCUUAGCCUUAUCAAAUUCAAUGCCUCUCUCAGAAAUUUUGUGUCCUAAGACGAUGCCUUCAUUAACCAUAAAGUGGCACUUCUCCCAAUUCAAGACAAGGUUGGUAUCUUCGCAUCUCUGUAAGAAUCGAUCAAGGUUGCCGAGGCAAUCAUCAAAGGAAGACUCGUAAACAAAGAAGUCAUCCAUGGAAACCUCGACAAUCUUUUCACAAAAGUCACAGAAUAUAGCCAUCAUACAUCUUUGAAAGGUGGCAGGUGCAUUGCAUAAGCCAAAAGGCAUACGUCUAUAGGCAAAGGUACCGAAGAGGCAGGUGAAAGUGGUUUUCUCCUGAUCAGAUUGUGCAACAAGUAUUUGCGAGAAACCUGAAUAACCGUCUAGAAAGCAGAAGUGUGCGUGUUUUGAUAGCCUUUCUAGCAUUUGGUCGAUGAACGGCAAAGGAUAAUGAUCUUUCCUGGUUGCCUUGUUCAGUUUCCGGAAGUCUAUCACCAUCCUAUAGCCGGUAAUAAUCCUUUGUGGGAUUAGUUCAUCCUUAUCAUUAGGAACGACGGUGAUACCUCCCUUCUUAGGUACGCAAUGUACUGGACUUACCCAAUCACUAUGGGCAACAGGAUAAAUGAUUCCUGCUUCCAGAAGCUUUAAUAUUUCUUUUCUAACGACCUCUUUCAUCUUAGGAUUUAAUCUCCUUUGAUGAUCAACAACUGGUUUGAAGUCAGGAUCAGUUUUAAUCUUAUGCUGACAUAGAGUAGGACUAAUACCCUUAAGAUCAUCGAGAGUAUAUCCAAUAGAAGCAUGGUGCUUCCUCAGAGUUCUUAGUAACUUCCUCUCUUCGUGCUCUGAGAGGAGGGCACUAAUAAUGACAGGAUAUAUCUCCUUCUCAUCAAGAUAGGCAUACUUAAGAGUAUCAUGCAACUGUUUAAGCUCGAACACAGGAUCACCCUUUGGUGGGGGAGGAUCCCCAAGCAGUUCAACACGCAGAUUAUUCUUGAGAAUAGGAUAUUGUUCUAAGACAAUUUUAUCUAUCUCAUCUCUCUCCUCCAUAUGCGUAUCAUUUUCAUGCUCAAGCAGAUAUUUCUCUAAAGGAUCCGUAGGAGGUACAACAAUAGAGGCAAGAGCAAUGAUUUCAUCCCUACCAGACGACUCUCUUUCAUGGGGUUGUCUUCCAAACUUGGAGAAGUUAAAUUCAUGAGACACACCCUUGAAACUAACAGCGACGGUAUGCUUAGUGCAAUCAAUGUGAGCAUUGACAGUGUUGAGAAAGGGUCUACCAAAUAUGAUGGGACAAAAGCUAUCUUGCGCAGUACCAAGGACGAGGAAAUUAGUAGGAUACUUCAUCUUACCACACAGGACUUCUACGUCUCUCACAAUUCCCAGAGGGCAGAUAGUGUCUCUAUUAGCUAGCGUAAUAGUGACAUCAAUGGGUUCUAACUCACCAGGUGCAAUCUCAUCUUUAAUUUCAUCAUAUAGAGAACGGGGUAUUGCGCUAACACUAGCUCCCAUAUCACAUAAACCAUGGUAACAGUGAUCUCCUAUCUUGACAGAAACAACGGGAAGGCCAACUACAGGUCCGUAUUUGUCUUCCGCGUGAGGUUUAGCAAUUCUAGCGGAGUCCUCACAGAAUUUGAUAACAUGCCCAUCUAUGUCUUCGGCUAAGAGAUCUUUGAUAAUAGCAACACUAGGUUCAACUCUAAUCUCCUCAGGGGGUGCAAGUGGUCUAAUGUAACCCCUACGUAUCACAGUUGGAGCUUUAGAAUAAUCCUUUAUCCUAGCAGGGUAUGGUGGUUUCUCAGUGUAAGCACAAGGAACAACAUGAUCACUAAAAGCAAUGACUUUCUCCUCAGCUAGAUUGGUUUUGGCUAUGUUGCUUUCUACAGGAGGAUGAUAUUUAAACCACUUCUCUUCGGGAAGAUCAACAUGAGCAGCAAAAGAUUCACAUAGAGAAGCUACUAUCUCAGAGUCAAGUCCAUACUUAGCGCUAAAAUCUCUAAAAGUGUUUGUCUCAACAAAAGAUUUAACACAAUCAAACUGGAAAUUCAUACGUGACUCCUUACCUUCCUCCAGCUCCCAAUCUUCAGAGUUGCGUUUGAUUCUUUCCAAUAAAUUCCACUUGUGAUCAAUAUCCUUCUUCAUAAAAGAACCGGUACAAGAAGUAUCAAGCAUAGUAGAUCUUCAUGAGAAAGCCGAGCAUAAAAGUUUUGGGUGAUGAUUUAUCUCGAGAGCUCAUGAUUGGGGCAUGAAUAUAUCAUUGAUUUAAGCUUCCCCCAAGCUUGAGCUAUGCUUUCCCUGUCACGAGGCCAAAAGUUAUAAAUAAAGUUCCGAUCACGAUGUACUAAAUGCAUAGGAUAGAACUUUUGAUGAAAUUCCAAUUUCAACCGAUUGUAGCCCCAUGAUCUAGUAUCAUCACAUAGCCUAUACCAUGUCAACGCCUUAUCCUUCAAACAUAAAGGAAAUAAUUUCUUCUUUACCUCAUCCUCGGGCAAACCUGCAAGCUAAAAUAAACCAUAAACUUCAUCUACAUAGAUCAGAUGCAAGUCUGGAUGUGAAGAUCCAUCUCUUGUGAAAGGAUUAGCCACCAGUUUCUCAAGCAUACCCGAAGGAAUUUCAUAAAAGAUAUUUUCAGUAGGUACCUCAGGUUGAGGAACAACUCCCCGUGCUUCCGUUCGUGGUGAAGAUACCCCGAACAAACUCCUCAAAGGGACAGUUUCCAUAGUGACAAGUGACAUUAAAUUUCAGCACAGUAUAUAGAUGUUUCCUUACCAAUGUCCACUUACCAAAGGCGCUUCACUCCCCGGCAAUGGCGCCAGAAAAGAGUCUUGAUGACCCACAAGUAUAUGGGAUCAAUCGUAGUCCUUUCGAUAAGUAAGAGUGUCGAACCCAACGAGGAGCAGAAGGCUCUGAUAAACGGAUUUCAGCAAGGUAAUAACUGCAAGCACUGAAAGUAGCGGUAACAAGUGAUUGUGUAGCGAGGUGAAACGUAGCAAGCAAAAAGUAACAAGUAACAAGUAGUAGCAACGGUGCAGCAAGUGUCCCAAUCCCUUUUGUAACAAGGGACAAGCAUGAACAAAGUCUUAUAGGAGGAAAAACGCUCCCGAGGACACACGGGAAUUUCUGUCAUGCUAGUUUCAUCAUGUUCAUAUGAUUCGCGUUCGUUACUUUGAUAGNNNNAUAUGUGGGUGGACCGACGCUUGGGUACUGCCCUUACUUGGACAAGCAUCCCACUUAUGAUUAACCUCUCUCGCAAGCAUCCGCAACUACAAAAGAAGAAUUAAGACAACGUCUAACCAUAACAUUAAACUAGUGGAUCCAAAUCAGCCCCUCACGAAGCAACGCAUAGACUAGGGUUUAAGCUUCUGUCACUCCAGCAACCCAUCAUCUACUUACUACUUCCCAAUGCCUUCCUCUUGGCCCAAAUAUGGUGAAGUGUUAUGUAGUCGACGUUCACAUAACACCACUAGAGGAAAAACAACAUACAUCAUAUCAAAAUACCAAACGAAUAUCAAAUUCACAUGACUAUUAUUAACAUGACUUAUCCCAUGUCCUGAGGAACAAAAGUAACUACUCACAAAACAUAAUCAUAAUCAUGAUCAGAGGUGUAAUGAAUAGCAUCAAGGAUCUGAACAUAAACUCUUCCACCAAGUAAUCCAACUAGCAUCAACUACAAAGAGUAAUCAACACUACUAGCAACCUUACAAAUACCAAUCGGAGUUGCGAGACGAAGAUUGGUUACAAGAGAUGAACUAGGGAUUGGAGAGGAGAUGGCGCAGAUGAAGAUGUUGAUGAAGAUGCCUCCCCUCCGACGAGAGGAGUGUUGGUGAUGACGAUGGCGACGAUCUCCCCCUCCAGGAGGGAAGUUUCCCCGGCAGGAUCAUCCUGCCGGAGCUCUAGAUUGGAUCUGCUCAAGUUCCGCCUCGUGGCGGCGUCGAAACCACGAAAAAGCUCCCGUAUGAUAUUUUCUGGACCAAAACCCUUCAUAUAGCAAAAGAGGGGGGCUAGUGGGCCGUCAGGGAGCCCACAAGCCCCCACUCCGCCACUAGGGGGUGGUGGCGGUGGCAGGGCUUGUGGUGCCCUGGCAGCCCCCCUCCGGUACUUCUUUCGCCCAGUAUUUUUUACAUAAUCCCAAUACAAAUCCACGUAACUUUUCAGGGCAUUUGGAGAUGUGCAGAAUAGUGGACUAAGAUUUGCUCCUUUUCCAGUCCAGAAUUCCAGCUGCCUGAAUUCUCCCUCUUCAAAUAAACCUUGCAAAAUAAGAGAGAAAAUGCAUAAAUAUGGUACCACAAGUAAUAUAACAGCCCAUAAAGCAAUAAACAUCAACAUGAAAGCAUGAUGCAAAAUGGACGUAUCACUUACCAAUCUCUUGCAAAAGGAUAUUCCUUUUGUUUUUGACGAUGAUUGUGAGGAAGCCUUCGAAAUACUUAAGAGGGCUUUGAUAACUGCACCUAUUGUUCAACCACCUGAUUGAAACUUGCCAUUUGAGAUCAUGUGUGACGCUAGUGAUUAUGCUGUUGGUGCUGUUCUAGGGCAAAGAGUUGAUAAGAAGUUGAAUGUUAUUCACUAUGCUAGUAAAACUCUAGACAGUGCCCAGAGAAACUAUGCUACUACGGAGAAGGAAUUUUUAGCUGUCGUGUUUGCAUGUGAAAAGUUCAGGUCUUACAUAGUUGAUUCCAAAGUCACUAUUCACACUGAUCAUGCUGCUAUUAAGUACCUCAUGGAGAAGAAGCACGGUAAACCUAGACUUAUCAGAUGGGUUCUCUUGCUACAAGAAUUUGAUUUGCACGUUGUCGACAGAAAGGGUGCUGAUAACCCAGUAGCAGAUAACUUGUCUAGGUUGGAGAACGUUCUUGAUGACCCACAACCUAUUGAUGAUAGCUUUCCCGAUGAGCAACUGAAUCUCAUCAAUGCUUCACAUAGUGCACCGUGGUAUGCUGAUUAUGCAAACUAUAUCGUUGCCAAAUACAUACCACCCAGUUUCACGUACCAGCAAAAGAAGAAGUUCUUCUUUGACUUGAGACACUACUUUUGGGAUGAUCCUCACCUUUAUAAGGAAAGAGUAGAUGGUGUUAUUAGAUGUUGUGUACCUGAACAUGAACAGGGACAGAUCCUACAGAAGUGUCACUCCGAGGCCUACGGAGGACACCAUGCGGGAGAUAGAACUGCACACAAGGCAUUGCAAUCAGGUUUCUAUUGGCCCACUCUCUUCAAGGAUGCCCAUAAGUUUGUCUUGUCUUGUGACGAAUGUCAAAGAAUAGGUAAUAUUAGCAAACGUCAGGAAAUGCCUAUGAACUAUUCACUUGUCAUUGAACCAUUUGAUGUUUGGUUCUUUGAUUAUAUGGGACCUUUUCCCAAAUCCAAUGGGUAUACUCAUAUCGUAGUUGUUGUUGAUUACGUCACUAAGUGGGUAGAAGCUAUCCCCACUAGUAGUGCUAAUCACAACGCCUCUAUCAAGAUGCUGAAAGAAGUUAUCUUCCCAAGAUUUGGAGUCCCUAGAUAUUUAAUGACCGAUGGUGGUUCACACUUCAUUCAUGGUGCUUUUCGUAAAACGCUUGCUAAGUACGAUGUCAACCAUAGAAUUGCGUCUCGCUAUCACCCUCAGUCCAGUGGUCAACUAGAGCUAAGUAAUAGAGAUAUUAAACUGAUUCUGCAAAAGACUGUCAACAGGUCUAGAAAGAAUUGGUCUAAGAAGCUCGAUGAUGCACUGUGGGCUUAUAGAACUGCCUAUAAGAAUCCCAUGGGCAUGUCUCCGUACAAAAUGGUGUACGGUAAAGCAUGUCAUUUACCUCUUGAGCUAGAGCAUAAAGCUUAUUGGGCAAUCAAGGAGCUCAACUUUGAUUUCAAACUUGCCGGUGAGAAGAGGUUAUUUGACAUUAGCUCGCUUGAUGAAUGGAGAACUCAGGCAUAUGAGAAUGNAAUCAUUAUAUAUACUCCCAUUUGGUCUGACCUCUGCAUCACGCAGAUUUCCUCUGUUUUUCGUUUCGAGCCUGUUUUCUGCCGCAGAUCUAGGUUAAGAUGUCUUCUGAGGAUUCAGAGGGGGAGAGCUAUGUGGCUGGUUACCGUGCUAACCCCAAGGUCUAUGGGGACUUUGAUCCAUAUGGUUGGACCACUGAUGAGGAAGAAGAUUAUGAUCCCAAGGGGAAGGAAGAAACGAGUUCCGAUGAAGAGCAGGCUCCUCUACCUCAACCUGGACGCACGCAUGUGGAGUUCAAGAAGUCGAGCCUCCCUGACUCAAGGAAGAAGCCUAAGACCUUGUUUUUCCCUUCUCGUUUCUUGCAGGAGAGUAAGCAGGAAUUAUGCAAAAGGGUUUUGAAGCUUGAAGAGGAAAAUGAUGAUCUGAGGGAGCAAAAUUUUAUGCUCAAGUGGAAAUUAAAUAAGCUCAAGACCUCUUCAACAACUCCACCACCAUCAUCACCAAAGGAAGACAACGGAGCAUUGGUAUGGGCAAUCCCCUUGGCUUGUGCCAAGCUUGGGGGAGUUGCCCUGGUAUCGUAUCACCAUCACAUCUUUUGCCUUUACCUUUGUUUUAGUUUUCCUUUUUCAGUUUUCUCUUUUUCUAGUAGAGUAAAAGUCUUAGUGUUUUAGUUUUGAGUUUAGCUUUGUGUCACCCCUGAUGUAUUCUUGCUCGUGAGCCAUAUAAUAAAGAGUUUCUUAUUUGAAGGGCUUUUCCUCUUGCCAUGAUCGAAAGAGUGAGAAUAGAACAAAAGCAUGAAAGAUCAUGUAGUGAUCUUAUGGGAAGUGAUGGCUUCACAUAUAAAAAGAAUGAGGAUUGAAACUUGUUGAGGGUAGGCAAACGUAGACCUUGGUCAUGGUUGCAAUUAAUAGGAAGUGAUAAAGAAGGAGAGGUUCACAUAUAAAUAUAUCAUCUCUGACACCAUCUAUGAUUGUGAACACUCACUAAACUAUUACAUGCCUAGAAGUAGAUGUUGGACAAGGAAGACAACAUAAUGAAUUGUGUUUGCUUGGCUCUGAAUAAUGUUAUAUGAUUAGAGAUCCCUUAGCAUGUGACGAUUGCUUCCACCUCACAUUAGCCAAACCUCCCGCACCAAGUAGAGAUAGUACUUGUGCAUCCAUAAACCUUCAACCCAGGUUUGCCAUGAGUGUCCACCAUACCUACCUAUGGAUUGAAUAAGAUCCCUCAAGUAAGUUGUCAUCAGUGCAAGCAAUAAAAAUUGCUCUCUAAUAUGUAUGAUCUAUUAGUGUGUGGAAAAUAAGAUUUAUACGAACCUGUGAUGAGGAAGACAUAAAAGCGACAGACUGCAUAAUAAAGUUCUUUAUCACACGGGGCAAUAUAAAGUGACGUUCCUCCGCACUAAGAGGACACACAACCAAACCUCAAAAGCGCAUGACAACCUCUGCUUCCCUCUGCGAAGGGCCUAUCAUGUACCUUUACUUUUUGCCCUUGAAAGAGUCAUGGUGAUCUUCACCAAUUCCUUAUUUCGCCUUUAUCUUGGCUACCGUCAUAUGCUUGGGAAAGAUCUAUAUUCAUAUGUCAACUUGGAGGUGAGCAUUCAUGAAUUAUUAUUGUUGACAUUACCCUUGAGGUAAGCAGUUGGGAGGCAAAACUAUAAGCCCCUAUCUUUCUUUGUGUCUAGCUGAAACUUUGAUCUCAUGAGUACCACGUGAGUUGUAGCAAUUGUAGAGAAUGAAAGAAUGAUUGAGUAUGUGGAUUUGCUUUACAAGCUCUUAUUUGACUCUUUCUGAUGUUGUGAUAAAUUGCAAUUGCUUCAAUGACUAAAGGCUAUCGGUUGUUACUUCUCGGUAAGGUUCUUGAUCCAUGUUUUACUUUGUGAAGGAAUUAUCACUUUAGCAUGAGAGAUUAUAUGUUGGUAUUGCUGUUCUGAUCAUGAUCAUGAUGCAUGCAUGUUCGUAUCUUGUUUUGUCGACACCUUGCUCCCUAAACAUGUGGACAUAUUUAUUGAGCUAGGCUUUCGCUUGAGGACAAGCGAGGUCUAAGCUUGGGGGAGUUGAUACGUCCAUUUUGCAUCAUGUUUUCAUGUUGAUAUUUAUCGCUUCUUGGGCUUGAGGACAAUUCUUAUGCCUUUUCUCUCUUAUUUUGCAAGGUUUACAUGAAGAGGGAGAAUGCCGGCAACUGGAAUUCUGGCCUGAAAGUGGAGCAAAGUUGAGAUACCUAUUCUGCGCAACUCCAAACGCCGUAAAAAUCAACGAGGAUUUUUCCCGAUUUAUCAAAAAUACUAGGCCGAAGAAGCGCCAGAGGGGCACCAGGGGGUGCCCACAAGCCUGCACGGCGCGGCCACCCCCCAGGCCGCGCCAUGAGGGCUUGUGGGCAGCCCACUGGCCCACUUGGUGCCCUCUUUUGCUAUAUGGAGGGUUUCGUCCAGGAAAAAAAUCAGGGAGGAGCUUUUUCAUGGUUUCGCUGCCGCCACGAGGCAGAACUUGAGCAGAACCAAUCUAGAGCUCCGGCAGGACGAUCCUGCUGGGGAAACUUCCCUCCCGGAGGGGGAAAUCAUCGCCAUUGUCAUCACCAACACUCCUCUCAUCGGAGGGGACUCGUCACCAUCAACAUCUUCAUCAGCACCAUCUCAUCUCCAAACCCUAGUUCAUCUCUUGUAACCAAUCUCCGUCUCGCGACUCCGAUUGGUACUUGUAAGGUUGCUAGUAGUGUUGAUUACUCUUUGUAGUUGAUGCUAGUUGGAUUACUUGGUGGAAGAGUUUAUGUUCAGAUCCUUGAUGCUACUCAUUACCUCUCUAGUCAUGAAUAUGAUUAUGAUUUGUGAGUAGUUACUUUUGUUCCUGAAGACAUGGGAUAAGUCAUGCUAAUAGUAGUCAUGUGAAUUUGGUAUUCGUUCGGUAAUUUGAUAUGUUGUAUGUUGUUUUUCCUCUAGUGGUGUUAUGUGAACGUCGACUACAUAACACUUCACCAUUAUUUGGGCCUAGAGGAAGGCAUUGGGAAAUAGUAAGUAGAUGAUGGGUUGCUAGAGUGACAGAAGCUUAAACCCUAGUUUAUGCGUUACUUCGUAAGGGGCUGAUUUGGAUCCACUAGUUUAAUGCUAUGGUUAGACUUUGUCUUAAUUCUUCUUUCAUAGUUGCGGAUGCUUGCGAGAGGGGUUAAUAAUAAGUGGGAUGCUUGUCCAAGUAAGGGCAGUACCCAAGCGUCAGUCCACCCACAUAUCAAACUAUCAAAGUAACGAAUGCGAAUCAUAUGAGCAUGAUGAAAACUAGCAUGACAGAAAUUCCCGUGUGUCCUCGGGAGCGUUUUUCCUCCUAUAAGACUUUGUUCAGGCUUGUCCCUUGAUACAAAAGGGAUUGGGCCACUUUGCUGCACUGUUGCUACUUUUGUUACUUGUUGCUUGCUACGAAUCAUCUCACCACAGAAUCACUUGUUACCAGCAAUUUCAGUGCUUGCAGAUAUUUUCUUGCUGAUAACCACUUGUCAGGUCCUUCUGCUCCUCGUUGGGUUCGACACUAUUACUUAUCGAAAGGACUACGAUUGAUCCCCUAUACUUGUGGGUGAUCAAUGUGGUUGUUCCUUCUCCAUCCCCUGUUGUUGGUAUGAAAGUGACUGUUCGAGUGGUUUCUAUCUGCCCCUCAUCUCCAGUUUCUUCUUCGUCAUCCAUUUCUCACAGUCUUUUCUGUAUCCUAUCCAAUUCUCCAAGUAGGUAUUCAUAUUUCCUUUUCGUCUUUGAUGCAUUGGAUGCAACGUGUACCAAUUUCCUUGCAAGUACAUUGUAUCUCAAUGUCGAGUUCUGAGCUGCCACUGCUGGUGUACGUCUUUGUCAAUUCUUUUUUGUAGUCAUUUUUUCUUUAGAUGGAUCAUCACUCGUAGUAUGUGUGAACAUAAUAUCCCAUCUUUUUGGAAUGUACAACAUAUGCAAGAGUAUUCUUCUUCAUUUAGACAUACUUGCACUAGAUAUUUUCUUUUCCUUAGCUCCUUUAAGGUGCAGCUCUCUGAUUGGCACACGUUGUAGUACUUGUUUUUUUCAUGUUCGUACACAUUGAGUCUUGUAGUAUCCGCCAUCUUCUGUUGAAAUUUCCUGAAGAUGCCAAGGUUAUAUAGUUCAUGAGCUUGCCUUUCUAUGCCAUAUUUUGACCAAAAUGCUUUCAUGGCAACCUUUUUUGUCCUGAGUUGUGGUCACAUUCUUCUUCCCUGUCAUGAACCACAUCAAUUAUCCUGUCGUACUCCCUUAAAAAGCUGGUAACAUUGAUCUUUGCUCCAACCCCGUUUUUGAAUAGGGCAUUAGUUCCUUCACUCCUUGCUGUUGUAUGUAUAAAGGGGUAUAAUUUGUCCUUGAAAUAAACAGGAAUAUUUUUUUCCUGUUUUCCCACAUGUCACUGAAGUAUUUUGUGUGGUGGACUUGGUACUUCGCUAUCAUUUCUGUCCAUUGUGUUUCAAAUUCUUCCACAGUCGGUGAGUUGUCCAAUAUGUCCUGAAAAUCUUCAUAUAAUCCCUCGUUUGCUUGAAAACAGGGAUCUACCUUCUCCUCUGCCUUUUUCUUUAUGUGAAACAAGCAACCCCUGUGUGUGGCAUUAGGGAAAACUCUUUCUAUUGCUUGUUGCAUAGCUUUGUCUUGAUCAGUGAUGAUUGAUAUUGGAUGCUUACCUCCCAUGGCCAUCAAGAACUGUUCAAACAACCAACUGAAUGUAUUUGCUGUUUCAUUGAUUAUGAAUCCACAACCAAACAAGUAUGUGUUUCCAUGUGGUGAUAUUCCAACAAAUGGUGCGAAAGGUAGGUUGUAUUUGUUUGUUAGGAAUGUUGUGUCAAAACUUAUGCAGUCACCACAAAUUUCAUACAUGAUUCUUGACCUCACAUGUGUCCAGACUAAGCUUGUUACUUUAUUGUCUCCAUCAAGCUCCAACGAGUAGCAAAACCCAGGAUUUUCUGCUUGCUUCUUGUUGAACAUUUGCACUACUUCCAUCAUGUCAGAGUUUUUCAUGUCUCUAUUUAUUGUUCUUGCAUAAUUUGUGACCUUCUUCUUCGUGUAGGNNNNNNNNNNNNNNNNNNNNNNNNNNNNNNNNNNNNNNNNNNNNNNNNNNNNNNNNNNNNNNNNNNNNNNNNNNNNNNNNNNNNNNNNNNNNNNNNNNNNNNNNNNNNNNNNNNNNNNNNNNNNNNNNNNNNNNNNNNNNNNNNNNNNNNNNNNNNNNNNNNNNNUGUAGGGUAGGUUAGCCGUGCCUCCUCUCAAGUAUGCUAGGACAACAACUAUCCUUCUCAUCUCUAGGUUAGUAUGCUUCAAAACUCUAAUCACACACUUCUCCUCAUCUGACAUGUAUUUAUGUGAUCUGAAGAAUCUACUGUUUGGCGUCAUUUCAUGGUUGUGUUCUACUUGUAGUCUUGUAACAACCCACGCGCCUUGUUUUUCAGUAAUGAUCAUCACAACUUUGCAAUCAGAUUUUGCAAUGGCAGUAGUCUUUCUUAUAUGCACUUCAUUUUCCUUUUCCCCUUCUUUUGUCUUGCCAUACUUGUUGCAUUUCAUAGUAAUUCUUGUAAGUUCAUUGUUCCUUUUCUUGCUCACUAUUCUUGAUGCUGCCACAGUUUCCACUGAGAACCCAACUAUUUUUGAGUAAAAAUUGAAGUACUCGUGUGCUUCUUCCUUUGCUUUGAAUUGCACGCCAAGAUGUGGUUUGAAAUUGUUGAUAGUGUUAAUCAAAUUUCCUUCUGAUGCUGCAUUCUCUUCAUUUUACAGGAACAACUCAAUGUCAUCUUCAUCAAGAAAUGCAUCUUCAUCAUCAAAGGAGGUACUGAUUUCCCGUUGUUGGUGCAAGUCCUCUUGUUCCCCUCUUUCUUCUUGAAUGUUUUAAUUUGUGAUAGUGUUGGUUGUUGUUGUAUGAGCAGCAUCUUCAUUCAUCUGUUUUUUCAGUGUCAAUGUGUUAGAUUUUAGUUUGUGACUUUUUUGUUUUUAUGAUAUGUAGUUGAAUCACUUGAUUUUGUAUCCUGUUACCUCAUGUAUGUUGAUGUUCUCAAUCAGGUCUGCCUCCCAAGGAUUUUCUUCUGCUCGUGCCUCUUCGUGUGUCGACUCUUCCCAUCCUCAGCUGUAGGUGGCAUCUGCUUGUUUACUGGAGUGUCCCUCUUCUUGGUGAUUGAUGUUUGUUUGUCCUUUCCUGAGUGCACCUGCAAGUUACUUCUCCUUUUUUAGAUCUUUUUCAGGUAUUGUUCUCCUUGCCCUUCUGCAUUGAUUUGUGAUUUUGUAGUUUACCUUGUAUAUGAUGUCUAAUUGUAGGAGUGUAGUAAACGAAAAUGAUCCAUGCAUUGUUUCAUUAUGUUUAUUGUCAAUAUUGUCAUUCAGAAAUUGGUUACGACUUUUUGUAUUUUUGGGCAUUUGUUACUCACAUUUAGUAUGAGGUCUUCUUGUGACAGUGACAGUAGGUAUUCUUCUGUAUUCGUUGUUUCCUUUGUGUCUCCCUGCAAAUAAUUUUGAAAUAAUAUCAGCUAACUAGGAAAAUAAUAGAUAGUAAUUCUGGAAUUAACAGUGUGUCUCCGCUGUCAUCUUUGCUCGUCAUUUGACAUAUUUUGAGGACAUACAGUGUUAGCAUAAAUGCGAAGUCCCUCUGUAAAUAGAUGGGAUUUACUCUGUAUUUUGCAUUGUAGUUAACUAGGGGGGGGGGUAUGCAUUGUAAUUUACGUGGGAGUUCCUGUGUAAUUUUGCACUUUUUGACUGUAAUUCGUGGGUGUUUGCGCUGUAAUAUUUUACAUGGGAUUUGUACCCUAAUUUGCUAGGGGAUAUGCACUGUAAUUUACAUGGAAUUACAUUGUAUUUACAUGUGAUUUACUAUAAUUUACAUGGGAUUUACUACGUAAUUUACAUGGGAUUUACUGUGUAUUUUUUUGGGAUUUACUGUGUAAUUUUGCACUGUAUGAGAUAAAGCAGGGAGAAGGGAUGAAGCAGGGAAAAGGAUUGUAUGAGUUGCUGGCCCGUGAUUUGUGUGGUGAUUCUCCGUUGCUGACCCAUGAUUUGUGUGGUGAUUCUCCUUGCUCUUGUCCAGGUACCAUCCCCCCUCUCCCAUGUCUUUGAGGUUAUUGAUCCUNNNNNNNNNNNNNNNNNNNNNNNNNNNNNNNNNNNNNNNNNNNNNNNNNNNNNNNNNNNNNNNNNNNNNNNNNNNNNNNNNNNNNNNNNNNNNNNNNNNNGGGAGAGGAUCAUCCCCUAUUAGCAUAAUCUAAAAAGACCACAUCUUGUGGGACCAAAAUAUUCUCUGAAGAUGAUGCAAACACAAUGCUUCUAACCAGAUAAGAUCAUCGCUCACCCAAUGGUGAAAUUUCCCAAAUAUAUUCACCAUGUCCUUAAUAUUUUCAGUGUUACGUAGAUCUACUGGGAUACCCAAAAAACAUUAAACAUACAUCAUGAAAAUCAUGAGCCCCAUGAAAGCCAUUGCCCUCAUCAUGUUUCAUGAAUCUCACAAAUCUAUCAUUGCCAAGGGGCAGAGGAGGAAGUUGUAGCAGAGUAAAACGAACUCCAGCAUCUCAAAGACGAAAUAACCCCACACCAGAAAUCCAAGGUUGAGCUGACAUCACCUGCACACCAUGUUGCUCUAGAAGAUCGGCCACAGCUUCCCACAUUUGCCCUAUCUCAUUUGGCUCGGGGAUAGGCAUGACCUCAUCAAUCAUGAACUCCUUGUGGUGAUGGUUGAUAGUAGUAUGCGGUGUGACGAAGGUCCACAGGAGGCGGAGAUUACCUCCAUCCACAAUCUCGUGACUAGCAGGGAUGUACCGGAGAGGAUCACGGGGGAAGUUGGACACUGGUCUGGACCAAAGCUACGAGGGUGCCAAUGGAGAAGGCGGUGGAGGAGUUGCCGGCGGAGAACAAAAGGGGGUUUUUGGUCGGGCACUGAUGGGACUAUACAAGACAGGGGCUGCAGGAGAGCACGAGGCAUCAACCAAAGUCUUGGUGGGGUUAACUGCAUCAAUGCAAGUAGUGGGUCCAGAAAAAUCUGUGUUGGGAGAUUUUCUCCUCCAAAAUAAACCCUAUUUCCGAGCCAGCGCCACACAAUCCCGCCGAUGAUGGCCUUCCCUUAAACAUGCCAGGCAGAUCAUAACUGCAGGGCAAUUUGCUACAAAAUGACCAACCGUAGAACAAUUCUGACACGUUCAAAUUUCGUCAACCAUAACAUCUAUCAGAUUAUUAAAAGAAUUCUCGGCCUCCUAGGUAGAAGUGAUUUCAAAAUUAAGCCGUGUUUGGGCUGAGUACAAGCAAUCCGAAGAAUGGGCCGGCCCAUAAGAUCUGGAAUUAGGCCCCGCUAGGCUGCCAUGCUAGUUGUUUGAAAAUCCGGAAUUCCCACCCUAAACAUCGGGCAUGAGAGGUGCUACUAAAUCAGCACAUUCAUGAUCCUGCAGCGAAUGGAUGCCGGCCAAUGUUGAGGUCGUCGGAGUUGAACUAGUGUACAAUACCAGAAACAAUAGGUGGCGGGGCCAUCGUGAAAUGCAUCUCCGACGAUGACAAAGGAUGAAUAAUCACUCGUUCAUGAGAUGAAAUUGAGUAACCUACAUCCUUGGAAAGAAUGCCAAUUUCCUUUUGGGACUCUUCAUAUCUGUAACCUUGACACACAUGAUAAUUGUGAAAAGUAGAAAAAGGUAACUUCUUUCUGACUGAGCGGUCACGUUUAGAUGAUCUCGAAGGAGGUUUAUGCAUAGCAAGAAGUCCCAUGGCAGCUCUUCUCUUGGAGGGGCUAAUUAAAAUCCAUUCUACAUCACAUUCCUUCCUCCAAAUCUUGAGCUCUCGAAUCCAAUUAGGACCACCAUUUCCCCAAAGAUGGAAGAAACAUUUGAAUUCCAUGCAGGUAAAUAACCUAAGAUGAUAGAUCAUAAAUCCAACCUCGUUUGAUGAGACAUUAAAAGAGAACACAUUAUCUUUAACAUGAAGAACUCCAAGCUCAUUAGCAGAUUCACCAAUGGCCCACACCAGAUCCGUCGCCACAUGUUGGGGAAUGUCGCAUGGGAAAACAAAAAAAAUCCUACACACACACAAGAUCUAUCCAUGGUGAUGACCAUCUACGAGAGGAGAGAGUGCAUCCACAUACCCUUGUAGAUCGCUAAGCGGAAGCGUGUAUAACGCGGUUGAUGUAGUCGAACAUCUUCACGGUCCAAAUCGCAAUCUUUCCCGCGAUCCGUCCCGCAAUCCCAUCGCGAUUUGUCCCACGAUCUCAUCACGAUCCGUCUCGUGAUCUCAUUCACGAUCCAUCCCGAUCUAGUGUUGAAUGGAUGGCACCUCCCCGUUCACCACACGUACAGCUCGACGACGAUCUCCGACUUCUUGAUCCAUUAAGAGGGAGCGGAGAGGUAGCUGAGUUCUCCGACAGCCUAAUGGCGUGGUGGUGAUGGUGGUGGAGCUGAUCCGGCACGGCUUCAUCGUGCUAUGCCGGACCUAUUCUAGAGGAAGAAUGAACUAGAGGGAGGGAGAGGGGAUGCGCCUUAGAUUAUGUGUAAGCUGCCCUCUCUCCCCUCUAGUAUAUAUAGGAGGGAGGGGAAGUGGUGGUGCCCUAGGGUUGGCCGACCGAACCAAAAGAGGAGGAAUCCUCCUCCAAGAAGGGAGGUGGAGUCCUACUCCUAGUAGUAUUCCCUUCACUUGGCCUCCUCCCACCUCCUAGGCGCAAGAGCCUUUAGGGGCUGGCUGUCCUUCCUACUAAGGGUUGGUGCGCCACCUCUUAGGCCCAUGUCGCCCCUUGGGUGGGUGGAUCUCUCCCGAUGGACCCUCGGAACCCAGUCGUCAUUCCUGGUACACUAUCGGAAAUGCCCGAAACCUUUCCGGAGACCAAAUACCCUCUUCCUAUAUAUCAAUCUUUGUCUUCGGACCAUUCCAGAACUCCUCGUGAUGUCCGAGAUCUCAUCCAGGACUCCGAACAACCUUUGGUCACCAACAUACAUAACUCAACUAUACCGAAACGUCACCGAACCUUAAGUGUGCAGACCCUGCGGGUUCGAGAACUAUGUAGACAUGACCGAGACACUCUCUCGUCAAUAACAAAUAGCGGGAUCUGGAUGCUCAUAUUGGCUCCUACAUAUUCUAUGAAGAUAUUUAUCGAUCGACCUCUAUGUCAAGGAUUCAGUUAAUCCUGUAUAUUAUUCCCUUUGUCCACGGGUAUGUUACUUGCCCGAGAUUCAAUCGUCAGUAUCUCUAUACCUAGUUCAAUCUCGUUACUCGCGAUUCUCUUUACUCGUUCAGUAAUACAAAAUCUCGUGACUAACUCUUUAGUCACAUUGCUUUCAAGGCUUGUUGUGAUGUUGCUUUAGCGAGUGGGCCCCAAGAUACCUCUCCGUCACACGGGUAAAAAAUCCGAGUCUUGAUCCAUUGCAACCCAAUAGACACCUUCGGAGAUACCUGUAGAGCACAUUUAUAGUCACCCUAUUACGUUGUGAUGUUUGAUACACACAAGGUAUUCCUCCGGUGUCUGGGAGUUGCAUGAUGUCAUGGUCAUAGGAACAGAUACUUUGACAUGUAGAAAACGGUAGCAAUAAACUGACACGAUCAUAUGCUACGUUCAUAGUUUGGGUUUUGUCCAUCACAUCAUUCACCUAAUGAUAUGGUCCCGUUAUCAAACAACAUCUUAUGUCUAUGGCCAGGAAACCUUGACCAUCUUUGAUCAACGAGCUAGUCCUUCAUAGGCUCACUAGGGACAAUGUGUUGCCUAUGUAUCCACACAUGUAUUUGAGUUUCCAAUCAGUUCAAUUCUAGCAUGGAUAAUAAACGAUCAUCAUGAACAAGGAAAUAUAAUAAUAACCAAUUUUAUUAUUGCCUCUAGGGCAUAUUUCCAACAGUCUCCCACUUGCACUAGAGUCAAUAAUCUAGUUCACAUCACUAUGUUAUUGUAAUGAAUCUAACACCCAUACAGUUCCGGGGUUUGAUCAUGUCUUGCUUGUGAGAGAGGUUUUUAGUCAACGGGUGUGAAACAUUCAGAUCCGUGUGUACUUUACAAAUCUCUAUGUAAUGAUGUAGAUCCUUCUACCACGCUUCACUUGGAACAAUUCCAAACGACUACUCCACUAUACAAAUCCAGUUUACUACUCUGAGUCAUCCGGAUUAGUGUCAAACCUUGCAUCGACGUAACCCUUUACGACGAACUCUUUUAUUACCUCCAUAAUCGAUAAACAUUUCCUUAGUCCACUAGUUACUAAGGAUAACUUUGACGGUUGUUCAGUGAUUCAUUCCUGGAUCACUCUUUGUACCCCUUGACAAACUCAUGGCAAGGCACACAUUAUAUGUGGUACACAUUAUGGCAUACUAUAGAGCCUACGGCUAAGGCUUAGGGGAUGACCUUCAUCCUUUCUCUCUUUUUUUCUGUCGUGGUCAGGCUUUGAGUCUUACUCAAAUUUCACACCUUUACAAAACAACCAAGAACUCCUUCUUUGACCGAUCUGUUUGAACUCCUUCAAAACUUGUCAAGGUAUGCAUUCAUCGAAAGUUUUAUCAAGUGUCUUAUUUCAAGUGGGCUUAUUUCAAGCUUCCUUUGAAAAACUCCUUUCAAACAACCCUUUAUGCUUUACAGAAAUUGUACAUUAUUUCCGAUCAACAAUAUGUGAACCACAUAUACUCAUCAGAAAUUAUAUAGUGCUCCCACUCACUUUCUUGGAAAUACAAGUUUCUCGUAAACUUUCUAUAAACCGAAAAACUUUGAUCAUCUCAUCAAAGCAUAUAUUCCAACUCCGAGAUGCUUGCUCCAGUCCAUAUAAGAAUCGCUGGAGCUUGCAUACUAUUUAGCAUCCUUAGGAUCGACAAAACCUUCUGGUUGUAUCACAUAUAACCUUUCCUCAAGGAAACCGUCGAGGAAACAAUGUUUUGACAUCCAUCUGCAAGAUUUCAUAAUUGAAAAAAUGCAGCAACUGCUAACAUAAUUCCAACAGACUUUAGCAUCGCUACAGGUGAGAAAUUCUCAUCGUAGUCAACUCCUUGAACUUGUCGGAAACCUCUUUGCAACAAGUCGAGCUUUCUAAAUGGUGACAUUCACCAUCAUCGCAUGUCUUCCUUUUAAAGAUACAUUUCUACUUAAUAGCCUUAUGACCAUCGAGUAGUUCUUCCAAAGUCUACACUUUGUUUUAUACAUGGAUCCUAUCUCGGAUUUCAUGGCGUCUAGCCAUUCGUGAGAAUCCAGGCCCACCAUCGCUUCUCCAUAGCUUGUAGGUUCAUUAUUUUCCAGCAACAUGACCUCCAAGACAGGAUUACCGCACCACUCUAGAACAGUACGUUUCCUUGUCGACCUACGAGGUGUGGUAGUAAAUUGAUCCGUAGCUUCAUGAUCACCAUCAUCAGCUUUCCACUUCAACUAGUGUAGGCGCCAUACGAACAACUUCAUGCGCCCUUCCACUCUCUGGUUGAAGUCAUGGUUCAAUAACCUCAUCAAGUUCCACCAUCCUCCCACUCAAUUCUUUCGAGAGAAACUCUUUCUCAAGAAAGGACCCAUUUCCAAAAACAAACACUUUUCUUUCCGAUCUGAGAUAGGAGGUAUACCCAACUGUUUGGGUGUCCUAUGAAGAUGCAUUUAUCCGCUUUGGGUUCGAGCUUAUCAGGUUGGGGCCUUUUGACAUAAGCAUCAUAGCCCCAACAUUUAAGAAACGACAACUUAGGUUUCUCCAAACCAUAGUUCAUACGGUGUCAUCUCAACAGAAUUACGUGGUGCCCUAUUUAAAGUGAAUGUGGUUGUUUUUAGUGCCUAACCCAAAGCGAUAGUGAUAAUUCUAUAAGAGACAUCAUAUUAUGCACCAUAUCCAAUAGGGCGCGGCUAUGACGUUCGGACACACCAUCACACUAUGGUGUUCGAGGUGGCAUGAGUUGUGAAACAAUUUUCACAUUGUCUUAAAUGUUUACCAAACUCGCAACUCAGAUAUAUAUUUACCUCCACGAUCACAUCGUAGACAUAUUAUCCUGUUGUCAUGACGAUCUUCAACUUCACUAUGAAAUUGCUUGAACUUUUCAAUAUUUCAGACUUUGUUAUUCAUCAAGAAAAUACACAUGUAUCUACUCAAAUUAUGAGUGAAGUAAGAACAUAACGAUAUCCACUACGUGCAUAAAAACUCAUUGGAUUGCCUACAUCAAAAUGUAUUAUUUCCAACAAGUCACUUGCUCGUUCCAUCUCACUGAAAAUGAGGCCUUCAGUCAUCUUGCCCAUGUGGCAUGAUUUGCUUGUCUCAAGUGAUUCAAAAUCAAGUGAGUCUAAAUGAUCCAUCUGCAUGGAGUUUCUUCAUGUGUUUACACCAAUAGGCAUGGUUCGCAUGUCUCAAACGAUUAAAAAACGAGUGAGUCCAAAGAUCCACCAGCAUGGAGCUUCUUCAUGUGUUUUAUACCAAUAUGACUCAAGCGGCAGUGCCACAAGUAAGUGGUACUAUCAUUACUACUUUGUAUCUUUUGGCACUAAUAUUAUGAACAUGUGUAUCACUACGGCCAAGAUUCAAUAAACCAUUCAUAUUAGGUGCAUGGCCAUUGAAGGUACUAUUCAAGUAAACGAAGUAAUCAUUAUUCUCUUUAAAUGAAUAAUCGUAUUGCAAUAAACACGAACUAAUCAUGUCCAUGCUCAACGCAAACACCAAAUAACCUUUAUUUAGGUUCAACACUAAUCCUUAUGGUAGAGGGAGCGUGUGAUGAUUGAUCACAUCAACCUUGGAAUUACUUCCAACACACAUCCUCACCUCACCCUUGAUAGUAUUCGUUUAUUCCGUAGCUAUAAUUCCGAGUUACAAACACUUAGCAACUGAACCAGUAUCUAAUACCCCGGUGCUACUAGGAGUACUAGUAAGGUACACAUCAAUAUCACGUAUAUCCAAUAUACUUGUGUCGACUUUGCCAACCUUCUUAUCUACUAAGUAUCUAGGGUAGUUCCGCUUCAGUGAUCGUUCCCUCAUAAUAGAAGCACCUAGUCUCGAGUUUGGGUUCAACCUUGGGUUUCUUUACUAGAGCAGCAACUGGUUUGCCAUUCAUGAAGUAUCCCUUCUUGCCCUUGCCCUUCUCGAAACUAGUGGUUUCACUAACCAUCAACAAUUGAUGCUCCUACUUGAUUUCUACUUUUGCGGUGUCAAACAUCGCGAAUAACUCAAGGAUCAUCUUAUGCAUCCCUGAUAUGCUAUAGUUCAUCACGAAGCUCGAGUAGCUUGGUGGCAAUGACUUUGGAGAACUAUGUCAAUCACUAUCUUAUCUGGAAGAUCAACUCCCACUCGAUUCAAGCGAUUGUAGUACCCAGACAAUCUGAGCACAUGCUCAACGAUUGAGCUUCUCUCCCUUCCUUUGCAGGCCAAGAAUCUUGCCGGAGGUCUCAUACCUCUCAACAUGGGCACGAGCCUGAAAUCCUAAUUUCAUCCCUUGGAACAUCUCAUAUGCUUCGCGACGUUCAAAACGUCAUGGGUGCCUCAAUUCUAAGCUGUAAAGCAUGACACACUUAACUAUCACGUAGUCAUCAGAAACGUGUAUGUGAGAUGUUCGCAACAUCCACAGACGACGCUCGGGGGGUAGCACACUGAGCAGUGCAUUAAGGACAUAAGCCUUCUGUGCAGCAAUGAUGAAAAUCCUCAGUUUACGGAUCCAGUCCGCAUAAUUGCUACUAUCAUCUUUCAACUAAGUCUUCACUAGGAACAUAUAAAAAACAGUAGAGCUACAACGCAAGCUAGAACAUAAUUUGCAAGAUAUUUGGACUAUGUUCAUGAUAAUGAAUUCAAUUCAUCAUAUUACUUAAGAACUCCCACUCAAGUUGACAUCCCUCUAGUCAUUCGAGUGUCGCGUGAUCCAAAUUCACUAACUCAAGUCUGAUCAUCACGUGAGUUGAGUUGGCUUCAAUGGUGAACAUCUCUAUGUUGAUCAUAUCUACUAUAUGAGUCAUGUUCGACCUUUCAAUCUCUUGUGUUCCGAGGCCAUGUGUGUACAUGCUAGGCUUGUCAAGUUUAACCUGAGUGUUCCGCGUGUGCAAAACUGUAUUGCACCCAUUGUAUGUGAACGUAGAGUCUAUCACACCCAAUCAUCGCAUGGUGUAUCAAAACGACGAACUGUCACAACAGUGCACACUCAGGGAGAACACAAUUUUAUCUUGAAAUUUUAGUGAUCGAUCACCUUAUAAUGAUACCGUCGUACUAAGCAAAACAAGAUGCAUAAAAGGAUUAACAUCACAUGCAAAUAAUAAGUGACAUGAUAUGACCAUCAUCUUGUGCUUUUGAUCUCUAUUACCAAAGCACCGGCAUGAUCUCCAUCGUCACUGGUGCCACACUAUGAUAUCCAUCAUCAUGAUCUCCAUCAUUGUGCUGCCAUCGAGGUUGUCACGCAAACUAUGUUGUUACUACUAAAGCUACUGAACUAGCGAUAAAGCAAAGCAUCACGAGGCGCAAAAUAAUUAAAGACAACCCUAUGGCUCCUGCCGGUUGCCAUAGCAUCGACGUGCAAGUCGAUAUUUAACUAUUACAACAUGACCAUCUCAUACAUCACAUAUACCAUGUCAUGUCUUUGGCCAUAUCAUAUCACAACAUACCAUGCAAAAACAAGUUAGACGUCCUCUAAUUUGUUGUUGCAUGUUUUACGUGGCUGCUAUGAAUGUCUAUUAUGAUCGCAUCUUCUUACGCAAAACCACGACGGUGAUAUACAAGUUGCUAUUUAACCUUAUCCAAGGAUCGCCUUUGUCAAAUCCAAUUCAACUAAAGUAGGAGAAACAGACACCCGCCAGUCAUCUUUAUGCAACAAGUUGCAUGUUAGUCGAUGAAACCGGUCUCUCGUAAGCGCACGAGUAAUGUUGGUCCGGGACGCUUCAUCCAUCAAUACCGUCAAAUCAAGAAAAUACUAAGGAGGGAAGCAAUCUGAAUAUCAACGCCCACAAAUUCCUUUGUGUUCUACUUGAGAUGUCAUCUAUGCAUAGACCUAGCUCAUGAUGCCACUGUUGGGGAACGUCACAUGGGAAACAAAAAAAAUCCUAUGCGCACACAAGAUCUAUCCAUGGUGAUGACCAUCUACGAGAGGAGAGAGUGCAUCUACAUACCCUUGUAGAUCGCUAAGCGGAAGCGUAUAUAACGAGGUUGAUGUAGUUGAACAUCUUCGUGCUCCAAAUCGCAAUCCGUCCCGUGAUCCCACCAUUAUUCGUCCGGCGAUCUUAUCACGAUUCGUCCCACGAUCUCAUCACGAUCCAUCCCGAUCUAGUGUCUAACACACGACACCUCCGCAUUCAGCACACGUACAUCUCGAUGACGAUCUCCGCCUUCUUGAUCCAGCAAGAGGGAGCAGAGAGGUAGUUGAGCUCUCCGACAGCCUAAUGGCGUGUCGGCGAUGAUGGUGGAGCUGAUCCGGCACGGCUUCGGCAUGCAUUGUCGAACCUAUUCUAGAGGAAGAACGAACUAGAGGGAGGGAGAGGGGCUGCGCCUUAGAAUAUGUGUAAGCUGCCCUCUGUCCCCUCUAGUGUAUAUAUAGGAGGGAGGGAGAAGUGGUGGCGCCCUUGGGUUUCCCCUAGGGUUGACCGGCCGAACCCAAAGAGGAGGGAUCCAUCUCCAACAAGAGAGGUGGAGUCCUACUCCUAGUAGCAUUCCCUCCCCACUUGGCCUCAUCCCACCUCCUUGGUGCACAUGCCUUUAGGGGAUGGUUGCCGAGCCAACUAAGGGCUGGUGCGCCACCUCUUAGGCCCAAGUGGCCCCAGGCGUGGGUGGAUCUCUCCCGAUGGAACCCCAUAUUCCAUUCGCCAUUCCCAAUACACUACCGGAAAUGCAUGAAAUCAUUCCAGACCCAAAUACCCUCUUCCUAUAUAUCAAUCUUCGUCUCCGAACCAUUCCAGAACUCCUCGUCACGUCCGGGAUCUCAUCUAGGACUCCGAACAACCUUUGGUGACCAACAUAGAUAACUCAACUAUACUGAAACGUCACCGGAUCUUAAGUGUCAAGACCUUGUGGGUUCGAGAACUAUGUAGACAUGACCGAGACACUCCCCGGUCAAUAACCAAUAGCGGGACCUAGAUUCCCAUAUUGGCUCCUACAUAUUCUACGAAGAUAUCUAUCGGUUGAACCUAUAUGUCAAGGAUUCAGUUAAUCCCAUAUACUAUUCCCUUUGUCCAUCGGUAUGUUACUUGCCCGAGAUUCAAUCGUUGGUAUCUCUAUACCUAGUUCAAUCUCUUUACUCGCAAGUCUCAUUACUCAUUCCGUAAUACAAAAUCUCGUGACUAACUCUCUUGUCACAUUGCUUGCAAGGCUUGUUGUGAUGUUGCUUUACCGAGUGUGCCCCGAGAUACCUGUCCAUCACACGGAGUGACAGAUCCUAGUCUUGAUCCAUGCCAACCCAACAGACACCUUCAGAGAUACAUGUAGAGCACCUUUAUAGUCACCCAGUUACGUUGUGACGUUUGAUACACACAAGGUAUUCCUCUGGUGUCCGGGAGUUUCAUGAUCUCAUGGUCAUAGGAAUAGAUACUUUGACAUGUAGAAAACAGUAGCAAUAAACUGACACGAUCAUUCAUAGUUUGGGUCUUGUCCAUCACAUCAUUCUCCUAAUGAUAUGGGCCCAUUAUCAAACGACAUCUUAUGUCUAUGGCCAGGAAACCUUGACCAUCCUUGAUCAACGAGUAGUCCUUGAGAGGCUCACUAGGGACAGUGUGUUGUCUAUGUAUCCAUACAUGUAUUUGAGUUUCCAAUCAAUACAAUUCUAGCAUGGAUAAUAAACGAUUAUCAUGAACAAUGAAAUAUAAUAAUAACCAACUUUAUUAUUGCCUCUAGGGCAUAUUUCCAUCACCACAUAAUCCUCAUUGAGACGAAAACAAUGCCUGCUAAGUGAGACAAUCAUUGUGAAUGAACCAAAGCCCUCCAUGGGAUGCACCGAAAAACUAGUAUAUCUAUAAAUCUUAUCCGCAAACUCCAAUCCCUUGGAGAAAUCCAAACCAAGGGUUGAUCCAUCGUGAGUACCCAUGGGAGAUGGGUAUUCCCAGGAUCCGCAGGAGAUGCCGGAGAGAUUGAUCGGAUGAGAUCCACUAGUUGGUGGUCAAAUUAGGAGAUCGCCGGCAGGGUGAGGCGGGUGAUUGGAGAGCAUCAUCGGUCACUAGGCGUUAUGAAUUCUCAUCGUGGUUUGAUCAUGAUGGUGUUGAAGAAGAAGGGUUGCUUAUGAUGACGAUGAUGAAUCCCCCUCUCCAGAGCCCCACACGGACUCCAAAUGAGUCCUCCCGUAGAAGAACACGAGGUGGUGGCAGCUAUGCAUUGUAAAACACGAUGAAAACUUCUCUCUCAUUUUUUCUCUGGAAUUAGAAAUUUAUAGGACUGGAAUUAGGGUCGCACGAGCCAUGAGGUGGCCCCAAGCUAUUAGGGUGCACCCUAUUGGCUUGACACCAACACGUGGACCCCCUCUAGUGGGUCUUCGCUCCAUUUUUUUAUAUUCGAGAAAAAUCCACAAAAACUUCGUUCAAUUCCGAGAAAUUUUAUUUCUGCACAAAAAUAACACCAUGUUAGUUCUACUAAAAUAAUCGCCAGUUUGGGUUAGUUUCAUUCAAAUCAUGCAAAUUAGAGUCCAAAACAAGAGCAAAGGUAUUUAGAAAAGUAGACACGUUUGGGACGUAUCAGGCACACAUGUCUACCAUGCUCGUUCAAUGUCCCGUUCAUGUGUAUGUCUUCAUUAAGAAGACUCGCCGGAAUCACCAAAAUUUCCUAUUUUAGGGCGGCCACGCCCGACAAUCUCCACAAUACAAUGCAUCACUCACAUCCUCCUCCCGUGCACCACAUCCGCCAUGACUGCACGCGGCGAUGCUCCAUGGGACAACCUUUCCUCGGAGAUGAAGCAAGAGUACCCGCCCUAGCCGCCGCUUGGUAGAGCCGUCGUGCCAAGCGGAUUGAGGCUUGCUUGACGGCCAGCUCGCCCAAGGCCUCUGACGACGACGUGCAUGGCACCGCGAUGGAGAUGGGCUCCGAUGAUACCGCCCCGGCUUCCGCGCCUCCUAUGCACCCCGUCCACAUCAUGGCGGAUGCGCACUACAACACCGCCAUGGCGGAGGGGCAGCAUGCGCCGGCGCGUACGUCGGUGUUACAACGGGCUCUAGUGAGGGAGUCUAGGACUAAGGGGUCCUCGGGGCGCCAACCUAUAUCUAUGGGUCGGACUCCUUGGCCAGUUCGGACAACCGAAGACAUACACGAGGAAGAUUCCAUAAGACUUGAUGAUCAAGACAAGGACUCCUCUCCGCCAACGUAGCCGACUAGGACUCUUGUUAUCCUAGUCCUUCGGUGUGUUAUAUAAACCGAGGCCACGCUAGUUGAUAGAUAUUCAUGAGACACAACACCUACAUAAUUCGGGUUUAGACCAAAACAUACGAUCUCGAGGUAGAUCAACUUUGUACUCGAUACUUCAUCAUCAAUAUCCAAAAGAGCAGGACAUAGGGUUUUACCUCCAUCAAGAGGGUCCGAACCUGGGUAAACAUCAUCUCCUUUGUCCCUUGUUACCCAUUGAUACGUCUCAAACGUAUCUAUAAUUUUUGAUGGUUUCAUGUUGUUAUCUUGUCAACUUUGGAUGUUUUAUAUACCUUUUAUAUCUUUUUUGGGACUAACUUAUUAAUUCAGUGCCAAGUGCCAGUUCCUGUUUUUUCUGUGUUUUUGACUCUUUUCAGAUCUGAUUUUGGAACGGAGUCCAAACGGAAUAAAAUCCCCGAAAUAAACUUUUCCAAAACAGAAGAAGAUCGGGGGACUUGAGGGCCAAGGCAGGAGAGCCACACCGGGCCCACAAGCCCUGUAGCCGCCACCAGGGGGCGGUGGCUACCAAGCUUGUGGCCCCCCUGGAGCUCCCCUACCCUAGCUCUUUCGCCUAUAUAUUCCCUAAAAUCCCAAAAAAAAUCAGGGCAUCCACGAAAACACUUUUCCGCCACCGCAAGAUUCCAUUUCCGCGAGAUCUCAUCUGGAGACCCUUCCCAGUGCCCUGCCGGAAGGGACUUUGGAGUUGGAGGGCUUCUACAUCAACAUCAUCACCUCUCCAAUGACUCGUGAGUAGUCCACUUCAGACCUACGGGUCCGUAGUUAGUAGCUAGAUGGCUUCUUCUCUCUCUUGGAUCUUCAAUACAAAGUUAUCCAUGAUCUUCAUGGAGAUCUAUCCGAUGUAAUCCUCUUUGGCGGUGUGUUUGUCGAGAUCCGAUGAAUUGUGGAUUUGUGAUCAGAUUAUCAAUGAAUUAUAUUUGAGUCUUUGUUGAUUUCUUAUAUGCAUGAUUUGAUAUCCUUGUAAGUCUCUCCGAGUCUUGGGUUUUGUUUGGCCAACUAGAUCUAUGAUUCUUGCAAUGGGAGAAGUGCUUGGUUUUGGGUUCAUACCGUGCGGUGACCUUUCCCAGUGACAGAAGGGGCAGCAAGGCACGCAUCAUUUUGUUGCCAUCAAGGGUAACAAGAUGGGAUUUUAUCAUAGAUAUGAGAUUGUCCAUCUACAUCAUGUCAUCUUGCUUAAGGCGUUACUCUGUUCUUAUGAACUUAAUACACUAGAUGCAUGCUGGAUAGCGGUCGACGUGUGAAGUAAUAGUAGUAGAUGCAGAAAGUAUCGGUCUACUUGUUUUGGACGUGAUGCCUAUAGAUAUAAUCAUUGCCAUAGAUGAUGUCAUGACUUUGCGUGGUUCUAUCAAUUGCUCGACAGUAAUUCGUUCACCCACCGUCUACUUGCUUUCAUGAGAGAAGCCACUAGUGAACACUACGGCCCCCGGGUCUAUUCACAACUAUCGUCUCCACUUUCACUUUUACUUUGCUUUGUUUACUUUUUGCUUUUAGUUCUCACUUUGCAAACAAUCUAUAAGGGAUUGACAACCCCUUCAUAGCGUUGGGUGCAAGCUCUUUGUGUUUGUGCAGGUACUUGUGACUUGACGCGAUCCUCCCAGUGGAUCGAUACCUUGAUUCUCAGACUGAGGGAAAUACUUACCACCGUUGUGCUACAUCACCCUGUCCUCUUCAAGGUAACACCAACGCAAGGCUCCAAGGCUGCGGGGAAAUCCUUUGCAUAUUUACCAAGGAAGUCCCUAUAGGCGUAGCCCGUAGCAGCAGGAUUCCUGGCGCCGUUGCUAGGGAAGGUCUGUUGUCGCUGUAGCAGAAGGAUUUCUGGCGCCGUUGCCGGGGAGGAGGAUCGAUUGCCGAGGAAGAUCAAGACAAGAAUAAUCUCCCGUCAACACGCCUAUUUCUGGUGCCGUUGCCGGGGAGGAGAGAUCAAGUCAAGAUCUAUCCAAGUAGGUGUCACAAACUCAUCUCUUGCAUUUACCUUUUUUGCCAGUUGCCUCUCGUUUUCCUCUCCCCCACUUCACAUUUGUCGUUUUCAUUUGCCUUUUUCAUUUGCCUUUUUCGUUUACCUUUUUUGUUCACCCUUUUCUUUCGCUUGCUUUCUGUUCGCUUGUGUGCUAUGUGCCUUCAAUAUGCUUGCAUCUUCACUUGCUAAAAAUCUAGUGAUAUGGAUCCUCAUCCACUUGCUAAUCUCUUUAAGAGAUCCAAUUAUGUUGAUCCAAUUGCUAGUGAGUUGAGUGCACUUGACUAUCUUUAUGGAGUUUUGCUUGAGAUGUGUGAAUCUAAAAAUCGUGAUGAAAUUUAUGAAGUGAUUCACGAGGGCUCCUUGGAUGAAAAGCAUGAUUGCAAUGGUUUCAAUAUAAAUUCUAUUAAUGACAAUCAUGCUAAAAAUAUGCAAAACCCUAAGCUUGGGGAUGCUAGUUUUGCUAUGUCCACUACUUGUUGCAAUAAUCAUGAUGGGGGCGAUGAUUUUUCUUAUGAUCUUGAAAAUUUGUUUAAGCCUCAUGAUGAAUAUGAUAUUUGCAAUAAUAUUGAAAGUGGAUUUGGAGAAGUCAUGACUUUAGUUGAUGAUAAUCCCACUAUUUUUGAAGAGCGUCAACUUUGCAUGCAUGUGGAUCAUGAAAAGAAUAUCCUAUGGGAUAGCUAUAUUGUUGAAUUUGAAUAUGAUCCCACAUGUAAUUAUUAUGAGAGAGGAAAAUAUGGUGGUAGAAACUUUCAUGUUACUAAAUCACCUCUCGUUAUGUUGAGAUUGCUAUUGUCUCUUCCUUCUUCCUUGCAUUUGGUAACUAUUGGUUAUCUUGCCAAUUUGUUUUCCUAUAAAAUGCCUAUGCAUAGGAAGUAUGUUAGACUUAGAUGUGAUUUUCACAUGUUUCAUGAUGCUCUCUUCGUGUCCGAUUGCUACCUUUUAUGUGAGCAUCAUUGAAUUAUCAAUGCCUAGCUAAGGGCGUUAAACAAUAGCGCUUGUUGGGAGGCAACCCAACGAAUCUAUCCUUUUUCUUUCUAUUUUGUGUUUUCCACACUUUCAUAAUUCUCUUAUGAUUGUGUUUUUUGUAUUUCUUUUUGCGUUUGUGCCAAGUAAAACCGUUAUGAUUAGUCUUGGGGAUGAUCGUUUGGUCAUGCUCGAAAAGACAGAAACUUUCUGCUCACGAAAAGAAUUUUCAUUUUUUCUGUAAGAUCUUUUGAGUUAAUUCUUUUUGCUUCUGAUUGCUACGCAAAUUCUUCAGACUGUCGUAAUUUUUCAGAAUUUGUGAAGUACCAGAAGUAUACGAAGUAUACAGAUUGCUACAGACUGGUCUGCUGUUAACAGAUUCUGUUUUUGUUGAGUUGGUUGCUUAUUUUGAUGAAACUAUGGAUAGUAUCGGGGGGUAUUAGCCAUGGAAGAUUGAAAAUACAGUAACCCAACAUCAACAUAAGUAGAAUCUAAGUUUUCUACAGUACCUAAGGAAGUGGUGGUUUGCUUUCUUAUACUAAUGAUAUCACGAGUUUCUGCUUAAGUUUCGUGCUGUGAAGUUUUCAAGUUUUGGGUGAAGUUCUUAUGGACAAAGAGAUAAAGAGUGGAAAGAGCUCAAGCUUGGGGAUUCCCAAGGCACCCCAAGUUGAUUCAAGGAUGUCUUAAAGGCCUAAGCUUGGGGAUUCCCCGGGAAGGCAUCCCCUCUUUCGUCUUCAAUCCAUCGGUAACGUUACUUGGGGCUAUAUUUUUAUUCACCACAUGUUAUGUGUUUAGCUUGGAGCGUCUUGUAUCAUAGGAGUCUUUUAUUUUUUUUGUCACAAUCUUCCUUGGUGCACACCUAGAGAGAGAGACAUGCACUCACCGUGAUUUUGUCGAGCUUCACUUAUAUCCUUUGGUUAGACAAUUCAGCUCACAUGUGCUUCACUUAUAUCUUUUGAGCUAGUUGAUUUUGCUCUAUGUGCUUCACUUAUAUCUUUUAGAGCACGGAAGCGCGUGACUUGGUAGUUGAUCUAUGCUAUGAAAGUAGUCUCAAAAGGGGUAGUUACCCAAAGGGAUAUGAAAACUGCCAUCUCCAUGUGCAUUGAAUAGUUAGAGAAGUUUGAUUCCUCUCAAUUAGUUUUGAGAUGUGGUUGUGGCAAUAUUUAAGUUAUGUUAGUAUGGUGUUGUGGAUCUAGAAAUACUUGUGCUAAAGUUAGUGAUUCUCCUAGCAUGCACGUAUGGUGAACCGCUAUGUGAUGAAGUUUGAGCAUGAUUAUUUUAUUGAUUGUCAUCCUUUGUGUAGCGGUCGGGAUCGCGCGAUGGUUUAUACCUACCAACCCUUCCCCUAGGAGUAUGCGUUGAAUGCUUUGUUCCGAUUACUACUAAAACUGAUGAGGACAUCCCUNAGUUAAGUGUGAUCUGUUGUUCCAUUGGGAAUUAGUAUAUUGCAAUUCUACCGUCUCGUGGUCGACGGCUACGUUGCGCAAGUGUGUGAAGUUGUGAAUAUCCGAAGGGUAGAGAGCUGCUGCAUUGGCAUCAGGGAUCUAGCGAGGAGAGAUCAUCGGCGACACCAAGCUAUCUAUCCACCAUCAUCAUCUACGUUACCGCUCACUGAGAAGAUCGGGCUACCCCAUAUCAUCUUGGUAUCAGAUUUCUAGCGUUUACUCGGUGAGCAUCCACAAAUCCACCCCGUAGAUUAAUUUGUGUUCUUAUUCCUAUCCAGAAAAAGCCAAAAAUAGUAGGGUUCGUAGUUUUUGCCAUAGCCUAGAUUGCAUCAUAGCUUCGUUCUAGUUGCUGGUCAGUUGUGUUCAUCCUUUUGAUCCUUUCGAUUUUGCUAGUAGGAGUCUAGGGUUUGUCUUUCUAGUUGUUUUCUUUUGAUCUUUGUGUCAGUUUGAGUCUUUGUCAACUUUCUUGGCUGAAACCCUAGCUACUUCGGCCGUUGUUGCUGCUAUCCGCGUGCGUCUGAGUUUGCUUGUCUGAGUCCACAAAGAGUUUAGUUUGGUGUCUUUCCCAACUUUAGCCACAGCCAUUCUAUACCAAGGUGUUAGGAGCCUAUCCAUUGAGACUAGCUUGUCCUUGUGCUCAUCGGGCUGCUCUGAUUAGGGUUUUUCUUGUGCAAAUUGUUUCCGCCUCGUUGAAAAAAAAAAUCCACGGUGCGACGUUUGUGGCCACAAGAGAAGAGGAGAGAGAAAAAGAGUGAAUCAAAAAAAACAAAAAAAAACAAAAAAAAAGAGUGAAUCAAAAAAAACACAGAGAAAAGAAAGAAAAGAGAGAGACAUUGGCCAGAAGUUGCUGCUAUCUAUUGCUGGCAUUGUAUUAUCUUGUAUUUGCACUAGUACUGAGCAAUCUUGUGCCUGUAUACCCUGAGCUUUUUGCUAGCGUCUCUCCCUGUGCAUUGCAACACGAGCAUUACUCCGACACAUACAUCAAAUCUACGCUCAUUUUCAUAGUUGCAAUUGCCCCAUUUAUCUCCACUGCGUGAGUUUCUUUGGGUCUCACACGAUCAGCACUAGGACUUGUCUUCGGUGUAGAUAGGGUACCAUACCUACAGCUCCACCAAAUUUAAUCCUGCUCAAUCAUGUGGUAGCUCUUAUACCCUGGUAUUCACUUCAUCACAUCCGUGCACUAGCCUUCUAUCCGACCUGGUAAGUGUGCAUUGCUAUUCACUUUGGAACGGUAAGAUUCCCUUUUCUUGUCAGUUCAGUGAGUUGUGAGUGUUCCACCCAAACGAUUUUUGAUUUAGUGCACUAACCUGCUAAUCAUGUCUGAGAAUGGUGUUGAUGUGAUGCAGAAAAAGGAUGGUGACGAGUGUGUUACAUGGAAGGAAUAUGAAGCUCUUCGUGAUCAUUUGACAGGGCUUAUCCAUAGAUCCACUGACAAUAUUGAUGCUGAUAUUCAAGCUAUACACAUGAAAGUGGAUGCAACUGAAACUACAGUCAAUGCUAUGCAAACACAAGUCAAUGAUCUCCACACAAGCAUACAACAAUUGACAACUUCAGUCCAUGGGCUGCUUGUAGCUAUUGAGCAACGCCAACAUGAGGGCCAUGGAGAUGAUGAUAAUGUCCAUGGAGACAAUGAAAACAUGAUGGGAAAUAACGGCCGUCGGCGUGGCUUGCAAGGGUCUGGUCGCCCACCACCACUUGGUGCUCGACGUGUACCACUAUAGGAGGAUGAUGGUUUGGGCAAGCCUAAGUUCACAAUUCCCAGAUUUGAAGGCUCCACUGAUGUAGAAGAGUACCUCAGAUGGGAGCUCAAGAUGGAGAAAUUAUGGCGUUUGCAUGAUUACACUGAAGAUAGGAAGAUCAAGCUUGCUUCCUCAGAAUUUGAUGGUUAUGCUUUGCGUUGGUGGGAUAGCAUUGUGCGCGAACGACGAGAAGACAAUGCGUUACCUAUUCUUACUUGGCGCCAUAUGAAGGAGAUCAUGCGAGCUCGUUUUGUUCCCACUAAUUACUUGCAGACAGUUUAUGAUAAAUUGACACAAUUGAAGCAAGGCUCCCUGACGGUUGAUGCAUAUUACAUGGAGAUGGUGAUGUUGCUGAAGCGUGCACGAGUUAGAGAAUCUGCUGAGAUGACUAUGCAACGUUUUCUCCAUGGGCUGAAAUAUAACAUCAAGGGUAUUGUUAGGCAUCACCAAUACAAUACAAUGAACGAGCUGCUACACCAUGCAACAGAAGUUGAGUCCCAGUUGGCCGAAGAAGCUCAAAUUAAAGCCCGUUAUGCUACAGCGAGACGGUUCUCCAACAGAACAUAGCCGCCUCCUUACACGCCUAGUGAGGGCGCUGCCAGCCGCCCCUCUUCUUCUGCAACAAAAUCAGCCUCCACUGUUUCACAAUCAAGGAAACCUGCUGCUCCUGCUGCUAGCUCCGGUUCCAACAUGUCUACAGCCCGUAACCGAGAUAUGCUCUGUCAUACAUGUGGAGGCAAGGGACACUUCAAGAGACAGUGCCCAAACAGAAAAGUGAUGAUUGUGAACGAUGACAAUGAAUAUGAGACUGGAGAUGAUGCUGACCCAUAUGCUUCCGAUGGUGAUGGGUACGCAAGUGAGGGCGGCAUCGAUGCUUUUGCUUCUCCCGCGCCCAUUAUUGUUGUCAAGCAGCGUGCCCUUAGUGUGCAGCCACAUGCUGAUUCACAGCGCUGCAAUCUGUUCCAAACCAAAGCACUAGUUGGCCCCAACAAAGCUUGUAAGGUGAUCAUUGAUGGAGGUAGCUGCCGUAAUCUUGCAAGCAAAGAAUUAUGUGCCAAGCUGAAAUUGAAGUAUUUGCCUCAUCCAAACCCAUACUACGUACAAUGGCUGAGUGACAAUGGAGAGAUGAAAGUGAAUCAUAUGGUGCGUGUGAAUUUUAAAAUAGGACCAUACACGGAUUCCAUUGAGUUUGAUGUGGUUCCUAUGACUGUUUGCCAUCUAUUGUUGGGUCGGCCAUGGUUGUCUGAUCGCCAUGUGCAACACAAUGGCCGCGCCAACACUUAUCACUUGGAGUUCAAGGGCAAGAAAAUAAAUCUACAGCCUAUGUCACCACAGCAAAUUGUGAAUGAGUCUCGUGAGAAAACAGAAGUGAAUAUCGACCAGCCACCUGCACGAGAGAACCCCAUGAGUGCCAAUAUAACGAAAAGUGCGAGAGAGACUAGUUUGCUUCUAUUAGCCACCAAAGAAGACAUGAGAGAAUUUAGAGAGGAUCCUACAGCCAUGCCUCUCGUGCUUAUGUACAAAGGCGAGGUUUUAGUUUCUAAUGAUAUGCAACCUGUUUCUCUUGGUGUGUUUGCUGUUUUGCAGGAAUAUGGCGAUGUGUUUCCGGAGGAGGUACCAGCGGGGCUACCACCAUUGCAUGGAAUUGAGCAUCAAAUUGAUCUCAUACCAGGCGCUACCCUCCCCAACCGAGUGCCAUACAGGACCAACCCCGAAGAAACGAAGGAAAUACAGAAGCAAGUGCAAGCACUCCUAGACAAAGGGUAUAUUCGUGUUUCUCUUAGUCCUUGUGCGGUUCCUGUUAUUUUGGUGCCUAAGAAAGAUGGUACAUGGCGUAUGUGCGUCGAUUGUAGAGCUAUUAACAACAUCACUAUUCGAUAUCGUCAUCCUAUUCCACGCUUAGAGGAUAUGCUCGAUGAGUUGAGUGGUGCUGCUGUUUUCUCUAAAAUUGAUUUGCGUAGUGGUUAUCAUCAAAUUAGGAUGAAAGAAGGGGAUGAAUGGAAAACUGCUUUCAAAACUAAAUUUGGUUUAUAUGAGUGGCUAGUUAUGCCUUUUGGUCUUACUAAUGCACCUAGUACAUUCAUGAUAUUAAUGCAUCAUGUUUUGAGAGAGUUUAUUGGUCGUUUUGUGGUUGUAUAUUUUGAUGACAUACUUAUUUACAGCCGCAAUGAAUCUGAACAUUGUGAUCAUAUUAGACAAGUUUUGCAAGUGUUGCUUGAUGCUAAAUUGUAUGCUAAUCUUGAGAAGUGCACAUUUGCAAAAGAUAAGGUCAUAUUUCUGGGAUACGUUGUAUCUAAGCAUGGAGUACAAGUAGAUUCAUCUAAAAUUGAAGCAAUUCAAAAUUGGCCUACUCCCAUGAAUGUUAGUCAAGUCCGAAGUUUUCACGGUCAUGCUGGUUUCUACCGGCGUUUUGUGAAAGACUUUAGUACUGUUGCUGCACCAUUGAAUGAAUUAACUAAGAAAGGAGUGCCUUUUGUUUGGGGCGCUGCACAAGAUCAUGCAUUUGAUGAGCUGAAACGUUUGCUUACUUCUGCACCAUUACUUGCACUACCAGAUUUUUCUAAGCAAUUUGAAGUUGAAUGUGAUGCUAGUGGUAUAGGAAUUGGUGGUGUGUUGAUGCAAGAAGGUAGACCUAUUGCUUAUUUCAGCGAGAAACUUUCUGGUGCUAGAUUGAAUUAUCCUGUUUAUGACAAAGAAUUGUAUGCGCCUGUUAGAGUUCUUGAAGUUUGGCAACAUUAUUUGUGGCCAAAAGAAUUUAUCAUACAUUCUGAUCAUGAAGCUUUAAAAUAUCUGAAAGCUCAAUCUAAUUUGCAUAGGCGCCUCGCUAAGUGGGUUGAGUUCAUUGAGNNNNNNNNNNNNNNNNNNNNNNNNNNNNNNNNNNNNNNNNNNNNNNNNNNNNNNNNNNNNNNNNNNNNNNNNNNNNNNNNNNNNNNNNNNNNNNNNNNNNNNNNNNNNNNNNNNNNNNNNNNNNNNNNNNNNNNNNNNNNNNNNNNNNNNNNNNNNNNNNNNNNNNNNNNNNNNNNUACAUAAUUAAGCAUAAGAAAGGGAAAGAUAAUGUUGUUGCUGAUGCUCUAUCUAGGAAGAACAUGUUAUUGACACAUCUCGACGUUACAAUUCCUGGUUUAGAGAGCUUGUGUGAUUUGUAUGCAACUGAUCAUGAUUUUGCUGGACCAUAUCGUUUGUGUAUGCUUCGACACGCAUGGGACAAGUACCACAUACAUGAUAGAUUUUUGUUUCGUGCUAACAAACUAUGUGUUCCAGAAUCGUCGGUGCGUUUGCUGUUGUUGCAGGAAUCACAUGCAGGAGGAUUGAUGGGUCACUUUGGGCGUGAGAAGACAUUGCUCAUGCUAGCUGGUCACUUUUAUUGGCCCAAGAUGAGGCGCGACGUGGACAGGUUUGUUAGGCGCUGCAUUACAUGUAACAAGUCCAAGUCAAAACUAAAGCCUCACGGUUUGUAUACGCCACUACCUGCACCUACUACACCAUGGGAAGAUAUCAGUAUGGAUUUUGUGUUAGGUUUGCCACGCACUAAAAGAGGUCAUGAUUCUAUAUUUGUGGUAGUGGAUAGAUUUUCAAAGAUGGCACAUUUUAUUGCAUGCCGCAAAAGCGACGAUGCGUCGCAUAUUGCUAACCUGUUUUUCAUGGACAUCGUACGCUUGCAUGGAGUGCCAAAGACAAUUGUUUCUGACAGGGACGUGAAGUUUAUGAGCUACUUCUGGAAGACCCUAUGGGGAAAGCUAGGAACGAAGCUGUUGUUCAGUACUACAUGUCAUCCCCAAACGGAUGGUCAAACGGAGGUGGUGAAUCGCACAUUGUCCCAAUUGCUGCGAGCUAUGAUCAAGAAAAAUCUAUGUGAGUGGGAGGAGUGUUUGCCACAUGUUGAGUUUGCAUAUAACAGAGCGGUGCACACUACUACCCAGCUUUGUCCUUUUGAGGUGGUGUAUGGCUUCAAACCAAUCACACCGCUAGAUUUGCUGCCUCUUCCAUUGCAUGAGAGAGUAAAUAUGGAGGCAUCAAAAAGAGCAGAUUAUGUGAAGAAAAUUUAUGAGAGGACACAAGCGGCUAUUGAGAAGAAAGGCAAGUACAUUGCUGCUGCAAGAAACCAAUCAAGAAAGCAAGUUUUGUUUCAGCCUGGAGAUAUGGUUUGGGUGCAUCUGCGCAAGGAUAGGUUCCCAUAGCUGCAGCGUUCCAAGUUGUUGCCGCGUGGUGCUGGUCCUUACAAGGUGCUAACCAAGAUAAAUGACAAUGCCUACUCGAUUGAUAUUCCUAUUGCUGAGUUUGGUGGUGUUAGCAACAGCUUCAACGUUGCUGACUUGUCACCAUAUGAUGGAGAAGACCUUGGAGCGUCGAGGUCAACGCCUUUUGAUGGGGGGAGAUGAUGAGGACAUCCCUNAGUUAAGUGUGAUCUGCUGUUCCAUUGGGAAUUAGUAUAUUGCAAUUCUACUGUCUCGUGGUCGACGGCUACGUUGCGCAAGUGUGUGAAGUUGUGAAUAUCCGAAGGGUAGAGAGCUGCUGCAUUGGCAUCACGGAUCUAGCGAGGAGAGAUCAUCGGCGAGACGAAGCUUUCUAUCCACCAUCAUCAUCUACGUUACCGCUCACUGAGAAGAUCGGGCUACCCCAUAUCAAAAACUUUUGCAACAAGUAUAUGAGUUCUUCAUGACUAAUGUUGAGUCCAUGGUUUAGAUGCACUUUCACCUUCCACCAUCACUAUCUUCUUCAGUGUCGUGCAACUUCCGCCGGGGCACAAAACCCACCAUAUAGCCUCCCUCAAAACAGCCACCAUACCUACCUACUAUGGCCUUUUUCAAAGCCAUUCCGAGAUAUAUUGCCAUGCAACUACCACCAUGACAUGUGCCAUAGUUUCUACAUUGCCAUUGCAUGAUCGUAAGAUAGCUAGCAUGAUGUUUCCAUUAAUGUCUAUGCCAUGCUAGAUCAUUGUCACAGUACACUACCGAAGGCAUUCCAUAUAGAGUCAUCAUUGCUCUAAGUUUUGAGUUGUAAGUGUGAUGAUCAUCAUUGAUGGAGCAUUGUCCCAUGUGAGGAAAUAAAAGAGGCCAGUGAAUCCCAUUUACAAAAAGAGGCCAAAGAUGCCCACCAAAAAAAAGAGGCCAAAGAGCCCACCAAAAAAUGAGAGAAAAAGAGAGAAGGGACAAUGCUACUAUCCUUCCACACUUGUGCUUAUUAAGCACCAUGAUCUUCAUGAUUGAUAGUCUCUCAUUUUGGCACCACCAUAUAGCUAGUGGAAAAUUUUAUUAUAUAACUUGGCUUGUUUAUUCCAAUGAUAGGCUUCCUCAAAUUUGCCUCAGGUCUUCGUGAGCAAGCAAGUUGGAUGCACACCCACUAGUUUUCUUUAAGAGCUUUCACAUACUCUUAGCUCUAGUGCAUCAUUUGUAUGGCAAUCCCUACUCAUUCACAUUGAUAUAUAUUGAUGAGCAUCUCCAUAGCUCACUGAUAUGCCUAGUUAAUGUGACCAUCUUCUCCUUGUUUAUCUUGCAACCUCCACCACACUCCAUUCCACUUAUAGUGCUAAAACCAUGGCUCACGCUCAUGUAUUGCAUGAGAGUUGAAAAGGUUUGAGAAACUAAAGGUGUGAAAACAAUUACUUGGCCAAUACCGAGGUUGUGCAUGAUUUAAAUUCGUUGUGCAAGGAUGAUAGUGUGACAGCCCGGUGCCGACGUUCCAGAAGCUUCCCCUUUUCUUUCCGUUUUCGUCGUGUGGGUAUUUUCAGUUGCCGCAUCAUCAUCACAUCAUGCGCAUCAUCAGCAUUACAUCGGCAUCUCUGUUGCCGCCAGUUUUCAAAACUUGCAUUCGUUAGUAGUCGUCGGUUCUCGUCGUUGUCCGUUCCGAGCCCGACCGCACUCGUACGCGUCCGCGGCACCGUCGAAACCCCUAUUUUAAAAGUGUGCGUAAAACUUUCUCUGAUCUGGUUGAGAUUUGACGUGCGGUCUUAUUUUAAUCUAGCUAGGCCGCCUGUCGAAUUUUGUCGCGAUCGGAGACCGUCUGGUACCCGAAUGGUCGCCCGUAGCGGCACCGUCUUCGGUUAUUCGUCGGACGUCUGUCGGUGUUUAUAAAUCUGUUGCUGCGCCGCCCGUUCCACUCUCGUCUCCGGAUAUCUACACAACACGGCCACGUACCCAUACCCGCGUCCGGAAUCGUCCGAAUCCGACCCCGCGGUUGGAUCCGGAUCGCGAUUCCGGUUAACCGAGCCCCCCGUUUGUCUAUAUAUACCCCACCAUCACAUUUAGACAGCCUCCCCCUAAUCCUGCCUCGUUUUCCACGCCCGAAACCCUAGCCGCCGCGCCCUCUCUCUCCCCCCGCAGCACCUCCACCCACCAGCCGCCGCGGGCUCGCCGAGCCCAGAUCGGGCCCGGGCAGGCCCAUCCGGCCGUCGCCGCCACCCGUUCGAUUCUCUCGUGCCCGUGCCUCUGGUGGCGAGCCGCCGCGCCGCACCAGGCUCUCCAGGCCCCGCCGUCGGCUGCCCCUCGCCGGAGUGCCCGAGUCGGCCGCUCCCGCCGACCGAGGUCGCCGCAGCCAAAGACCUCCGAUGCUCCCUCGCCUCGCCGGAGCACCGUCGUCAAGCCGCGCCAGAUCGAGCCUCGUCGCCGGCUGCACUUCGCCUCCUCGCCGGAUCCCGGAGCGCCGCCCCUCGGCCUCCUGCCGCCGCCGUCCGCUACCCCCGCCAGGCCGGCCACCUGCUUAGUCGUCGCCCCGUCGCGCCGAGGUAACCGCCGCCGGAGUCAGCCCCGAUCCAGAUCGGAUCGGGAGGGACCUUCCUCCAGCGACGAGCGCUUCCGCCUGCUGCUCGCCCGAGGCGACCUCCCCCUCCAGCGCAGCCCGUGGGCCCCGCACCGGCCCAGCUUCCGCCCCGCCGAAGCCCAGCAGCCGCGCAGUUCCCCUUCGGCCCAACAGCGCCACCUAGCGAGGCCCAUGUCGCCCCAGGCCGGCCUAGUCUGGCCCGAAGGUGAGCUGUCACCUCUAUUCCCCGCCUAGGCGUGGCUUAGCUGAUUUGCGCCGCUCUGUUAGGCCCGAUAAGCUCCAGAUUCGGCCCGAGCGGCAUUUUCUAUUCAUCUGGCGAUAUAUUAAUUCCAGAAUAAUGCUAAAUAUUUAAACGUUCGUAUCUUUUUAUCCGUAUAUCGGAUCGCGAUGAGUUGUAUAUGCUUUUCGGGUAGUUUUACGCGUAGAAUAUGUAUUUGAAACUUGCAUAUUUAUUUGGCGUUGUUUGACAUAUCGUAUGCUUAGAUUAGCGUGUUGUCCCAAUAGGAUUUAGGCCGUAUUUAUUUUUCGCGCUAGACCGUAUUGCCCGGAUGUCGUUUUAGAAAUGUCUAUGUUUUAGGGUCCAUUUUAUCAUGUAUUUUAGAGCUGUCAUUCGUAUUUUUGCAUGUAGGAAUUGCCGGUAGUUUAUUUUCCCGUAUAUAGGUGUUUUUCUCGCAUUUUCGUCUGGCUUUAUUUAGUUAUGCAACCCCACAUAUUUUAUAUGUUUCCGGGGUAGAAAAAUCCCAUGGAUUUUUCUGUGCAAUUAGUUUUAGUUUUUGAGGAAGUUAGUUUGUGAGACAUUUUGCUAUGUUGCCCUUUCGAUUAAUUCGUAGGAUUUAUUCCGUGCCUCGUUUGAAUUAGUGGUCAACUAGAGAGUUGAUCUUGGAUGUUUUGUUUAGCCUCUGGUAUUUUUAGUUGCAAUAGAAAUGCAUGUUUAGGUGUGUUUUGCUUGCUCUCAAGUUGCUAGAAAUAGUGCUGUUUUAGAGGAGCUGAAAUAUUUCUAAGUCUGGAAUCUGUUAUUAUUUUGUUGCUGUCUUGUCUUGCUUGCAUCUUGUGAUCUGUAGCUCUUUUGGGGUUGGUCCAAUGGAGUUAGUUGUACCCCUUAUGUUUCUCUAGCAUGCUGUUAAGUUUCAUGUCAUUUGGAGUCCUGUAGCUUAGGUUUUUGCUGCUGUCAAUAUUGCUUCAGAUCGAAAACUGCACUUUCAUGAGGUGUAAUUUUCACUAAGUCUGAAAUAGUGUGUGAGAUGCCAUUUUGUGUCUUCUUUUCCUAGUGCUCCUUGCUGCCAUGCUAGUUGUUGUCAGUUGUUCGUAGAAGUGCUUCUUGCCCUCUUCCGUGCCAUGCUUUGCUUGGGCAUAUCGGAGUUGUGUAGCCGAAGUUGUGAGGUGUAGAAAGUGCUAUGUGGCUGAUUUUGGCAGAUUGUAGUGUUUUCUUGUUUUGCUCGUAGUUUUCAAACCGUAGCUCCGAUUUGAUCGUGUCCUAUAUGAAACUUGCUUAGAAUCUCGUGUAGUUUCAUUUUCUCUUGCUGGUUGUUAGUUUUGAAGUACUCGUAGCCGCCGUUGCACACAUAUUGCAUUCAUGCCAUCAUAUCUUGCGGUGCUUGUAUCUUUUGAACCGUAGCUCCGUUGGAGAUGUUCUUUAUGUGUAGAUUGCUUGCCUUGACGCGUAGAAUCACGUGAACCUAUUUGUUUUGCUGUUUAACAACUAAUUAAAGUUGUUAAUUCAGAUCUGGACAGAAUUGUAAAUUAACAUGUGAGGUCGUUUCGGAGGUGCUAUAUGUCAUUUCCGACCUCACUUAAAAUGCCUAGAUAGGUAGUUUAAUUUUUGCUUCACCUCUUGCUUGUUUGAAAACAUUAAUAUUGCCGUGUAGAUAACCGUGAGUGAACUAAAUAAAUAACGUGGAGUUUCGUCAAUAUGCAACUCAUGCAUCUUGAACUUCACUUAAUGUGUAGUGUUUGAUUGUGUGAUUUGCCAUGCCGUGACUUGCAUGUAUUCAGUAGCUCUUGCAUCAUAUGUGCUGUGCAUCGUGUGGUGAAUUUCGUGUGUUGAUGCUUGUUUCCGUUUCCCCGUCUCGAUAGAGUUUCGCAAGCGUGUCGGAUGUGAGGACCCGUUCGACUACGUCGGUUCGUCUGCUUCGCGGAGUCAUUCUUCUUCCAAGCGGGAUCUCAGGCAAGAUGAUCAUUUCCCCAGAUACCAUUACUAUCAUUGCCAUGCUAGUUUUAUCGCUUCUAUCAUUUAUGUCUCGUUGCCUACGACCUGUUAAAUAUCAGCCUCUCAACAAUGCCAAGUUAACCUUCAACCUGUUCAACCUAGCAAACCACUGAUUGGCUAUGUUACUGCUUGCUUAACCCUGUUGAUAGCAUUGCUAGUUGCAGGUGCAGAUGCUUCCAUGCGAAAGCAUGGGUUCCUUGUUAUAUCACCAUAUUUAAAUGCUAUUUAAUUUAAUGCGCCUAUAUACUUGGUAAAAGGUGGAAGGCUCGGCCUUUCUAGCCUGGUGUUUUGUUCCACCUUUGCCCCCUUAGUUUCCGGCUACCGGUGUUAUGUUCCAUAAUUGAGCGCUCCUAACACGAUCGGGGUUGUUAUGGGGACCCCCUUGAUAAUUCUUUUUAGAUUAAAGCUGGUCUGGCAAGGCCCAACUUUGGUACUACAUUUUCCUAAACACCUAAUAAAAUUGCAUAGGGACUUCCCGGGCCCCGAGGAUAAUUUAAUCAACCCCUGGGCCAGUGCUCCUCAUGAGUGUUGGCCCCACCUGAGCGAUGUCCGGCGCCCCUCUGGUCACCCGGAGGUUUAGCAAUCCCGACGUCUAGCUCAUCCGCCGUGUCCUGAGAACGAGGUACGCGACUCCUAUCGGGAUCGUCGACACGUCGGGCAGCCUUGCUGGAUUAGUUUUACCUUUGACGAGAUAUCUUGUGCAUCGGGAUUCCGGUGAUGCUUUGGGUAAUCUCAGAGUUGAGGUUUUCCACUAGGGAAUCCGACGAGAUCGCGAGCUUCGUGAUUGAGGAUUUCUAUGCGGCUUGUGGUAAUUUGUGAUGGACUAGUUGGAGCACCCCUGCAGGGUUAAAUAUUUCGGAAAGCCGUGCCCGCGGUUAUGUGGCAACGUGGAAACUUUGUUUAACACUGGUUCUAGAUAACUUGAAGUUAAUUUAAUUAAAACUUGCCAACUGUGUGCGUAACCGUGAUUGUCUCUUUCGUGAGUUCCUUCUCCGAUCGAGGACACGGUGGGGUUAUGUCUGACAUAGGUAGGUGUUCAGGAUCAUUCAUUUGAUCAUGAGUAGUUCACGUCCGUUAUGCAUAGAUUUUGCCCCCUCUUAUUUCUUGUACUCGUAAGUUAGCCACCAAAUAUAAGCUUAGCCGCUGCUGCAACCUCACCACCUAACCAUACCUCACCCAUUAAGCUUUGCUAGUCUUCAUACCUUUGGAAAUGAGAUUGUUGAGUCCCCUGUGGCUCACAGAUUACUACAACACCAGUUGCAGGUACAUGUAAAGGUUCCUUGACGUGAGCGCGUUGAUUGUUCAUUUGGAGUUGAUUCUUCUUCUUCUUCUUCUUCGAUCUAGGAUGGGUUCCAGGCCGGCAGCCUGGGAUAGCAAGAAUGGACGUCGUUCUUAUUUUUCUCGUUUGUUUUCGUCCGUAGUCGGACCCUGCUCUUGCUCUUGAUGAUUAUGUAAUGUACUGAUGUGACUCUGAUGUAGCUUGUGGAGAGUGUAAGCCAACUCUGUAUAUAACUCUCCUUUUCAGUACAUGUACUUGUAACGAUAUCCAUUCUUGCGACACGACGAGAUGCGCUUCUAUCCCUGAUGAGGCCUUCGUGCCAAAUUGAGGAUAGGGUCGCAUCUUGGGCGUGACAGAUAGAGCAUAGCCAGACUAUAUGAUUUUGUAGGGAUAACUUUCUUUUGGCCUUGUUAUUUUGAAAGUUCAUGAUUACCUUGCUAGUUUGCUUGAAGUAUUAUUGUCUCCACGUCAAUAGCAAACUAUUGUUUUGAAUCAAAUGGAUCUGAACAUUCACGUCACAUAAGAGGAGUUACAAAGGACAUCUAUGCUAGGUAGCAUGAAAGCAUCAAAAAUUCAUUCUUUAUCACUUCCCAACUCGAGGACAAGCACGAGUUAAGCUUGGGGAUGCUUGAUACGUCUCAAAUGUAUCUAUAAUUUUUGAUGGUUUCAUGUUGUUAUCUUGUCAACUUUGGAUGUUUUAUAUACCUUUCAUAUCUUUUUUGGGACUAACUUAUUAAUACAGUGCCAAUUCCUGUUUUUCUAUGUUUUUGACUCUUUUCAGAUCAGAUUUUGGAACGGAGUCCAAACGGAAUAAAAUCCCUGAAAUAUUUUUUUCCAGAACAAAAGAAGACCGGGGGACUUGAGGGCCAAGGUAGGAGAUCCACAGGGGGGCCACAAGCCCUGUAGCCGCCACCAGGGGGGUGGCGGCUACCAAGCUUGUGGCCCCCUGGAGCUCCCCUGCCCUAGCUCUUUCGCCUAUAUAUUCCCUAAAAUCGCAGAAAAAAUCAGGGCAUCCACGAAAACACUUUUUCGCCGCCGCAAGCUUCCGUUUCCGCGAGAUCUCAUCUGGAGACCCUUCCCGGUGCCCUGCCGGAAGGGACUUUGUAGUUGGAGGGCUUGUACAUCAACAUCAUCGCCUCUCCAAUGACUCGUGAGUAGUCCACUUCAGACCUACAGGUCCGUAGUUAGUAGCUAGAUGGCUUCUUCUCUCUCUUGGAUCUUCAAUACAAAGUUAUCCAUGAUCUUCAUGGAGAUCUAUCUGAUGUAAUCCUCUUUGGUGGUGUGUUUGUUGAGAUCCGAUGAAUUGUGGAUUUGUGAUCAGAUUAUCAAUGAAUUAUAUUUGAGUCUUUGUUGAUUUCUUAUAUGCAUGAUUUGAUAUCCUUGUAAGUCUCUCCGAGUCUUGGGUUUUGUUUGGCCAACUAGAUCUAUGAUUCUUGCAAUGGGAGAAGUGCUUGGUUUUGGGUUCAUACCGUGCGGUGACCUUUCCCAGUGACAGAAGGGGCAGCAAGGCACGCAUCGUUUUGUUGCCAUCAAGGGUAACAAGAUGGGCUUUUAUCAUAGAUAUGAGAUUGUCCAUCUACAUCAUGUCAUCUUGCUUAAGGCGUUACUCUGUUCUUAUGAACUCAAUACACUAGAUGCAUGCUGGAUAGCGGUCGACGUGUGGAGUAAUAGUAGUAGAUGCAGAAAGUAUCGGUCUACUUGUUUUGGACGUGAUGCCUAUUGAUAUAAUCAUUGUCAUAGCUGACGUCAUGACUUUGCACGGUUCUAUCAAUUGCUCGACAGUAAUUCGUUCACCCACCGUCUACUUGCUUUCAUGAGAGAAGCCACUAGGGAACACUACGGCCCCCGGGUCUAUUCACAACUAUCGUCUCCACUUUCACUUUUACUUUGCUUUGUUUACUUUUUGCUUUCAGUUCUCACUUUGCAAACAAUCUAUAAGGGAUUGACAACCCCUUCAUAGCGUUGGGUGCAAGCUCUUUGUGUUUGUGCAGGUACUUGUGACUUGACGCGAUCCUCCCACUGGAUCGAUACCUUGAUUCUCAAACUAAGGGAAAUACUUACCGCCUCUGUGCUACAUCACCCUUUCCUCUUCAAGGGAACACCAACGCAAGGCUCCAAGGCCGCGGGGAAAUCCUUUGCAUAUUUGCCAAGGAAGUCCCUAUAGGCGUAGCCCGUAGCAGCAGGAUUCCUAACGCCGUUGCCAGGGAAGGUCUGUUGUCGCAGUAGCACCCAUCAAUCGAGGAUCCACAAUUUGGACUCCCUACUCGAGAUCAACCAAUUUUGACACCGACAUUGGUGCUUUCAUUAAGAGUUUCGCGAUGAAGAAUUGAUAGCUCGUGUGCAGAUUUCAGUUUUUUCUGGAAAACAAAUUUGUGUUCGUCAUCCCCAUUUCGUCGAGCAUCAUUUUGACGAUUUCUUCGAAGGAAUUGUGUGGAAUUGUAUCUACAACAACUCUGCAAAAUUUCGUCGCGUUCCGAUGGAGGGAUCUCCAACAAUCUUUGAUAUACUGGAGCCAUGUCGAAUGUGGACGGAAAUCCAGAUGAGUUUAGGGCGACGGUGUUGGAGAACGUCGCAUGGGAAACAAAAAAUUUCCUACGCGCACGAAGACCUAUCAUGGUGAUGUCCAUCUACGAGAGGGGAUGUGUGAUCUACGUACCCUUGUAGGCCGUACAGCAGAAACGUUAGUGAACGCGGUNNNNNNNNNNNNNNNNNNNNNNNNNNNNNNNNNNNNNNNNNNNNNNNNNNNNNNNNNNNNNNNNNNNNNNNNNNNNNNNNNNNNNNNNNNNNNNNNNNNNCGGAUACUGACGAUCGAAUCUCGGGCAAGUAACAUACCGAAGGACAAAGGGAAUGACAUACGGGAUUAUAUGAAUCCUUGACACUGAGGUUCAAACGAUAAGAUCUUCGUAGAAAAUGUAGGAUCCAAUAUGGGCAUCCANNNNNNNNNNNNNNNNNNNNNNNNNNNNNNNNNNNNNNNNNNNNNNNNNNNNNNNNNNNNNNNNNNNNNNNNNNNNNNNNNNNNNNNNNNNNNNNNNNNNNNNNNNNNNNNNNNNNNNNNNNNNNNNNNNNNNNNNNNNNNNNNNNNNNNNNNNNNNNNNNNNNNNNNNNNNNNNNNNNNNNNNNNNNNNNNNNNNNNNNNNNNNNNNNNNNNNNNNNNNNNNNNNNNNNNNNNNNNNNNNNNNNNNNNNNNNNNNNNNNNNNNNNNNNNNNNNNNNNNNNNNNNNNNNNNNNNNNNNNNNNNNNNNNNNNNNNNNNNNNNNNNNNNNNNNNNNNNNNNNNNNNNNNNNNNNNNNNNNNNNNNNNNNNNNNNNNNNNNNNNNNNNNNNNNNNNNNNNNNNNNNNNNNNNNNNNNNNNNNNNNNNNNNNNNNNNNNNNNNNNNNCGGGAGUUCACCGGGGGGGGCACCCACCCCGAGGAAGCCCAUAGGCAUUGGGGGUGCCGCACCAGCCCUUAGUGGGCUGGUGGGAUAGACCAAAAGAGCCCUACGCGCAUUGGAAGAAAAAUCAAAGAGAAAAAAAAGGAAGGAGGUGGGAAAGGGAAGAAGGACUCCACCUUCCAAACCAAGUAGAAUUCGGUUUGGGGGGGGAGACCUUCCCCCUUGGUUCGGCCGACCCCCUUGGGAGUCCUUGGACCCCAAGGCAAGGCUCCCCCCUCCUCCUCCUAUAUAUAGUGGGGUUUUAGGGCUGAUUUGAGACAACUUUUGCCACGGCAGCCCNNNNNNNNNNNNNNNNNNNNNNNNNNNNNNNNNNNNNNNNNNNNNNNNNNNNNNNNNNNNNNNNNNNNNNNNNNNNNNNNNNNNNNNNNNNNNNNNNNNNNNNNNNNNNNNNNNNNNNNNNNNNNNNNNNNNNNNNNNNNNNNNNNNNNNNNNNNNNNNNNNNNNNNNNNNNNNNNNNNNNNNNNNNNNNNNNNNNNNNNNNNNNNNNNNNNNNNNNGCGUUUCUGCGGAGCUCGGGCGGAGCCCUGCUGAGAUGAGAUCAUCACCAACGUCCGGAGCGCCGUCACGCUGCCGGAGAACUCUUCUACCUCUCCGUCUCUCUUUCUGGAUCAAGAAGGCCNNNNNNNNNNNNNNNNNNNNNNNNNNNNNNNNNNNNNNNNNNNNNNNNNNNNNNNNNNNNNNNNNNNNNNNNNNNNNNNNNNNNNNNNNNNNNNNNNNNNNNNNNNNNNNNNNNNNNNNNNNNNNNNNNNNNNNNNNNNNNNNNNNNNNNNNNNNNNNNNNNNNNNNNNNNNNNNNNNNNNNNNNNNNNNNNNNNNNNNNNNNNNNNNNNNNNNNNNNNNNNNNNNNNNNNNNNNNNNNNNNNNNNNNNNNNNNNNNNNNNNNNNNNNNNNNNNNNNNNNNNNNNNNNNNNNNNNNNNNNNNNNNNNNNNNNNNNNNNNNNNNNNNNNNNNNNNNNNNNNNNNNNNNNNNNNNNNNNNNNNNNNNNNNNNNNNNNNNNNNNNNNNNNNNNNNNNNNNNNNNNNNNNNNNNNNNNNNNNNNNNNNNNNNNNNNNNAGCUAGGUUCAUGCGUGGAUGUCUUCUCGAGUAGAACACAAAAGUUUUUGUGGGCGGUGAUGUGCGUUUUGCUGCCCUGCUUAGUCUUUUCUUGAUUCCGCGGUAUUGUUGGAUCAAAGCGGCUCGGACCGACAUUACUCGUACGCUUACGAGAGACUGGUUUCAUCGCUACGAGUAACUCCGUUGCUCAAAGAUGACUGGCGGGUGUCAGUUUCUCCAACUUUAGUUGAAUCGGAAUUGACCGAGGAGGUCCUUGGAUGAGGUUAAAUAGCAACUCAUAUAUCUCUGUUGUGGUGUUUGCGUNNNNNNNNNNNNNNNNNNNNNNNNNNNNNNNNNNNNNNNNNNNNNNNNNNNNNNNNNNNNNNNNNNNNNNNNNNNNNNNNNNNNNNNNNNNNNNNNNNNNNNNNNNNNNNNNNNNNNNNNNNNNNNNNNNNNNNNNNNNNNNNNNNNNNNNNNNNNNNNNNNNNNNNNNNNNNNNNNNNNNNNNNNNNNNNNNNNNNNNNNNNNNNNNNNNNNNNNNNNNNNNNNNNNNNNNNNNNNNNNNNNNNNNNNNNNNNNNNNNNNNNNNNNNNNNNNNNNNNNNNNNNNNNNNNNNNNNNNNNNNNNNNNNAUGUAUGAGAUGAUCAUGUUGUAAUAGUUAAUAUCGACUUGCACGUCGAUGGUACGGCAACCGACAUGAGCCAUAGGGUUGUCUUUAAACUAACGUUUGUGCUUGCAGAUGCGUUUACUAUUUUGCUAGGAUGUUGCUUUAGUAGUAAUAGCGUGACUAGCACGACAACCCCGAUGGCGACACGUUGAUGGAGAUCAUGAUGAUGGAGAUCAUGGUGUGACGCUGGUGACAAGAAGAUCGUGCAGGUGCUUUGGUGAUGGAGAUCAAGGAGCACGUGAUGAUGGCCAUAUUAUGUCACUUAUGAAUUNNNNNNNNNNNNNNNNNNNNNNNNNNNNNNNNNNNNNNNNNNNNNNNNNNNNNNNNNNNNNNNNNNNNNNNNNNNNNNNNNNNNNNNNNNNNNNNNNNNNCAGGAAACCUUGACCAUCUUUGAUCAACGAGCUAGUCAACUAGAGGCUUACUAGGGACAGUGUUUUGUCUAUGUAUCCACACAAGUAUUGUGUUUCCAGUCAAUACAAUUAUAGCAUGGAUAAUAAACGAUUAUCAUGAACUAAGAAAUAUAAUAAUAACUAAUUUAUCAUUGCCUCUAGGGCAUAUUUCCAACAGUCUCCCACUUGCACUAGAGUCAAUAAUCUAGUUCACAUCACCAUGUGAUUCCAACGAAUCCAACACCCAUAUAGUUACGGGGUCUGAUCACGUCUUGCUCGUGAGAGAGGUUUUAGUCAACGGUUCUGAAACUUUCAGAUCCGUGCAUUCUUUACAAAUCUUUAUGUCAUCUUAUAGAUGCUGCUACUACGUGCUAUUCGGAAAUGCUCCAAAUAUCUACUCUACUAUACGAAUCCGUUUCACUACUCAUAGUUAUUCGGAUUAGUGUCAAAGCUUGCAUCGACGUAACCCUUUACGACGAACUCUUUAACCACCUCCAUAAUCGAGAAAAAUUUCUUAGUCUAUUUAGUUACUAAGGAUAACUUUGACCGCUGCUAGUGAUUCAAUCAUGGAUCACUCUGUGUACCUCUCAACAGACCUUGAGUCAAGGCACACAUCAGGUGCGGUACACAGCAUGGCAUACUUUAGAUUCUACGGCUAAGGCAUAGAAGACGACCUUCGUCUAUUCUCUUUAUUCUGCCGUGGUCGGGUUUUGAGUCUUACUCAAAUUUACACCUUACAACGCAACCAAGAACUCCUUCUUUGCUGAUCUAUUUUGAACUCCUUCAAAAAUUUGUCAAGGCAUGCAUCUUAUUGAAACUUUCAUCAAGCGCUUUCGAUCUAUCUCCAUAGAUCUUUGAUGCUCAACGUUCAAGUAGCACAAUCCAGGUAUUCCUUUGAAAACUCCUUUUAAACAACCUUGUAUGCUUUACAGAAAUUCUACAUUACUUCUGAUCCACAAUAUGUCAACCACAUAUACUUAUCAGAAAUUCUAUAGUGCUCCCACUCACUUCUUUCGAAAUACAAGUUUCUCAUAAACCUUGUACAAACCCAAAAUCUUUGAUCAUCUCAUCAAAGUAUAUAUAUUCCAACUCCGAGAUGCUUGCACCAGUCCAUUGACGGAUCACUGGAGUUUGCACAAUUGCUAGUAUCUUUAGGAUUGACAAAACCUCCUGGUUGUAUCACAUACAAUGUUUGCUCAAGGAAACCAUUGAGGAAACAAUGUUUUGACAUCCUAUGUGCAAUAUUUCAAAAAUAAUGUAACAACUACUAACAUAAUUCUAACAGACUUUUAGCAUCGCUACGAGUGAGAAAGUCUCAUCAUCGUCAACUGUUUGAUCUUGUCGGAAACAUCUUUGCGACAAGUCGAGCUUUUCUUAAUAGUGACUUAUCACCAUCAUCGUCUGUCUUCCUUUUAAAGAUCCAUCUUUACUCAACAGUCUUAUGACCAUCAAGUAGUUCUUUCAAAGUCUACACUUUGUUUUCAUACAUGGAUCCUCUCUCGGAUUUCAUGGCUUCCAGCCAUUUGUCGGAAUCUGGGCCCACCAUCGCUUUCUCCAUAACUCGUAGGUUCACUGUUGCUCAACAACAUGACCUCCAAGACAGGGUUACCGUACUACUCUGUAGUAGUACGCGACCUUGUCAACCUACGAGGCUUGUAGUAACUUGAUCCGAUGCUUGAUGAUCACCAUCAUCAGCUUCCACUUCAAUUGGUGUAGGUGCCACAGGAACAACUUCCUGCGCCCUGCUACACUCUGGUUGAAGUGAUGGUUCAAUAACCUCAUCAAGUUCUACUACCCUCCCACUCAAUUAUUUCGAGAAAACCUUUCCUCGAGAAAGGAUCCGUUUCUAGAAAUAAACACUUUGCUUUCGGAUCUGAGAUAGGAGAUGUACCCAACUGUUUUGGAUAUCCUAUGAAGAUGCAUUUAUCCGCUUUGGGUUCGAGCUUAUCAGACUGAANNNNNNNNNNNNNNNNNNNNNNNNNNNNNNNNNNNNNNNNNNNNNNNNNNNNNNNNNNNNNNNNNNNNNNNNNNNNNNNNNNNNNNNNNNNNNNNNNNNNAGCUUAUCAGACUGAAACUUUUUCACAUAAGUGUCGAAGCCCCAAACUUUCAAGAAACGACAGUUUAGAUUUCUCUAAACCUCAGUCUAUACUAUGUCAUCUCAACGGAAAUACGUGGUGCCCUAUUUUAAAGUGAAUGCGGUUGUCUCUAAUGCAUAACCCAUAAAUAAUAGUUGUAAUUUGAUAAGAGACAUCAUAGUAUGCACCAUACCAAAUAGUGUGUGGCUAUGACGUCCAGACACAUCAUCACACUAUGAUGUUCCAGGUGGCAUGAACUGCGAAACAAUUUCGACAUUGUCUUAACUGCGUACCAAAACUCGUAACUCAGAUAUUCAUUUCUAUGAUCAUAUCGUAGACCGUUUAUCCUCUUGUUACGACGAACUUCACUCCAAAACAGAAUUGGACUUUUCAAUAUUUCAGACUUGUGAUUCAUUAAGUAAAUACUCUUGCAUCUACUCAAAUCGUCAUUGAAGUAAGAACAUAAUGAUAUCCACUGCGUGCCUCAGCACCCAUUGGACUGCAUACAUCAAAAUGUAUUACUUCCAACAAGUUACUAUCUUGUUUCAUCUCAAUGAAAAUAAGGCCUUGCUCAUGUGGUAUGAUUUGCAUGUCACUAGUGAUUCAAAAUCAAGUGAGUAUAAAGAUCCAUCAGCAUGGAGCCUCUUCAUGCAAUUUAUACUAACAUGACUCAAGCGGCAGUGCCACAAGUAAGUGGUACUAUCAUCAUUACCUCGUAUCUUUUGGCACCAAUAUCAUGAACAUGUGUAACACUACGAUCGAGAUUCAAUAAACCAUUGAAGGUGAUUAUUCAAGCAAAUAGAGUAACCAUUAUUCUCUUUAAAUGAAUAAUCGUAUUGCAAUAAACACGAUCCAAUCAUAUUCAUGCUUAACGCAAGCACCAAAUAACAAUUAUUUAGGUUUAACACCAAUCCCGAUGGUAGAGGGAGUGUGCGACGUUUUGAUCAUAUCAACCUUGGAAACACUUCCAGCACGUAUCGUCACCUUGCCUUUGGCUAGUCUCCGUUUAUGUCGUAGCUAUCAUUUCGUGUUACUAAUCACUUAGCAACCGAACCGGUAUCCAAUACCCUCGUGCUACCAGGAGUACUAGUAAAGUACACAUCAACAUCAUGUAUAUCAAAUAUACUUCUUUCGACUUUUGCUAGCCUUCUUAUCUACCAAGUAUCUAGAGUUGCUCCGCCUCAGUGACCGUUCCCCUCAUAACAGAAGUACUUCGUCUCGGGUUUGGGUUUAAUCUUGGGUCUCUUCAUUAGUGCAGCAACUGCUUUGCCGUUUCACGAAGUAUCCCUUCUAGCCCUUGCCUUUCUCGAAACUUAGUGGUUUUACUAACCAUCAACUAUUGAUGCUCCUUCUUGAUUUCUACUCUCGCAGUGUCAAACAUCGCGAAUCGCUCAAGGAUCAUUGUAUCUAUCCUUGAUAUGUUAUAGUUCAUCGCGAAGCUCUCACGGCUUGGUGGCAGUGACUUUGGAGAACCAUCACUAUCUCAUCUGGAAGAUUAACUCCCACUUGAUUCAAGCGAUUGUCGUACUCAGACAAUCUGAGCACACGCUCAACGAUUGAGCUUUUCUCCUUUACUUUGUGGACAAAGAAUCUUGUNNNNNNNNNNNNNNNNNNNNNNNNNNNNNNNNNNNNNNNNNNNNNNNNNNNNNNNNNNNNNNNNNNNNNNNNNNNNNNNNNNNNNNNNNNNNNNNNNNNNUAACACCCCCCUCAAAUGCAAAGCGUAUGCAAUAGCAUUGCAUUUGAAGAAGUGUAAUACUAAAAAAAAAACAAUGAUAAUCCAAAUCCGCGUCUUGAGAGUGUCGUCGUAGCAUGAAGAGUCUUCAAAACUUGUCGAGUCGCCGAAGGAGAGAACGAAGAGAUGGCACAUNNNNNNNNNNNNNNNNNNNNNNNNNNNNNNNNNNNNNNNNNNNNNNNNNNNNNNNNNNNNNNNNNNNNNNNNNNNNNNNNNNNNNNNNNNNNNNNNNNNNNNNNNNNNNNNNNNNNNNNNNNNNNNNNNNNNNNNNNNNNNNNNNNNNNNNNNNNNNNNNNNNNNNNNNNNNNNNNNNNNNNNNNNNNNNNNNNNNNNNNNNNNNNNNNNNNNNNNNNNNNNNNNNNNNNNNNNNNNNNNNNNNNNNNNNNNNNNNNNNNNNNNNNNNNNNNNNNNNNNNNNNNNNNNNNNNNNNNNNNNNNNNNNNNNNNNNNNNNNNNNNNNNNNNNNNNNNNNGAUGGCACAUCAAGAGAAUAAAGCAUUGUGCAGAAAAUCAUAGUCCACGACAACCGCCGGCGAAAGAAGCUCGGCGGAUAAGGCACGAUGGACGUAGAUCGACAAUGCAAAAGAAGUCCAGAAAAUCCUAUAGAAAACAACAAGGGCAAAUAGGCCACAAAAGUUGCAUAGAAAGGAUCAGGACCAAAGAAAAGGCUGACGGACAAAGGUAUGGUGGACUCGCAUGGCAUGAGAAAACACAAAAUAUUAACGGAUUUGGUGGACGCAGCGGGAAAAAAAACUGAAAAGCAUAUAUGAAACUAGAUGCGGUAGCAGAAGAAGAGAACCAUGACGGAAAACAGCAGACUAGCAGCAGCAGGCCAAGUGCCCACGUACAGAUGGAAUCACACGCACACAGAAUCAGGCAACAGCACCAGCUAGCUGCAGUACGUAGAGCAGCCGAACGAGGAGAGCAACACGUGAGCAGCCACAAUAGGCUGGAGGAGCAGGAGCUGUCUGGGCCAGCAACAGGGAGGUUGAGCAGCGUGGAGGUGGAUGGCAGGCACGGCCAUGUUAGGAAAGCANNNNNNNNNNNNNNNNNNNNNNNNNNNNNNNNNNNNNNNNNNNNNNNNNNNNNNNNNNNNNNNNNNNNNNNNNNNNNNNNNNNNNNNNNNNNNNNNNNNNNNNNNNNNNNNNNNNNNNNNNNNNNNNNNNNNNNNNNNNNNNNNNNAUGUUAGGAAAGCAACAACACCUGUACUAGAUGCUUGUCCGUUGCCUAUAAUCCUGUUGGAGACGAGACACCGCGAUCUGCUGGAAGAUCCGGCUGGAAGCGGUGGAACACGGCGGCCGGCGACGGAAUCCGAUUGAAGAUCACGAGAGACGGUGGCCGGCGACGGGAUCCGGCUGGAGGACAGCAGAUCGAGCCCAACGGCCAGAUCGCGAGCACAGCUGACGGGACGCCUGCGAAUCUGAACAAAGCAGCCAGGGAGUCAACGGAGCAGAAGCACGGCUGACGGGAAGGAGCCUGCUGCGAUCUGGAUUCAAUCGGGGUGAUGGAUUCAGCAGGNNNNNNNNNNNNNNNNNNNNNNNNNNNNNNNNNNNNNNNNNNNNNNNNNNNNNNNNNNNNNNNNNNNNNNNNNNNNNNNNNNNNNNNNNNNNNNNNNNNNAAUUCAUAAGUGACAUGAUAUGGCCAUCAUCAUGUGCUUCUUGAUCUCCAUCACCAAAGCACCGGCACGAUCUUCUUGUCACCAGCGUCACACCAUGAUCUCCAUCAUCAUGAUCUCCAUCAACGUGUCGCCAUUGGGGUUGUCGUGCUACUCAUGCUAUUACUACUAAAGCUACGUCCUAGCAAUAUAGUAAACGCAUCUGCAAGCACAAACGUUAGUUUAAAGACAACCCUAUGGAUCCUGUCGGUUGCCGUACCAUCGACGUGCAAGUCGAUAUUAACUAUUACAACCUGAUCAUCUCAUACAUNNNNNNNNNNNNNNNNNNNNNNNNNNNNNNNNNNNNNNNNNNNNNNNNNNNNNNNNNNNNNNNNNNNNNNNNNNNNNNNNNNNNNNNNNNNNNNNNNNNNNNNNNNNNNNNNNNNNNNNNNNNNNNNNNNNNNNNNNNNNNNNNNNNNNNNNNNNNNNNNNNNNNNNNNNNNNNNNNNNNNNNNNNNNNNNNNNNNNNNNNNNNNNNNNNNNNNNNNNNNNNNNNNNNNNNNNNNNNNNNNNNNNNNNNNNNNNNNNNNNNNNNNNNNNNNNNNNNNNNNNNNNNNNNNNNNNNNNNNNNACGCAAACACCACAACGGAGAUAUAUGAAUUGCUAUUUAACCUCAUCCAAGGACCUCCUCGGCAAAUCUGAUUCAACUAAAGUUGGACAAACCGACACUCGCCGGUCAUCUUUGAGCAACGGAGUUACCCGUAGCGAUGAAACCAGUCUCUCGUAAGCGUACGAGUAAUGUCGGUCCGAGCCGCUUCGAUCCAACAAUACUGCGGAAUCAAGAAAAGACUAUGGAGGGCAGCAAAACGCACAUCACCGCCCACAAAAACUUUAGUGUUCUACUCGAGAAAACAUCUACGCAUGAACCUAGCUCAUGAUNNNNNNNNNNNNNNNNNNNNNNNNNNNNNNNNNNNNNNNNNNNNNNNNNNNNNNNNNNNNNNNNNNNNNNNNNNNNNNNNNNNNNNNNNNNNNNNNNNNNGUGAUGUUAAUCCUUUUAUGCACCUUAUUUUGCUUAGAACGACGGUAGCAUUAUGAGGUGAUAUCUCACUAAAAUUUCAAGACGAAAUUGUGUUCUCCCCGACUGUGCACCAUUGCGACAGUUCUUCGUUUCGAGACACCACGUGAUGAUCGGGUGUGAUAGACUCAACGUUCACAUACAACGGGUGCAAAACAGUUGCACACGCAGAACACUCGGGUUAAGCUUGACGAGCCUAGCAUGUGCAGACAUGGCCUCGGAACACAUGAGACCGAAGGGUCGAGCAUGAAUCGUAUAGUUGAUAUGAUUAGCAUAGAGAUGCUUACCACUGAAACUAUUCUCGACUCACGUGAUGAUCGGACUUGAGAUAGUGGAUUUGGAUCAUGUACCACUCAAAUGACUAGAGAGAUGUACUUUUUGAGUGGGAGUUCUUAAGUAAUAUGAUUAAUUGAACUAAUUGUCAUGAACAUAGUCUAAUGGUCUUUGCGAAUUAUGAUGUAGCUUGCGCUAUAGCUCUACUGUUUUUGUAUGUUCCUAGAGAAAAUUUAGUUGAAAGUUGAUAGUAGCAAACUUUGCAGACUAAGUCUGUAAAACCUAGGAUUGUCCUCGUUGCUGCGCAGAAGGCUUAUGUCCUUAAUGCACCACGCGGUGUGCUGCACCUCGAGCGUCGUCUGUGGAUGCUAUGAACAUCCGACAUACACGUUUGUGAUGACUACACGAUAGUUCAGUGCAAAAUACUUAAUGGCUUAGAAGCAAGGCGCCAAAAACGUUUUGAAACGUCAUGGAACAUAAGAGAUGUUCUAAAGAGAUGAAAUUGUGAUUUCAUGCUUGUGCCCUUGUUAAGAGGUACAAGACCUCCGACAAGAUUCUUUGUCCNNNNNNNNNNNNNNNNNNNNNNNNNNNNNNNNNNNNNNNNNNNNNNNNNNNNNNNNNNNNNNNNNNNNNNNNNNNNNNNNNNNNNNNNNNNNNNNNNNNNGUGAUGUUAAUCCUUUAUGCACCUUAUCUUGCUUAGAACGAUAGUAGCAUUAUGAGGUGAUAUCUCACUAAAAUUUGAAGACCAAAUUGUGUUCUCCCCGACUGUGCACCGUUGCGACAGUUCUUCGUUUCGAGACACCACGUGAUGAUCGGGUGUGAUAGACUCAACGUUCACAUACAACGGGUGCAAAACAGUUGCACACGCAGAACACUCGGGUUAAGCUUGACGAGCCUAGCAUGUGCAGACAUGGCCUCGGAACACAUGAGACCGAAGGGUCGAGCAUGAAUCGUAUAGUUGAUAUGAUUAGCAUAGAGAUGCUUACCACUGAAACUAUUCUCGACUCACGUGAUGAUCGGACUUGAGAUAGUGGAUUUGGAUCAUGUACCACUCAAAUGACUAGAGAGAUGUACUUUUUUAGUGGGAGUUCUUAAGUAAUAUGAUUAAUUGAACUAAUUGUCAUGAACAUAGUCUAAUGGUCUUUGCGAAUUACGAUGUAGCUUGCGCUAUAGCUCUAUUGUUUUUAUAUGUUCCUAGAGAAAAUUUAGUUGAAAGUUGAUAGUAGCAAACUUUGCAGAGGAUUGUCCUCGUUGCUGCGCAGAAGGCUUAUGUCCUUAAUGCACCACUCGGUAUGCUGCACCUCGAGCGUCGUCUGUGGAUGCUGUGAACAUCCGACAUACACGUUUCUGAUGACUACACGAUAGUUCAGUGCAAAAUACUUAAUGGCUUAGAAGCAAGGCGCUGAAGACGUUUUGAAACGUCACAGAACAUAAGUGAGGUUCUAAAAAGAUGAAAUUGUGAUUUCAUGCUUGUGCCCUUGUUAAGAGGUAUGAGACCUCCAACAAGAUUCUUUGUCCNNNNNNNNNNNNNNNNNNNNNNNNNNNNNNNNNNNNNNNNNNNNNNNNNNNNNNNNNNNNNNNNNNNNNNNNNNNNNNNNNNNNNNNNNNNNNNNNNNNNCAGAUCACACUUAACUUGUAGUAUAUAAUCUCCAGAUCGAUACGAAUUGGAGACAAGAAUUCAAGAUGAAUGCUUAUAGCAGUCUCACGAACUAGGGUUUAUCUUAAACGUGGUCUAUCUAUCUAAUCUGAGAGCAACCCUCAAUAUAAGAGGGGCUGGGUGAUGCGCCCAGGGGAGGGGGCGCUAGGUCUGGUGCGCCCAGCCUGGUCCUCCUGACUUGGUGCAACCUAAACUAGUCGACUCAAAACGUGGUUCGACUCAACUUGAUACAAACUGACCCAAGUUGGGUUCAACCCCUUGGCACGCAGGCCAUGUACUUGAGGUAUGGCGCCGCAACAUGGUGUUGGUGCGCCUGGUGUUACUCGACAUGGGGAUCCUCCUCCUUGACGUUAACGCCUGACUGCCUCUCCUCCCUCGCGCCCUCUUGCUUGUACUCCACGUCAUGCUCCUCUUGCUGCAACUCCUCGCUCCCUCGUGCUAUGCCUUCUUCUCCCAUGCACCUGAGUAUGCAAACACUCAAAGACUUAGGCAGUAGAAAGCUCUCAUUAAAAUAAAUAGCAUAUUCAACUAAGAGAGAAUUCACCUGUUGUUCUAUUAUCUUUGCACGAGCUCUUGUGAUAGGUCCAAUUCUGAUUUCAUCAUUGGACGUCUUCUUUGCAGCCACUUGGUGAUCAUCAUCAUAGGUUGGAGGUGGGUCAAGUGUAGGGAUGUCCUCAUCANNNNNNNNNNNNNNNNNNNNNNNNNNNNNNNNNNNNNNNNNNNNNNNNNNNNNNNNNNNNNNNNNNNNNNNNNNNNNNNNNNNNNNNNNNNNNNNNNNNNUGUCGUGGUGUAGUGAUCUAUCUCUAUAGAUCUUGAUGCCUAAUAUGUAUGCAGCUUCUUCAAGGUCCUUCAUUGAAAGACUCUUGUUCAAGUAGGCCUUUAUGCUCUCCAAUAACUCUAUAUUAUUCCCCAUCAAUAGUAUGUCAUCCACACACAAUAUGAGGAAAGCUACAGAGCUCCUACUCACUUUCUUGUACAGACAUGCUUCUCCAUAAAUCUGUAUGAACCCAAACGCUUUAAUCACCUCAUUAAAGCGGAUGUUCCAACUCCGAGAUGCUUGCACCAGCCCAUAGAUGGAGCGCUGGAGCUUGCAUACCUUGUUAGCACUCUUAGGAUCGACAAAACCUUCUGGUUCCAUCAUAUACAACUCUUCCUUAAGAUACCCGUUAAGGAACGCUAUUUUGACGUCCAUUUGCCAAAUUUCAUAACCAUGAAAAGAGGCAAUUGCUAACAUGGUUCGGACUGACUUUAGCUUCUCUACGGGAGAGAAAGUCUCAUCGUAGUCAACUCCUUGAAUUUGUCCAAAACCCUUUGCGACAAGUCGAGCUUUGUAAACAGUCACAUUACCAUUUGAGUGAGUCUUCUUCUUGAAGAUCCAUUCAUUUUCUGUGGCUCGCCGAUCAUCGGGCCAGUCCACCAAAGUCCAUACUUUGUUAUCAUACAUGGAUCCUAUCUCGGAUUUCAUAGCUUCANNNNNNNNNNNNNNNNNNNNNNNNNNNNNNNNNNNNNNNNNNNNNNNNNNNNNNNNNNNNNNNNNNNNNNNNNNNNNNNNNNNNNNNNNNNNNNNNNNNNCANCGGAUUCCACCGAAUAUCCGUCUGACGGAUAUUGUCACUCCUCUGAGCAACAAGGCAAGCAACCAUUUUGAUCAUCCCGAUAAAUCCCAUGUUCCUGCCCCUGCACUUACUUAUUGCAUUAGGAUCAAAUGCUUCAACUGCUUUUGCCACGUUAGUUGAACCCAUUUCCUUUGCAUGACCUAUCCUUUUCACAGUAAAUAGCCGAACCUUGCAACCUAGCAUACCUCGUAGUUGCUUGAGCCAUGAUGUGCCUUAUCCUGCUACGCAUGCUAUGCUUAGAGUUGUGUAUGGUCUGUCAUCUGGGAGAUGAACAGAAUUGUGAGAAUGUGUUUGGUAAGCAAAGGUUGUGUGUUGAAUCUGAUUUGGUAAAGGUAUUGGUGAAAGGCUGUGUAGGAGUACAUGGCGGGUUGUUUCAUUGGAACCGUCCUUAGGAACUGAGUUCCGUGCAUGUAAUCCAAGACUAGAUACUACCACAUGCUGGCCCCUGAAAUAUGACCCCGCUCGACCUAUUAAUCGCUUAGUACUCGGUCCAGGAGUUGCAAGUAGUUUCUGGUGUUUAUAGUCAUGCUGGAGGCCGUGCAUGGUGCUGACCUGAGAGGUGGGCCGUGAUGCGGUAGGCAGUGGCACGGUGUACCAAGUGGCACCCGGAUGGUGGGCUUGGGAACCCUGCGCACAUCGUUUGAGGCCGUGGCGGAAACCUCGGCCGGACUUCCAUACGGGUUACUCUCAGAUAGGCGAUAAACCUGGACUAGGUACUAAUGUGGUUAACGGUCGUGGCCGACUCCCUCGCUAGGCUUCCGCUUGAAGGUUGCCGAGGUGCAUGACGUGCACAUGGCGAUAAGUGGCGAGAGCGUGUGUGACGAAGUACACCCCUGCAGGGUUAUGAUCUAUUCGAAUAGCCGCGUCCACGGAUAUGGACUACUUGGAGAGAUAUGUUGUUCAUAGAUAACUUAAAUGGCUACUCAUAAAAUUGUCAAGAUAAGCAUGAGUGUCGUGGACGGCAUUUCCGUAUGGAGACGGAAUGAUUCCACGAUGGUGUAUUGUUGUGGUGUUAGUGGACUCGUGUGCGAGAAAUCAAGUUGUCAAAAUUAUUUAAAAAUGCAAGUUGUCUAGCCACGAGUCAAAUGAUGGCUUUCCGCAUGAAACCCCACAAUACCUUUUGAUACUUUGCAUGAGUAGAUAGUUAUCCUAAAGUCUUGCUGAGUACCUUCGUACUCAUGUUUGGUUAAUAAAUGUUGCAGAGGUUGCUAAUGACCCUAAUGGAGGGUUCUUCGUAGACAUCGACGNNNNNNNNNNNNNNNNNNNNNNNNNNNNNNNNNNNNNNNNNNNNNNNNNNNNNNNNNNNNNNNNNNNNNNNNNNNNNNNNNNNNNNNNNNNNNNNNNNNNCGGCCCCUCCACCAGCCCCCUCCAGCCCCCUCCACCGGCCCCUGCACUGGUAAGUCUCUCUCCCUCCCUAUAUCUCUCUCUCUUAUCUCUCUGACUGGGUGUUUCUGUUUUUGCAGAUAGACUAGGCUCCUCCAGCNNNNNNNNNNNNNNNNNNNNNNNNNNNNNNNNNNNNNNNNNNNNNNNNNNNNNNNNNNNNNNNNNNNNNNNNNNNNNNNNNNNNNNNNNNNNNNNNNNNNNNNNNNNNNNNNNNNNNNNNNNNNAGACUAGGCUCCUCCAGCAGCAAGGUGCUCACAGACUAGGCUCCUCCAGCAGCAGGGUGCUAGAAGAUUUUCCUCCAGCAGCAAGGUGCUCCUCCUAGCAUUAUUUGAGGUCGAAGGUUCAUUUUAGGUGGUGCAUGUAUCUAUGUAGCUAAGGUGGAUAUGCAGAUAUGCUAUGAAGUGGUGUCAAGUUUUAGGUGAUUUAAAAUCAGAGAUUCAUUUGUUUGUUGGUGGUGCAACAGAAAACAACCUGAAAUGUUUGAAAGGUUGUAGAUUCUUACAUUAUAGUUUGAGAAAGGUGUUUGAAAGGUGGUGCAACAGAAAACAACAGAAAAUCUGAUUUGUUUGAGAAUUACAUCAAAGAAAGCCAUUUGGAAUUUGGUCUUGCUAAUAAUUUCUUGGGUUAGUUUAAUUUUGAAGUAAUAGUAACUAUGGAUGAUAUAACACGAGGAACAUGGAUAAUUAUCAAACAUGUCGGGUGGCAAAUAAACGAAGAACGACUUAUUAAGGAACUGUAGAAUAUGUUGUGUUUUGGUUUGUGCAUGUGAAUUAUGUUUGAUUCUAGUUUUCACUUUAUUGUAGGACACACAUCAAUUUGACAUUGGAAGGGUCGUGGCAAGGCUUUUUGCUGGAGGGACAACCAUUGCCGAGCACACUUCGAGGGUAAGAAUAAUUUGCCUCAAAGAAUAAUUUGACAUUGAAGUAUUUCGCCUAUGAACGCAAGAUGCUUCUCCCAAAGGCGCUAGCCCGUAGAGUGCAUCUCACCCGUUCCAUGUACAUGAAGGUAGUUUUCAUUUAGCUGUGAUUGCCUGGAUUAAAACAACUUAGUUUCAUUCCUAAGUUGGAUAUAUUUGACAUGUUUCAGGCGGUUCCUCCGUGGUGCAACAACAAGAUUCCUUGCUACCAGCAAAUCAUAUCUAGGUGGAUAAACCCGGAGUGGAGGGCCACACACACAGCGGCUUCGGAGCGGCGUGCCUUGAUGGGUGGUCCGGUACACCUUCAAGGCAACGUCAACCUCCAUGCUUACGUGCAGAAGAAGGUAAUAAUAUCAUUUGGUUUAUGAACUUCUCAACUUGUGCCCUUAUGGAUAUUAUUGCUUCUAUUGCAGAAUAGGGAGAGAGGUGAGGGUGAAGAGGUUCUCAAUACCUUCACGGGAUUAUGUCUCUCACGUAAGUCAAAGAAACCGGAAGGGGGGUGGGUCAACCCAGGGGCUGGCUUUAGGAUUAAUGCAUAUAGUGGGAAGUUCAAGGAGUGCAACGGGCCCGACUCUGAUCCGGCCUCACAAGACAUUGACGUUAUGGUUUCCCUCAAGUCGGGAGAAGGCAAGAAGCGUGGCCGGUUAUAUGUUGGUGACGGUUCCAUUCGUAAGAAGAACAUUCCAAAACUCGCCCACCUUUGUGCUACCACAUCGAGCUCAGGUCCUGCUAUUGAGCGUCGCCCACAACCUGGAAUGGACAUGCUGCAUCAGUUCCAUGUAUGUUUUACUUCACUGAUCUUCCUUCUGAUUUUAUCUUUGCAUUGCAACGAUGGUGAACUUGUUGUGCUGGCAUAUUGUAGGUCCGCCUAGAGGAAGAAAGCAGGCUACGACAGGAACCUCAGGCCAAUGCCCUACUUCAACAAGAGCAAGCCAUGAAAAUGCAACAAACCCUAAUUCAGCAGCAGGAANNNNNNNNNNNNNNNNNNNNNNNNNNNNNNNNNNNNNNNNNNNNNNNNNNNNNNNNNNNNNNNNNNNNNNNNNNNNNNNNNNNNNNNNNNNNNNNNNNNNNNNNNNNNNNNNNNNNNNNNNNNNNNNNNNNAGCAGGAAUUCAUGGCUAAACAACAGGCAGCCCUGCAGGAGACGUUUGCUCGGUUCAGUAAUAACAUGCAGUGUUCAACUUUGCCGGAUCUUCCUUCUGUUCCGCCUCUUCCUACAUUCAGCCUUGUAAGUCUUCAACUUUUCAACCAUGCAUCUUACCAUCAUUCUUAAAUCCUCUUACCAUCUUACUAUCAUGCUUGAACUAUCCAUAGUCAGGAGAACACUUCAAUGACUUUGUGGUUGCUGGAUCUACACCUACGCAAGCAAGCCCAAUGACACGCACUGCGGCUGAAGAUGCUUUGUCCUCCAUGCCACAAUGAUCACUCGAGGUACUUGUCUAUGCUUGUACAUUAUUCAUGCUUGUGUCUUGUCGUUGGUUGUGCCUCUCAACUCAGAACUUUGCAUUGCUGCUAGUAGAGCCCACAAGUGUUGAUCCUUGUAUUAUUCAUACUUCUUAGCUUCAAGUUGAAACUUAUNNNNNNNNNNNNNNNNNNNNNNNNNNNNNNNNNNNNNNNNNNNNNNNNNNNNNNNNNNNNNNNNNNNNNNNNNNNNNNNNNNNNNNNNNNNNNNNNNNNNNNNNNNNNNNNNNNNNNNNNNNNNNNNNNNNNNNNNNNNNNNNNNNNNNNNNNNNNNNNNNNNNNNNNNNNNNNNNNNNNNNNNNNNNNNNNNNNNNNNNNNNNNNNNNNNNNNNNNNNNNNNNNNNNNNNNNNNNNNNNNNNNNNNNNNNNNNNNNNNNNNNNNNNNNNNNNNNNNNNNNNNNNNNNNNNNNNNNNNNNNNNNNNNNNNNNNNNNNNNNNNNNNNNNNNNNNNNNNNNNNNNNNNUGACUCUUGUGCCUUAUCGAUCAUUUGCACCCGGCUUAUAGGCUGUUUGUCCCAGGCGCUGGGGGCUAUAAGCCGUGUGUCCCAGAUAAUAGCACCCGGCUUAUAGGCCGUUUGUCCCAGGCGCUGGGGGCUGUAAGCCGUGUGCCCCAGACACUACCACCCGGCCUAUAUAUAACCCGUGUGUCAGAUUUGGCCCUCGCUUUAUAUGUAAACCGUGCGUGUCACACUGGCCCUCGGUUUAUAUAUAACCCGUGCGCCCAGUCUCGACCCUCGGCUUAUAUAUAAACCGUGUGACUGCAGGCCCUCGGCUUAUAUAUAAACCGUGUGACGGUAGGCCCUCGACUUAUAUAUAAACCAUGUGACGGUAGGCCCUCGGCUUAUAUGAACCGUCACGGGGCUUGCCGUUAGAACCACGUUCCGUUAUGUGUAAAUCGUGUGUCCGUUGGCACUCGGGUUACGUGGGUGCACUCGGCUUAUAUGUAAGCCGAGUAUUUUAACUGUUGCUCUCGGCUUACAUUGGAUAAGCCGGUCCUUAGUAAGGCGUGUGUUAUAAGCCGGGGAAAACACCCGGCUUAUAUGUAAGCCGAGUGUAAUCCGUCGUAAGCCGAGUGUUUCGGGCACUCGGCUUAUAAGUUUUUUCCUAUAGUUCCAAAUGGUCCAUAAUACAUGAACUUCAAACUCUAGAAAUGCACUGUCUCACCAUAAUGUUGAGUGACUGAAUGCUACAAAAGGACCAAACAGUUACUGGGAUGGGCUUUCACUCAAUCGGUUUGACAAGUUUGUGGACAAAAAUGUCUAGAAUCUGAAUUGCUGAGUUGAUGUGUCUACUUGCAUCCCCUGACGAUGGAAAUGAUUAUGUUGAUGAAGAAGAUCACUACGAUGAUGAAUUCCCUGACGGCACUCCGACAUCAUCGAAGAGAGGGGGAUCCUCCCCUUACGCUUCCUCCUUCAUGGGAAACUACAGAAGCAUGUAUGUUUCAGCCACAUGUACCACGCCUUCCGUGGAUCUUUGCACCCAUAUCAUCGACGAACCUGCACCCAUCGACGUUCCAUGCAUGACAUGCUUUCGGAGUUCUCGACAUGCCGAUCGAUCUGAUCGUGCAUGGCGAACUAGGACAAGUUCGCGUGCAGUCAAAAAGACAUGGUCACGUUCCAACAUGCAUGUGUGCAUGUACAAGCUCGGGCAUGCAAUAGAGCACGCGCGCGACUGGCUUCGAUCCAGGCGACAGCGUGGCGCGCGACUCCACCGGCGACAGCAUGGCCCGCGACUCCAUUGACUAGGCACGCAUCGGCUAGUCGGCCUCUCCGCUCCACGCACAACACGCGGGCUACACAAACAGCGUCUACUCUCGACUUGCGUCAUGACUUCAUCGACUACACACUGCCUCACGUCUCGACCUCAUCGAAUACACGCUGCCUCGCCAUGUCCACGUCAUUAGGGUACUAGUGAUAUAUCUUACGCAGGCUCCACGACACCAGGAUCAUCUACACCGAAAGCUAGCCUGCACCGAUCACUAGUAGAAAAAGAGCCUUCCGUCCACCACCAUUAGUCGCGGAAGUAAAGGAACCGUGACUAAAGGGGUCUUUAGUCGCGGUUCAUGAGGCGAACCGCGACUAAAGACCUGGGCCCAGGGCCAGCUGCUAGAUGGGAGGGGUUUUAGUCGCGGUUGGCCUGGCCAACCGCGACUAAAGAUCCUCAGCCCUUUAGUCCCGGUUUUAGCCUCCAACCGGGACUAAAGGCCCCCCCCUUUAGUCCCGGUUUUAGCCUCCAACCGGGACUAAAGGUUUUUUCUGAAAUUUUCAACCUCUACCCCCCCCCCCCCGUGGAUCGCCUUUUCAGUUUUAGAAAAAAUAGUAGAAAAUGAUAAAAACUUCAAAAAAUAAAAUCCUUCGAGAUGUAGUUAUGUUACUAUAUUUACUAGUUGGAAAAAUUGAAAAACAUAAAUUUUGACAUGUUUUGUAAAAAAUUGUCAUGAAAAAGUAAAACGGGUAGAACUUUUGCAUACGAUGUCGAAAAAAAACGUAUAAUAUAUCAAAAUUUUCAGAACGAGAAGACGGUUCCGAUUUCAACGGCCGAAGGCCGUAUUGACAACUUUUAGAAUCCUAAACUGCCAAAAGGAAAAAAAGUUAUCCUCAAAUUAAGUUUUUAAAUUUCAAAUUUUUUUAAAUUUCAAAUUUUAAAUUUUUAAAUUUUAAUUUUUUUUAUUUUGCCCUCAUUGUAAUUUUGACAUUUCUGAAGUUUUUUAAUUUUUUUUUAGUUUUUAAUUGUUUUUGAUUUUUUUUUGAAUUUUUGGUCAAAUAGUGGUCAAACUAUGGUCAAACUGUGGUCAAACAGUUAAACAAACUAUUUAUUUAAUAAAGAUUAUUGUUAGUAAAUAAUUAUUGUUUUUUAAAUAAUAGUUUCAAACUCAAAUGAUGAAAUGUGUGACAUCAUGCUCAAGGGCUUAUUAGGAUUGAUAUGAUACAUAUAUCAGUAAGUUAUCGCGAGCUACUCGGAACUGCAGUCGAAUGGAACUAAGAAGUUAAGCGUGCUGGGGUUGGAGCAAUCUAGGAUGGGUGACCGACCGGGUUGCCAAAUUAAGCGUGCUUAGUACCAGCGUGCUAGUCUCUAAUUAAGGUGGUGUAGAAUUGAAUAAUUCGGACAAAAUGAAAAAGAUUGAAAUAAAAAACAGAAAAUAAAAAAAAAAUAACUGGGAUAAACAGAAAAUCUGCGGAGGCCUUUUGUCGCGGUUGGCCAGACGAACCGCGACUAAAGGUCCUCCGCCCCGACGGUCGGCUGGCGCCCACGUGGACGGGCCUUUNNNNNNNNNNNNNNNNNNNNNNNNNNNNNNNNNNNNNNNNNNNNNNNNNNNGGCCUUUUGUCGCGGUUGGCCAGACGAACCGCGACUAAAGGUCCUCCGCCCCGACGGUCGGCUGGCGCCCACGUGGACGGGCCUUUUGUCGCGGUUGGCCAGACGAACCGCGACUAAAGGUCCUCCGCCCCGACGGUCGGCUGGCGCCCACGUGGACGGGCCUUUAGUCGCGGUUCUUAAGCAGCCGCGACUAAAGGUGGGGGGCUUUAGUCGCGCUUGUUUGGUCGCGGUUGCGCAACCGCGACUAAUGGCAGUUGCGAACCGCGACCAAAGGCCUUUUUUCCACCAGUGGAUGACAUCUCCUAUGCAUCGCCUCAACGACUACAGUCUACAGUCUCCGACAGCAAGCCAUCAACACGCAGGCUACACAAGCAGCGUCUACUCCGGACUUGCGUCAUGACUUCAUCGACUACACACUGCCCCGCGUCACGACUUCAUCGACUACACGCUGCCUCGCCACGUCCACGUCAUUAGGGUACUAGCAAUAUAUCUCACGCAGGCUCCACGACACCAGGAUCAUCUACACCAAAAGCUAACAUGCACCGAUGACAUCUCCUCUACAUCGUCUGAACGACUAGAGACUCCGACAGCAAGCCAUCAACACUUCGACGUGGCAUGGUUCGUCUUGAGGGUACGAAUCAUCGUUGCACGCCGCUGCAACGUCUUCGUUGACACAUCACCGCCAAGGUCUAGAUGAGUAUGAUCAGUGGCGAACCUAGGAAAUAUGGCACGUCCCAGGCCGUUUCAGGUCACCUUCGAACACUGUAGCUACAACAAACGAUGAAAACGACAACCGCUCGGACUGCAUGGAGCCUAAAUCCGCCUCUGAGUAUGGUCACCAUCAACAACCUCAUCAACACAUUAUCACCGCCUCUACAAAUUCGUCCACAUGGAUGAACAAGCUUUCUCUGACAGUAAUACUGCAAGACGCGUACAACACCGACAAAGGUAUUAACUGCAUUCGACGGCUACGACUGCAACGACACACUGGCGCCAGUUUCUUGAAAAGCCACUAUAACCACGCGCACGGUCAUCGCAAAAUCGUUGUGUGCUCGGUGGCCUACCUUCAGUCUUGCAACGACACUUGGGUCAGUUCAAUACAACGACACAACAACAGAUAUUCAACUAUCCUACAGUUUUCUACAAACGUCAUGGUCCAACCUCUUUUCCUUGUUUCCUCCCCUAACUGUUGGCUCCUUGGACAAACUCUCCCCUCCAGGCUUCACCGACGAGCCUGUGGAUUCGCCAUCUCUCUGUUUGUCCCUCUGUCAGUUGGUGAGGGGAAGUGGAAUUCCCGUGCCUCCACUCGGUUUAUUGGUUCUUUUAGUCCUCGCAAGAGUAGCGUUUAGACAUAUGACGCUUCUUCUUCAAGUUCGUCUCUCAUACUACAAUUCUCCUCGAGUUGAUACACUCUUUGUAAAGAAAUAUAAGACCGUUUAUAGAACACAUAUGUGUACUAGUAGUUGCAGAGGGGUGAUGAGAUCCUAUUAUGCAGAACAUCCUACUUACAAUUCCCUCGCAAAAAAAACUACUUAGAAUUCUAUUACAAGUGAGACUUUGUACACAUGUACCCUAAUAAAAAAACUUUGUGCACAUGUCAAUCAUAUACUCCCUCCGUAAACUAAUAUAAGAGCAUUUAGAACACUAUUUUAGUAAUCUAAACACUCUUAUAUUAGUUAGUACAUUAUAAAACAAACCAUCGUGUACCCUCAAGGACUAAAAAUGCACUCCGAAGUGAUGGUUGUAGAGCACACAUGCAACACAGGAGAGGCAGGGACGUCGGUGCCAGCGAAUCACGGGCAUUGCCGGGGUGGCACGUGACGUGAGGAGCCUCUCUAAAACACCAAACCCGUCGCACGACAUAUCGUGCCGGCCUGCCCGCGCGGCGGCGACGCGCCCGCCAUGGAGACGGCGAGCCCGAGGUCACAUAUCUUCACAACGCCCCCGCUCGCUGCCAACGAGAAUAUUUUCGGGCUUGAUGUCCCGAUGGACCAUGCCGCGCUCGUGCAAGCCGACGACGGAGGGGGUGGCCGCUGCACGCCGCGAGGUAGAACGCCUCAUGCAGCAGGUCGCGGUGGAGCACGAGGGCGCGACGCCUCCUCUUGCCGCUGCCGUUGCCGGCACAUAUGGGUGGGCGCGUUGGACACGCUGUCGACCCAUAUCUAAAACAAGAGAGACGCCGGUUGGGCGUCCGACCCAAACGGACAAAAAGCGGACGGAACCGCUGUCUGUUUGGAUCGGCCCGUUGGAGUUGCUCUUAGUGAUUCUUAGGGUAAACUUAGUCAAUAAAUAGUUUAAGGAAAAUUCUUAAAUUCAUCCGUUUGAUUUCGGUAGAAAAUCAUCCGCGUCAUGUGCGUGCCACGCAUCCACACAUGUUAUGUUAUUGCUUGGUCAACUGUACAACCCGCACACCACAUCUUUGGCUGGUCCCACACAUCGCAUAGCAUCUGCCUUAGGCCCUUCACUAUGUAGACCAAAAACGGUGCCAAAUUUGCAUGUUAGACAUUUGGCAUCGGUGUCCUACGUUGUUCAGCCGGUGUCAAACAAAAAACUCUGGGCAUCGAUGCAUCUACUUGCUCCGAUGCCAUAUUUCUGAAGCCAAUAAACUAAGUGAGUCACUGUCCUUUGUCAUGCGAAGCAACAGCCCAAGACGCUGGUCCUUGGAUAAGUUGGGUUCGCAUAUUACUAGUUUAUAUGCUCGUGGGUCCGAGCUGGACGAUGCCAAAUCGACUACUCCCUCCGUUCCUAAAUAUAAUUCUUUUAAGAGAUUUCGCUAGGAGUCUACAUACGGAGUAAAAUGAGUGAAUCUACAUUCUAAAAUAUGUCUAUAUACAUACGUAUGUAGUUUACUAGUGGAAUCUCUAGAAGACUUAUAUUUAGGAACGGAGGGAGUAUGUUGUGUGAUCGUUGCUAAAUAAAGUUCGACUGCAAUAUCUGCGUACGUAGCUUGCUUUGCAGAAAUGUGGCAUCGAGCACAUAGUGGAGGGCCUUAUCCCCCAAGCAGGAACCAACAGCCACACAUUUUCCUUGCCACAUCAUCGUCUUCCCGUUCCUCUAGAUCGAGGCCAGCACCGGACACCGCUGCCGCAAGCUCUGCCACCCUUCGCUGUUGCUCCUGCCCGCUGCCGCAGAGAGCAAUGAAAACAGACACUGCUCGUCGCUUUUUUUUAUUGUAGGAGCGCUGCAACAGGUUCGCACGGCUAGCUCUACAAUGGGGAGCGCCCACAACUACUCGUCGACGCUGCAAUGGAGUGGGACAUUGUUGCAGGUGACACGCCAAGUACGGCGGUGCUGCAAUGGAGAGGGCGCUGCUUUCGAUGGUGCGUCCACGGUGCUGCAAUGGUGCGGGUGUUGUCGUCGUCGGCGCGACAAGCCGAGAGCGACAGUGUUGCUGUCGGCGGCAUUGUGAUGGAACGGGCGACGAUGCUGCUGCCAUCGGGUCACUGGUGCUGCAAUGGAGCGGGCGCGCAUGGUGGUGCACGCGCGGCGACGGAGCUUCAAUGCAUCGCUGGUGUUGCUAUAGAGCAUCGUCUCGGUGUUGCUAUGGAGCAUUCUCGGGCCGUCGGAGCAUCAUUGAUGCUGUAAUGGAGCAUCCCGAAGAGUUGCCGGUGUUGUGCUGGAGCGUUGCCUGGUCACCGUAGCAUCAUCGAUGCUUCAUGGGAUUGUGAAAAGCAAUAGGUCAAGCGUAUGCAUAUCGCAGGGACGCGCCCGUGUUAUAUGAGGCACCAACGACAGGAUUUACAAGAGGUUACAAGAGUUAGUUAGGCUUAGGAUUGAUCUCCAAGGAAACUAGUUUAACUGGGAUCUUAUCUCUAAGCCUAACGUGUUACACAAGAAACUACGGUUUAUACAUCACCGUAAUAAUACAAUGUUUAACACUCCCCCUCAAUCACAACUAUCCAAGUUGAGAUUGCAUCGAAAUGCCUCUAGAUGUCUAGACUUUUGUCAGCUUGAGGAGCAUGGAGAAUAUUGUUUAGAUCUAGAGAACCACGGGGAGUAGAUAAAACGGAGUGACCAAUAUGAGCAAUGUUCAUACCUUGACCACUUGAAGUGUGGAUUUGAUCCGUUCCGGUGUAGCGAUCUCGAACAGCUAUUUCUCAAGCUCACCGGUGACAUGGUCUAUCGCGUCGGUGUCAAGAUACUAGUUGGUAUCCACGCCAUAAGACUGGGCAGCGUUGGCAGAUCUAUUUCCAGUCUCUGGUCGCGAUGAUCCUUGCUACUUCUCAAACAAGAGUGCCAGAAAUUGACACGUUGAUGGAGACUGGGCUUGCGUUGGUUUUUACCUUGAAGAGGAAAGGGUGAUGCAGCACAGGAGCAAUAAGUAUUUCCCUCAGUUUGAGACCAAGGUAUCGAUCCAGAAGGAGGGUCUCGUGAAGUCCAGAGUACCUGCGCAAACACAAACAAGCUUGCACCCAACGCUUCAAAGGGGUUGUCAAUCCCUUCAAGAUUGUUUGCAAAGUGAGAUCUGAAGGCGGAAAGUGAACGAAGUAAAAAGUGUAUGGUUGAAAAUAUGGUGUGGAGUAGACCCUGGGGGCCAUAGUGUUCACUAGAGGCUUCUCUCAAAAUAGCAAAUAUCACGGUGGGUGAACAAAUUACUGUCGAGCAAUUGAUAGAACGCGCAAAGUCAUGACGAUAUCUAAGGAAAUGAUCAUACAUAUAGGCAUCACGUCCGAGACAAUUAGACUGAUACUUUCUGCAUCUACUACUAUUACUCCACACAUCGACCGCUAUCCAGCAUGCAUCUAGUGUAUUGAGUUCAUGACGAACAGAGUAACGCCUUAAGCAAGAUGACAUGAUGUAGAGGGAUAAUCUCAAACAAAUGAUGAAAACACCAUCUUUUUACCCUUGAUGGCAACAACACGAUGCGUGCCUCGCUACCCCUUCUAUCACUGGGUGAGGUCACCGCACGGUAUGAACCCAAAACCAAGCACUUCUCCCAUUGCAAGAAUCAUAGAUCUAGUUGGCCAGACAAAACCCACAACUCGAAGAGAAUUUACAAGGAUAUGAAAUCAUGCAUAAGAGAGAUCAGAAGAAACUCAAAUAAGAUUCAUAGAUAAUCUGAUCAUAAAUCCACAAUUCAUCGGAUCUCGACAAACACACCGCAAAAGAAGAUUACAUGGGGUAGAUCUUCAUGAAGAUCAUGGAGAACUUUGUAUUGAAGAUCCAAGAGAGAGAAGAAGCCAUCUAGUUACUAGCUCUGGACCCGUAGGUCUAUGGUGAACUACUCACGCAUCAUCGGAGAGGUCAUGGUGUUGAUGAAGAAGCCCUCCGUGUCCGAAUCCCCCCUCCUGCAGGGCACCAGAAUGUGCCCAAGAUGGGAUCUUGCGGAGACAGAAGCUUGCGGCGGCGGAAAAGUGAUUUCCAUGAUCUCCUGAUUUUUUGGGAUUUUUAGGGAAUAUAUAGGCGCAACCCCUAGGAUAGAGGGUGCCCAGGGGGCCCACAAGCCUUUGGGCCGCGGCCUACCCCCUGACAGCGGGGUGGGGGCUUGUGGGGCCCUUGAGGCUUGGCUCUCAAGAUUCCGGAUCUUCUUGACAGGGGUUUGGACUCCGUUUCAAAAUCUCCUCUGAAAGGGGUCAAAAACAUGGAAAAACUGGAACUGGCACUUGGCACUAAUUCAAUAAGUUAGUCCCAAAAAAUAUAUAAAAGGCAUGCCAAACAUACAAAGUUUGAUAAGAUAAUAGCAUGAAACCAUAAAAAAUUAUAGAUACGUUGGAGACGUAUCAAGCGUCCCCAAGCUUAACUCCUGCUCGUCCUCGAGUAGGGAAGUGAUAAAGAAUGAUUUUUUGAUGUGGAAUUCUACCUAGCAUAGUUGUCCUUUGCAACUUUUUUCACGUGACAUGAAUGUUCAGAUCCGUAAGAUUCAAAACAAUAGUUUGCUAUUGACAUGAAAACAAUAAUACUCCAAGCAAGCUAGCAAGGUAAUCAUGAACUUUCAAAAUAACAAGGCCAAGGAAAGUUAUCCCUACAAAAUCAUAUAGUCUCGCUAUGCUACAUAAUCCUCACACAACUAAUGUAAAUCAUGCACAACCCCGCUAUUGGCCAAGUAAUUGUUUUCGCACUAUUACUUUCUCAAACUUUUUAUAACUAUCACGCAAUACAUGAGCGUGAGCCAUGGAUAUAGCACUAUAGGUGGAAUAGAGUGUGGUGGUGGUUGUGAGAGAAAAAGGAGGAGAUGGUCACAUUGACUCGGCGUAUCAAAGGUCUAUGGAGAUGCCCAUUAAUAGAUAUCAAUGUGAAUGAGUAGGGAUUGCCAUACAAGGGAUGCACUAGAGUUAUAAGUAUGUGAAAGCUCAAAAGGAAAACUAGUGGGUGUGCAUCCAACUUGCUUGCUCACGAAGACCUAGGGCAAUUUUGUGGAAGCCCAUCAUUGGAAUAUACAAGCCAAGUUAUAUAAUGAAGAUUCCCUUCUCUCUUUGUCUCUCUUUUUUUUCAUUGGGCUCUUAGGCCUCUUUUUUUCUUUCUUUUUUUCUCUUUUUUUGUGCUCUUUGGACUCUCUUUUUUAUUUCCUCACAUGGGACAAUGCUCUAAUAAUGAUGAUCAUCACACUUUUAUUUACUCAUAGCUCAAAAUGAUGAUGACUCUAUAGGAAAUGCCUCCGGUAGUGUACCGUGAUGUGCAACGAUCUAGCAUGGUGUAUGACAUUGAAAACAUCGCGCUAGAUAUCUUACGAUCAUUCAACGGCAAUAUGAGAGUGACGGCACAAGUCAUGAGACGGAACGGUGGGAGUUGCAUGGCAAUAUAUCUCGGAAUGGCUUUGAAAAUGCCAUAGUAGGUAGGUAUGGUGGUUGUUUUGAGGAAGGCAUAUGGUGGGUUUGUGUACCGGCGAGAACUGCGCGGAACUAGAGAGGCUAGCAAUGGUGGAAGGUGAAAGUGCAUUUAUACGAUGGACUCGCAUUAGUCAUGAAGAACUCACAUACUUAUUGCGAAAGUUUUUAUUAGUAAUCGAAACAAAGUGCUAAACGCAUACUCCUAGGGGAAGGGUUGGUAGGUGUAAACCAUCGCGCGAUCCCGACCUCAACACAAAGGAUGACAAUCAAUAGAUCAAUUAUGCUCCGACUUCCUAACAUAGCGGUUCACCAUACGUGCAUGCUACGGGAAUCACUAACUUUAACACAAGUAUCUCUAGAUUCACAAUACCCUACUAACAUAGCUCUCAAUAUUACUGAAUCCACGUCUCAAAACUAAUUGAGAGGAAUCAAAACUUCUCUUUCUACUCAAUGCACAUGAAGAUGGAGGUUUUUGCAUCCUCUUUGGGUACCUAUCACAGUUGGGACUACUUUCAUAGUAUAAGCCAACUAUCAAGUCACGCACCGUCGUCCUCUAAAAGAUAUAAGUGAAGCACUAUGAGCAUUCUAGCAAAAUCAUGAUGAGUGCAUGUCUCUCUCUCUCAAAAAGGUGUGCAGCAAGGAUGAUUGUGACACAACAAAAAGAAAAUACACCAACGAUACAAGACGCUUCAAGCAAAACACAUAUAAUGUGGUGAAUAAAAAUAUAGCUCCAAGUAAUGUUACCGAUGGAUUGAAGACGAAAGAGGGGAUGCCUUCCCGGGGCAUCCCCAAGCUUAGGGUUUUUGGUGUCCUUGAAUUUGGCUUGGGAUGCCUUGGGCAUCCCCAAGAUUGAGCUCCUUCCACUCCUUAUCUCUUUGUCCAUAAGAACAUCACCCAAAACUUGAAAACUUCACAACACAAAACUUAAACAGAAACUCGUGAUAACAUUAGCACAAGAAAACAAACUACCACUUCUUUUGGUACUGUAGCUAACUUUAAUUCCAUCUACAUUGGUGUUGGUCUACUGUAUUCUCACUUUUCCAUGGCUACCCCCCCCCCCCCCGAUACUAACCAUAGUUUCAUCAAAACAAGCAACCAACUCAACAAAAACAAAAUCUGUCAAAAACAGACCAGUGUGUAGCAAUCUGUAUACUUCGUAUACUUCUGGUACCUCAAAAAAUCUGAAACAUUUCGAAGGCCUGGGAAAAAAGUAUAUCAACCAGAAGCAAAAAAGAAAGCAUUUUCUGAAUAAAAAUGAAAAAUCAUCUCGUGAGCGCAAAGUUUUUUUCUUUUUCCAGCAGGAUCAAACAACCAUUACCAAGACUAGUCAUAAAGGUUUUGCUUGGCUCAAACACAAAAGGAAACACAAAAAACACAAUCACAACAGAAUUGUGAUGGUGUGGACGCAACAAAACAGAAAGAAAAAGAUAAAUUCAUUGGGUUGCCUCCCAACAAGCGCUACUGUUUAACGCCCUUAGCUAGGCAUAAAAGUGAUAAAAUCACGUAUCGUCGUCUUUGGUGCUCAAACCAUAAGUGGCCCUCAUCAUGGAUUCAUAAGGCAAUCUUAUUUUCUUUCUAGGAAAGUGUUCCAUGCCCGUCCUGAAAGGAAAUUGAAAUCUAAUAUUCCCUUCCUUCAUAUCGAUGAUAGCACCGAUAGUCCUUAGGAAAGGUCUACCAAGAAUAAUAGGGCAUGUAGGAUUGCAAUCAAUUUCAAGCACAAUGAAAUCCAUGGGUACAUAGUUCCUAUUUACAAUAAUAAGAACAUCAUUGAUCCUUCCCAUGGGUUUCUUCACACUAGAAUCAGCAAGAUGCAAAUUAAGAGAACACUCUUCAAUCUCAUUAAAACACAGAACAUCACAUAAAGACUUCGAAAUCGCAGAAAUACUAGCACCCAAAUCACAUAAAGCAUUGCAUUCAUAAUUUUUGAUUUUGAUUUUGAUGGCAGGUUCCCACUCAUCAUGAAGCUUUCUAGGGAUAGAGACUUCCAAUUCAAGUUUCUCUUCAAGAGAUUUUAUCAUAGCUUCGAUGAUAUGAUCGGUAAAGGCCUUGUUUUGGCUAUAAGCGUGUGGAGAGUUUAACAUGGAUUGCAUCAAAGAAAUGCAUUCAAUAAAGGAGAAACUGUCAUAAUUAAAUUCCUUGAAAUCCACGGUAGUAAUUUCAUUACUGCUCAAGGUUUUAGCAUCUUCUACUCCACUUUCAAUGCUUUUAGCAUCAAGAUAGAUGGACUUUGAAUCAUUGUGGCACUUUUCAACCAAAGUGGAUUCACAUCCAGCCCCAUAAUCAUUAGGUUUGACACAAGAAAACAAAGAUUCAAUGGGAGUCACACCAAGCACUUUAAGAUCUUCGUGAUUCUCAUCACGAGAACACGCCUUUUUAAGCCAUUUAUGUCUAGCACGAAUUUUGGCGGUUCUUUCUUGGCUCUCAAUCAUGGAAACACGCAUAGCUUUCAAAGUUUCCUCCAUGUUGAUUUUGGGAGGAGCACAUCUAUCUUUCAAAGCAUCAAUAUCACUAGACAUUCUAUCAACGCUCUUAGCCAAAUCGUCAAUUUUGAGUAGCUUUUCCUCUAUGGACGCAUUUAAAAUCUUUUGAGAGUUGAUGAACUCUUUUAUAUUACUCUCUAGAUCAGAGGGUAAUCUAUUGUAAUUUCCAUGGGUAUUGUUGUAGGAGUUGCCAAAGUUAUUAGAGGAGUUACCAGGAAAAGGCCUAGGAACAUAGUUUCCUCUAAAAGCAUUGUUGUUGCCAAAGUUAUUCCUACCAACAAAAUUAAGGUCCAAGCUAGCGUUGCUACUCUCAAUCAAAGAAGACAAAGGCAUAUUAUUAGGAUCCAAAGGAGCACUUCUACUAGCAACCAAAUUCAUUAACUCGUCCAUCUUAGCACUCAACGGGUUAAUUUCCUCUAUAGCGUAUACCUCUUACUAGUAGGUGACCUUUCAGUGUGCCACUGAGAGUAGUUCGUCAUGAUGUUGUCUAAGAGAUUUGUGGCUUCUCCUAACGUGAUUUCCAUGAACGUUCCACCUAAGGCGGAGUCCAAGAUAUUUCUAGAAGCGAAAUUCAAGCCAGCGUAAAAGAUUUGUAUAAUCAUCCAAAGACUCGAGCCAUGAGCGGGACUAGGCGUGGGCAUUCGGUCUAACCGGACCGAUCGGUUCGGUUUUGCAGGUCACAAACAUUUUCGGUUCCUUAAAAAGUGCAGACCGACCGGAUCCUGCACAUUUUGGUAACCGAUUAUUUUCAGAACCGAAAAAUCGGUUAUGUCUUCGGUUUUGACCGAACAAACCCAACGUACACCCCCAAGAAUACAUUAUCUUUCUUAGCCUGCUUCGUCGCAUGUUUCGGUACAAGCAAACGAUGUGAGUAGCCACCUGCUACUACCAUUUUAUAGUCUUCCCAACGCGCCCAUUCUCAAUGGUUGUCCGAGGUGGUACUAAUCUACAAACUGUUAUAGUGCAGCUGACAUAUUAUGUAUGGCCCGAUUACUACACAAUACUUGGGCCAUCCCAAACAAGUACAUUUGUACGUUGAUGGGAGAGAGACUUAGAGGUUGCUGCGUUCCUGCAUCUCUCUAGAUGGGCCAGCUGGCCCACCUGUUCUAGUGCGUUGACAAGAAUUAGAGGGGAAGCGAGGCUUGUACUGUAGUUUUGGGUUAUUCGGUUUUUUCGGUUUAACAUGUGAUAAAACCAAAAUUACCAAAUAAAUUUCGGGUUUACAGAUUUGAUAACCGAAAUAGGAACCAAAAUUUUCGGUUUUGGUCCAUUCGGUCUUGGUCCCGGUUCUUUCGGUUCGGUAUAUCGGUUCUCGGUUUAUAUGCCCACCCCUAAGUGGGACAAUUUCUAACCAUUAAUUUCAUUCUCUCCCAAGCUUGCGCAACAUGUUCAUGAUCAAGUUGCUUGAAAUUCAUGAUAUCAUUACGGAGAGAGAUGAUCUUAGUCGGCGGAAAGUACUUGGAUAUAUAAGCAUCUUUGCACUUAUCCCAAGAAUCGAUACUAUAUUUGGGGAAAGAAGAAAACCAAGUUUUCGUGCGAUCUCGCAAUGAGAAAGGAAAAAGCUUCAAUUUAAUCACAUCAUUAUCCACAUAUUUCUUCUUUUGCAUAUCGCAAAGCUCAAUGAAGGUAUUGAGAUGGGAUGCGGCAUCUUCACUAGGAAGGCCAAAGAAUUGCUCUUUCAUAACAAGAUUCAGCAAAGCGGCAUUGAUUUCGUAUGACUCCGCACUAGUGCCGGGAGCAACCGCAGUACUAAUAAAAUCAUUAUUAUUAGUAUUCAUAAGUCACAAAGUUUGGUGUUUUCAUUCAUGGUGACUUCAGCAAGCGAGCAGGCACACAAGCAAACAAAGAGCAGGCGAGAAAAAGGGCGAACGAAAAGGCGAACGAAAAAGGAAAACUAAAAAGGCAAAUUGGUGAAGUGGGGGAGAGGAAAAUGAGAGGCAACUGGCAAACAAAGUAAAUGCAAGAGAUGAGUUUGCGACACCUACUUGGAUGAGUUCUUGACUUGAUCUUCCUCCCCGGCAACAGCGCCAGAAAUUCUUCUGCUACUUCUCAAACAACAGUGCCAGAAAUUGACACGUUGGCGAAGACUGGGCUUGCGUUGGUUUUUCCCUUGAAGAGGAAAGGGUGAUGCACCACAGGAGCAGUAAGUAUUUCCCUCAGUUUGAGAACCAAGGUAUCGAUCCAGAAGGAGGGUCUCGUGAAGUCCAGAGUACCUGUGCAAACACAAACAAGCUUGCACCCAACGCUUCAAAGGGGUUGUCAAUCCCUUCAAGAUUGUUUGCAAAGUGAGAUCUGAAGGUGGAAAGUGUAACGAAGUAAAAAGUGUAAGGCUGAAAAUAUGGUGUGGAGUAGACCCUGGGGGCCAUAGUGUUCACUAGAGGCUUCUCUCAAAAUAGCUAAUAUCACGGUGGGUGAACAAAUUACUGUCGAGCAAUUGAUAGAACCGUGCAAAGUCAUGACGAUAUCUAAGGCAAUGAUCAUACAUAUAGGCAUCACGUCCGAGACAAGUAGACCGAUACUUUCUGCAUCUACUACUAUUACUCCACACAUCGACCGCUAUCCAACAUGCAUCUAGUGUAUUGAGUUCAUGACGAACAGAGUAACGCCUUAAGCAAGAUGACAUGAUGUAGAGGGAUAAUCUCAAACCAAUGAUGAAAACCCCAUCUUUUUACCCUUGGUGGCAACAACAUGAUGCGUGCCUCGCUACCCCUUUUGUCACUGGGUGAGGUCACCACACGGUAUGAACCCAAAACCAAACACUUCUCCCAUUGCAAGAAUCAUAGAUCUAGUUGGCCAGACAAAACCCACAACUCGAAGAGAAUUACAAGGAUAUGAAAUCAUGCAUAAGAGAGAUCAGAAGAAACUCAAAUAAGAUUCAUAGAUAAUCUGAUCAUAAAUCCACAAUUCAUCGGAUCUCGAUAAACACACCGCAAAAGAAGAUUACAUCGGAUAGAUCUCCAUGAAGAUCAUGGAGAACUUUGUAUUGAAGAUCCAAGAGAGAGAAGAAGCCAUCUAGUUACUAGCUACGGACCCGUAGGUCUAUGGUGAACUACUCACGCAUCAUCGGAGAGGUCAUGGUGUUGAUGAAGAAGCCCUCCGUGUUCGAAUCCCCCUCCGACAGGGCACCAGAACGUGCCCAGAUGGGAUCUUGCGGAGACAGAAGCUUGCGGCGGCGGAAAAGUGAUUUCGAUGAUCUCCUGAUUUUUUUGGGAUUUUUAGGGAAUAUAUAGGCGCAACCCCUAGGGCAAAGGGCGCCCAGGGGGCCCACAAGCCUGUGGGCCGUGGGGUGGGGGGCUUGUGGGGCCCCUGAGGCUCCCCUGCCUUGGCUCUCAAGUCUCCCGAUCUUCUUCCGGCACGGAAAAAAUCUAUUCGGGGAUUUUCUUCCGUUUGGACUCCGUUUCAAAAUCUCCUCUGAAAGGGGUCAAAAACAUGGAAAAAACAGCAACUGGCACUUGGCACUAAGUCAAUAAGUUAGUCCCAAAAAUAUAUAUAUAGGGCAUGCAAAACAUCCAAAGUUUGACAAGAUAAUAGCAUGAAACCAUCAAAAAUUAUAGAUACGUUGGAGAGGUAUCAAUCCUCCUCAUCGACAAGCACUUGGUGUGAUCAAACCUUCUACUUCAAGAUGGCAUAAGCGUCUAGGUCAUCCGGCUUUACCGGUUGUCCAGAAAAUUAUUAGAGAUUUUUGUCUUCUCGUGUCCAAGAAAAAGGAUCACUUGUUAGUUUGUGAUUCAUGUCAAAUGGCCAAGAGCCAUCAACUCCCUUAUUCUCGUUCCACUAGUGAGUCUAAAGCUCCUUUAGAGCUCGUUUUUUCCAAUGUGCGGGGGCCUGGACCCCUUUAUGUAGGCAAGCAAAAAUACUAUGUUAGCUUCAUUGAUGAUUUCAGCAAGUUUAGUUGGAUUUAUUUACUCAAGCAUAAAUCUGAUGUGUUUGCCAAGUUUCAUCUUUUCCAACAACACAAUGAGCGUCUCUUUGAUCAGAAAAUUCUUGCCAUGCAAACGGAUUGGGGUGGUGAAUAUCAAAAACUCAAUGUAUUUUUUGAACGUAUUGGCAUCACGCACCAUGUCUCCUGCCCCCAUGCUCACCAACAAAACGGAUCUGCUGAGAGGAAACACCGACACAUUGUAGAAGUUGGGUUAUCUCUCCUUGCUCAUGCUUUUAUGCCACUAAUAUUUUGGGAUGAAGCGUUUCUUACUGCCGUCUACCUCAUUAACUGUACUCCUAGUAGAGUCAUCAACAACCAGUCCCCUCUUGAGCGUCUCUUUCACACCAAACCCAACUACACCUUCCUACGUAUUUUUGGGUGUGUUGUUUGGCCCAACUUACGCCCCUUCAAUAAACACAAGCUUGAGUUUCGCUCUAAACAAUGUGUCUUCCUAGGGUAUAGCACUAUGCACAAAGGGUAUACGUGUCUCGACAUUGCUUCUGGUCGUGUCUACAUAUCCCGGGACGUAGUGUUUGAUGAGCAAGUCUUUCCAUUUGCUACACUUCACCCUAAUGCUUGUGCACAACUUCGCAAAGAGCUUGUCUUACUACCAUUCCACCUUCUCCCAUCCCCACAAUUCCUGGCUAGGGGGGUAGAUACUGCUGAUGACUGUAUGACAAUGUCUCAUAACACUAACCCUGAUGAUCCAUCAGCCGCUAGUGUGCAGGAAAAUUUUGUAGAAAAUAGCGAAACAGUGCAUGAUUUUAUGUCAGCAGCAGAUUUAGGUGCUUCCACACAAGAUCCGGCCUCGGAAUCAGCUCCAGAUCCGGGUCAGAUCGCGCUGGGAUCCGCUGCAGUCUCGGGGUCCGCAACUCCUAGCGCGGACGCUGACAGCGUAUCUUCGCCGGGGCCAGGCGGGUCCAGCCGUGGUCGGGGGACGGCACCCGAGGUGCCUGGUCGGCCGAACGCGGCGCGUGGCUCGACGGUUCCUGUGUCGUCUUUCGGGCCAGACUCUGCGGCGCGUGGCUCGGCGGUUCCCGCCUNNNNNNNNNNNNNNNNNNNNNNNNNNNNNNNNNNNNNNNNNNNNNNNNNNNNNNNNNNNNNNNNNNNNNNNNNNNNNNNNNNNNNNNNNNNNNNNNNNNNNNNNNNNNNNNNNNNNNNNNNGGCGGUUCCCGCCUCGCCUCUCGUGUCACCUCCUGCGACGCGGGCCAGCACUUCGGCGCCUUCUGCAUGCGCUCGUCUGGAUUGGUCGUUGCCUGCCGCACAAACCAACACGGCUGGCGGGCCGUCGGGUGUGCAUGCAGCCGACGGCCAUGUAGAUCACGGUGAUCUACGUCCGCUACAAGACUCGCCCAAUGCAUCUCCUGUUUCUGCUACAGCACCUCGUCUCCAACAACAGCUUGAUCGCCCUGCUUCCCCUCCGCCUGCUCGAGCUCACACACGUACACAAGGGAGGUAUUAUCAAACCCAAAGUAUGUACUGAUGGUUGUGUACGCUGGGGUUCGUUCUGUUCCACAGGUGAACCACAAAACCUUGCUGAAGCUCUUGGUGACACUCGGUGGAAAGCUGCCAUGGACGAGGAAUAUGCUGCCCUUAUCAAGAAUAAGACGUGGUGUCUUGUUCCUCCUGCCGCAGGCAGAAAUAUUAUUGACUGUAAGUGGGUCUAUAAAGUUAAAAGAAAAUCUGAUGGCACUAUUGAUAGGUAUAAGGCACGUCUGGUUGCUAAGGGUUUUAAGCAGCGCUAUGGAUUGGAUUAUGAGGACACGUUUAUUCAUGUUGUCAAGACUGCCACUAUCAGGUUAAUUCUCUCAGUGGUUGUGUCUCGUAACUGGUGCAUGCGACAGCUAGAUGUGAAGAAUGUGUUCUUGCAUGGCAUUCUGGAAGAGGAAGUAUUUAUGAGGCAACCUCGAGGGUAUGAGCAUCCCCGCUCACCAUGUUAUGUUUGCAAACUUGAUAAAGCAUUGUAUGGACUGAAACAUGCACCUAGAGCUUGGUAUUCUCAUUUGUCCUUCAAAUUACAAUCUCUAGGGUUUGUUCCAUCCAAGGGGGAUACAUCACUCUUCUUUUAUCAUAAGCAUGGGGUAACUAUUUUUAUGCUUAUCUAUGUUGAUGAUAUAGUUGUCACUAGCUCAUCACCCCAAGCAGUUGAAGCUCUUCUUAAGGAUUUGAGAAAAGAUUUUGCUCUUAAAGAUCUAGGUAACCUUCACUUCAUUCUUGGUAUUGAAGUUAAAAAGGUACCCAGUGGGAUCAUGUUGUCACAAGAAAAAUAUCUGCAAGAAAUACUCCAGAGAAUAGGUAUGAAAGGAUGCAAACCCUCUUCUACACCCUUAUCUACAUCUAAGAAAUUAUCUGUCCAUGAUGGGGAAGUACUUGGAGCAGAAGACUCCACCGGAUAUAGGAGUAUUCUAGGAGCAUUGCGGCAUUUGACAUUAACUAGACCAGAUAUUUUUUAUUCAGUAAAUAAGGUAUGUCAGUUCUUGCAUGCUCCUACUACUACACAUUGGACUUCAGUAAAGAGGAUACUUAGGUAUCUGCAAGGGACAAGGAGUCAUGGACUCAAGAUUAGCAAGUCAGAUUCAAUGCUUGUAAGUGCUUUUUCAGAUGCAGAUUGGGCAGGGUGUCCAGAUGACAGAAGGUCUACAGGAGGCUUUGCAGUAUUUCCUGGAGGUAAUCUAGUAUCAUGGAGUGCUCGUAAACAACCCACGGUAUCUAGAUCAAGCACCGAAGCAGAGUAUAAGGCCCUAGCCAAUGCCACUUCUGAAAUUAUUUGGGUUCAGAACAUGUUGACUGAACUUGGGAUACAACAUCCAAAGGCAGCUUCCCUUUGGUGUGAUAAUCUUGGUGCUACAUAUUUAGCUGCUAAUCCAAUUUUUCAUGUCAGGACUAAGCAUAUUGAGAUUGACUAUCAUUUUGUUCGGGAACGUGUUGCAGACAAGCUGUUGAAUAUCAGGUUUAUACCUACAGGUGAUCAAGUUGCUGAUGGUUUUACCAAACCACUUACUCUUAGACAGCUAGGGGCAUUUCGACGAUCUCCUUCUUGCCGGCGGCUUCUUUCUCCAGGAGAAGCUCGGCGUUGGGUUCCUUGUUUGAGCCAUCACGGAACCCCAUCAUACCGGCGGCACGGAUGUGCGGCAGGACUUGGGCUCUCCAUACAUAGAAGUUCUCCCUUGUUAGCUUCUCUGUGGUGGUAUGGCCGAGAGAAGCGAUGGAGGGAGAGGCCAUGGCGAUCGCAGAGGAGGAGGUGGACAUGGCGGCUAGAUGUGAUGGAAGAGACUAGCUCUGUAUACCAUGUGAAAAGCGAUAGGUCAAGCGUAUGCAUACCGCAGGGACGCGUCCAUGUUAUAUAAGGCACCAACGACAGGAUUUACAAGAGGUUAUAAGAGUUAGUUAGGCUUAGGAUUGAUCUCCAAAGAAACUAGUUUAACUGGGAUCUUAUCUCUAAGCCUAACGUGUUACACAAGAAACUACGGUUUAUACAUCACCGUAAUAAUACAAUGUUUAACAGGGAUGGUCGCAACGCUGCAGCCAUGGCCAUUGUGUGGCGAGCCUGUGAACGUUUUACUGUGAACUGAUCAGCGACGCUGCUGCUGCAUAAGCAUUGGUGGCAGUUGUAAUUGCUAGAAGACUGAACAUGUUAGGACGGAAUGAACGACGGUGUGAUCCUGACGUGGUCCAUCCGAUCAUGGGGCUGGCUAGGUGGAUGAUUUCUAGCAGCCGCCAUAGUUUAAGGGGUCAUUCUUAAAAUUGAUGUCAGCUCAUUUAGUUGCAAAGGGAGAUCAGGCAUUACACCAGCAAGUUCUGUCUGCAUUUGAAGCAUGCUUACAAGGUGUUCGCUGACAGUAAAUUACAUUGCAAACAAAUAAUCUAUACUUCUAUAUUUAUACUAAUUAGAGACUCCCUACAAAUUCCCACGUUAAUUAGAUUUUACGAGUCGUCAAUCUGGUGGGAACAAAUUAUUACGGUCUAGAUUGACCCUGAGGGAAAAAACUUAUGAUGGACCAAUGAGAAUAAAAUUGUAAAAAAUGUGACUUAUCUCUCUCCCAUAAUCCAAUCACUCACGUAUAAAAAAACUGACCUAUCUCUGGGUAAAAUAUCUCUCUCCCGUUAUCCAAUGUCACGUAUAGCUAAGAAACUCACCCACCUAAAACUUCUUACGUAUCUCUCUCUCCCAAGAACCAACUCUGUUAAUCUCUCACGUAACCCCAGAAAAAUCUAGCACGUAUCUCUCCCAAGCUCUCAUGUUCAACUCAAGUUCUCAUAGAAAAUGUCCCCAACCGAUGUGCAUUUGUUCUCUCCAUCUCCAUCCCUCAAACUUGCAUUAACCUCCCAUGCUGCCCCAUCAAAUAACGGCCGCUGCUACAGGAUAAUGCGACCACUAAUUCUUUCUUUUCUCUCUUGCAGAUUCAUGUUCAUUAUUUCUCUUGCAGAUCCAAGUUCGCCUCCAUCUCCACUUAUUCCUUCUUUUCUAUCUUGCAGAUCCAUUGCGUCAGCACGAAUUCAGUGUAAUAUCCUUGCAAUGAAGUAGAAGGCGUUGCAAUGAAGUAGAAGGCGUUAAGCACAUCUGGCUUUCAGAGACGAGGAGAUUAAUCCUGGUACUUCUGCCCUCUUGGUGGAAAUAGUAGAAACUACAAUAGUCAACAAAGGUAAGUUCUCAACACCCUCAUAGAUUUACUAUUAUAUCUUCUUAAUUUUUAUAAUUGUAUCUAUAGUUCUUCAUAGAUGAAUAUGGGGAUCAUGUAUUAUAGACAAGCAGAGAAGACCUCAUGGUUAUUUUUGAAUAUGCGAUUUAUUUAGCCAGCCAAUGUCUCUCAUUACUGAUUCUUUGUUGGGUCAAACCCGGUCCGGUGAUGAACGCCGAGUAGCCUCCGGCGACAUGAACGUCGGAUGAACCUCUCUCACGCAUAGAAACGCGAUACAUGUAGGUGCAAGAAGGAGAGGGACACAUUGGACACAAGAAUUUCCGGCAACACACGCUUGCGACGCACGAACGGCGUUUCUUUUCUUCGAGCUCGAACUCUGGCUCCGCACAUACCAGCGCUCUUUACAUCAAUACACAGGGUUGGAUCUUUAUACCCGGAGCGCACAUACAUAGCUAGCUCCUACGUCACGGCCACCACGCACGCACGUCAGCCACUAACUAGCUAACUACAACUGAUUCCUACAUGCAUGCCCACGUACUAAUAUCUCCAUCCCCUGAAAUAUCUCCAGGGUCAACAACAUGCGUCGGAGCAACCAACUCGCUGCAUGCAUCUAACAACGUGAUGUAUACUAGCCUACGUGCAUGACGCACACAUACACUAAUCACGACCAUGGACGCGGCCACGGACCGGCGGCUGGCUCGAUCAACACGUACAUGUCGGUCAUCGUGGUGGCGUGGCUUAUACCUAACAUUUUUCUGCUCAAUUUUCCAACUUUUCUAGGAGGUUGAUCGAGGCAACCAUGACCAUAACAACGUACGUUCAGUCGUUUUCGUUUAAAUAGGUUUUAGUCUAUCAAAUCAUUUGCAGAAACAUACCGUAUUAAGUUGGUACGUUGGCCACUAUAUUGAUGUAAUGUACUCCCUCCGAUCGUUUUUACUUCGCAUAUUAGAUUUGGAUCAAGUCAAACUUUACAAAGUUUGACCAAAUAUAUAUUGAAAAAUAUCAACAUCUACAAUACCAAAUAUACAUAUCAUGAAACUAGCUUUCGUAAUGAAUCUAACAAUAUUAAUUUGACAUUGUGAAUGUUGAUACAUGUUUCUAUAAAUUUGGUCAAAGUAGAGAUACUUUGACUUCGGACAAAGCUAAUAUGCAAACUAAAAAGGACCGGAGGGAGUACAGCUAUGUAGUGACAUGAAGCAAACCCAAUUUCCAUGUGCAUGUGACUUAUUUACAAAUACUGAAUGCGGCAUACUGUAUUUGACCCUUCACGUGAUUGCACUAGAUGUUUUAACACUAGGUUGAAGAUGUUGGUUUUGCUGCUUGAGCACAUGCACUGACAGGCAUAAGCAUCACGUGUGUAAACUGAAAAUUAAUUUUGUGCUCAUGCUAAAUUAGCAUAUACUCCUAACUUAUUAGGACAAUGAUACGAGGCUUCAACUCAAAAGGUAUACAUAUAAUGGGUAUUUUAUUUUGAUUGCAUUAAGAAUAUAAAUUAUAUAAAUACAUGGCAGUAAUCUAACAUAUUACUAAUUGUACCUUGCUGAAUUUGACGUUUUAUAUACUUCAGUGUCAGGUGGAAUCAAGAUUGAUCAUGAAAUCUUGGAAAGUAUAAACACGAUUCUUGCAUGUGUCUGAACUUACAAGCAAACUCCACUAGGUGCUAUGUAUAACGAUCUUUUACCAACCAGUUCAACGCGUAUUUUUUUUUAAAUGAGUUGGUAUAACAUCAAAAUCAGAAUAGUCAGAAGUUAUCCAAUGGAGGCAAUAUAAAUUAUUUAUUUCGGGCACGGAGUUUUUGUACAAGAGAAUAAAUGCUCCCUCAUGUGCUGUAAAAUCAAAACAUAUAGUCCUAAAGAUAGGAAAUUCAUAGUUAUUCAUGUCGUGUUCUAUUAAACUGCAUAAUGUCUGUUAUAUAAAAAAACCAUAUGAGCUGAAACGUCAUCAAGCUGAUGAAUUAAUUUUCUUUUUACAUACAUGCUUAGCUCGGAGAACAUAUAUAGGGUACUAAACUGUUUAAUUUCUCUAAUAUUAAAAAAAUAUGAGCUAAAACGUCAUGAAACUAAUGGAUUGAUUGUCCUUUGGCAUAUAUGAUGGGUCUUAUAAGCCACUACUCACCAUCGCUGGCCCUUUGUGAUCUGCAAGGGGGACUAAUCCAUUAGUUGCCAUACACUUUCCUUUCAAUAAAUUAAAAGCUGGAUCUCACUUAUUUUCAAUACAUGUCAGAAGAGAGAAUCUAAAAAUAACCAGGUCAACAUGAAAUACAAUAUCUUUUAUAACCAUCUUAAUGAUUUGUUGUUGUCGUUUUUCUUGGGUACCUAAGUUAAUGAAAUCAGAACCGUGAACAUUCUAUAAACAUGGAAUAUACAACCAUCACCAAUCCACUCGAAAGAAAUUGAUACCGAUGCCCAAACAAGGGGAUUUUCAAACCUAAAGUUCUUUUAAUUAAGAUAAAGCUAUACAAAAUUGCAUUGACAUAUCAUUAUUACAAUAUAUUAUGUGUUUAGGCAGAAUCACUAGCCCGUACAGGUUGCACGGGUUGACGACUAGUCUUCCUAAUGUGGUAGAGCACGUAUCCUACGCAGCAGAAACCAGAACGUUGGUGGUGCGAGCGAACCAGGGGCAUUGGAGCGCCAUGGCCGCCGGCAGACGCUCGCCGGGGACGCGUAUAAAACACUAAGACCUCGAACCCGUCGUGCGACAGGCGCUCCUCCCGGAACAGCUCGCGCAGUCGGCUGACUUCUCGGCGGGUCGACGGCAUCUGUCCGACGGCGGCGAGCGGCAUGGACCCCGAGCACGCGGGAGAUUCUGAGUAACUGGUGGGUCGCGCGGUGGUCAGGGAGCAGUCGCUCGCCGGCGAGCAGCUCCGCCAUGACGCAACCGAGCGACCGGGCAUCCACGAGCUCAUCGUAGUCCGGCUUCCCCAGGAGCAUCUCGGGGGCCAUGUACGAGAGCGUGCCGGCCAGGCCGCAGUCACGACGCCGUCGCGCUCGCCGUGGAAAUGGCCAGCCCGAGGUCUCUUAUCUUCACCACGCCCUUGCCGUCGACAAGGAUGUUCCCGGGCUUGAUGUCUCGCUGGAUGAUGUUCCCGCUCAGGAGCUGCCGCAUGACGCGGCGCGUCUCCUCCUCAACGAAUGGCUGGCGGCGACCACGCAGGACGCGACCAAGGCUCGGGGGGACGCGACCACGCAGGCCACCCAGGACGAGGCUGCACUGCCCUGCAAGCCGACAACGAAGGGGUGGCCGCGAGGUAGCACGCCUCACGCGGCAGGUCGCGGUGGAGCACGUGGGCGCGGCGCCUCCUCUUGCCGCUGNNNNNNNNNNNNNNNNNNNNNNNNNNNNNNNNNNNNNNNNNNNNNNNNNNNNNNNNNNNNNNNNNNNNNNNNNNNNNNNNNNNNNNNNNNNNNNNNNNNNNNNNNNNNNNNNNNNNNNNNNNNNNNNNNNNNNNNNNNNNNNNAAGAGCGGGUGAGGCAUUUCAGGGCGACGUCCACGCCGGUGGCGCGGUGGCGCACCUUGACGACAACACCGAAGCCACCCUUCCCGAGCACGCGCGUCAGCUCGUGGUCGUCGGUGCUCCCGUUGCGCGGAGUGGCCGUGCAUAUGCGCGCGCAACGCAUGAUACGCGUUUGCCGCUGUUAAAUCGGAUUCCUUCCGACUGGAGCGAAACGCGCUUCCGAAUUCGACCAGGAGCGGUGCUAUGCUCGCGUGCGUCCGACUGGAGUGCGGUCACCGGAAGAUAUAAGCUCAUCAAUUCUUCGUUUCCCAAUGCUCCAUCCCAUCCUCCNNNNNNNNNNNNNNNNNNNNNNNNNNNNNNNNNNNNNNNNNNNNNNNNNNNNNNNNNNNNNNNNNNNNNNNNNNNNNNNNNNNNNNNNNNNNNNNNNNNNNNNNNNNNNNNNNNNNUCCUCCCCACUUCCCCAUCUAUUCCCAAAUCGAUCACAGAUUCACAGGAGAUCAGGAGCUCGCCGAAAAGCCAUCGCCAUGGCCGGGCAGAUGCUUCGCCGGUGGAACACAUUCUACGUCGCCUUCGACGCCGUGGACGACGCCAUCGAGGCCGUCGACCCAGGCCAGUUUUCACGCCACGUGUUCCGGCGCGCGAGGGGAGACCUGUUGGGACGGCUCUGCAGCGCCGACGACGACGACGAGGCGGAGCGUCUCUGCGGGAUUCUCGACGACGUCAUGGCAGAGUCUCUCGAGACGCUCAGGCUGGUGCCGGAGGCGCCCAUCUCCAAGGAACUCGCCGAGGCUGUGCGCGCGCUGCGGGAGCACGACUCGGAGCGCGUCCGCCUCCUCGCGCGCGGCAUCGUGAGCGGAUGGGAGGCCUCCGUCCAGGACGACAUCGCCGAGGUCCCGCCACCCACGCCCAUGAACAAGCUGGAGAACGUCGCCAAGGUCACACCAGCCAUGCCCAUCAAGAAGCUGCCGCAGUCCAAGGCGGCCGUCGGCCAGCAUCAGGACAUCUCCGUCAACCCUAACGCGGAGACGAAGCGACCUCCCAAGAAGNNNNNNNNNNNNNNNNNNNNNNNNNNNNNNNNNNNNNNNNNNNNNNNNNNNNNNNNNNNNNNNNNNNNNNNNNNNNNNNNNNNNNNNNNNNNNNNNNNNNUGUUUUGUAUUUGUUCUUUCUUCUUCUUCUUCCCCUUCUCCCAUGGCUGGAUCCAUGUGUUUUUCUCCCAUGGCUGCUUCCUUGGUUAUGUGAGAUCUGUUUUGGGGGAGAUCUGUUCAGGGGGAGACGGGCUGGGUUAUUUCUAGGGGUUUGGCUCGAACUGACAACUGUCAACAGUCAUGUCGAUCUAAUUUGUUGAUUUGUUUUUUUCCUGUCAGGUGGAACAAGGAAAGGAGGACAACUGGGAGGAAUCGGGUUUGUUUGUUUGUUGGUUGACCCGUUUUCAACCCUACUCGUUUUGUACGGGAAAAUGGCAGCUUAACUCUUUAUUUUUAGUUUUGUUUAACAGAGAGCUGUCAACAGUCCAUUGGAGGGAAAAAUUGAAUGACAACUAAUUACAAAUCAAUCGAUUUACAAAUAGCCACUCUUUUUUUUGAAACAGAGGUAUAAACUCUGGCUCAUCAAUUAGUUAAGAAGAGAUAUAGAGUUUGUUACAGACAUCCAACAAAAUGGCAUGAUGAUUACUCGCAUACAGUGAAUGACCCUAGUUUUUUUGCCCCCGCAAUGCUCCAGAGCUUUGACUUUUCUAGGACGAUGUCGAGUAGAGCCGUCGGCGGAUCACUCUUAUUUUAGAAGACCUGGGAGUUUCGUUCGUUCCAGGUUGUCCAUGGGACGAGCAUUGUGAGGGAGGCCGUGGACUUUCGGUUUGGAACUGAUAUCCCGAUCUAGUUAUCCCUCCACUCCUUAACGGAGUCUUCCAAAUGCCAUGUUGAGGUGUUCAUAUAAUGUAGCCCAAGCUUCUCGACGAAUUUCAUAACCUAAUAGUAAAACAACACUCCUAGAAUAGAUGCCUUCCCGUACCAUGGCAUGGCACGUGGAAUAGUUGAUAGCUUGCUGUCGGAGACUGUAGUCGUUCAGCCUUUCAGGCGAUGCAGAUGCGAUGUCGUCGGUGCAGGUAAGCUUUUGGUGUAGAUGAUCCUGGUGUCAUGGAGCCUGCGUAAGAUAUAUCGCUAGUACCCUAAUGACGUGGACAUGGCGAUACAGCAUGUAGUCGAUGAGGUCGUGACGCGAGGCAGUGUGUAGUUGAUGAAGUCAUGACGCAAGUCUGGAGUAAAAGCUGCUUGUGUAGCCUGCGUGUUGUGCAUGGAGCGGAGUGUCCGACUAGCCGAUACGUGCCUAGUCAAUGGAGUCGCGCGCCACGCUGUCGCCGGUGGAGUCGCGCGCCACGCUGUCGCCUGUAUCAGGGCAUGAGCACUGGGGGCAGUGGUAGGUGCCGCCCCCGAUGCAUCCAGCUAGACACGGGAAAAUAAUUUUUUCAGUCACACCAUCAAAAGUUAAUGUCUUCUAUAUUAUGGGUCCCAAUGUCAUAAUCUUGGACAACACUAUGCAGCGGCGCCGCACCUGCGGCUUGCCGUGCGGCGGUCAGCUAAUUACCAUUCUAAUAAAAAAUAGAAUUACUUUACUAAUCAGAUUACUUUCAAAAAGCAUUGCAUGCUUCGGUCAAAUCCCUCUCUCUUCCUCAUGCAUGCAUACAUGCAUGGAAUGAUGUUAUCAAGAUUCCUUUGAUGUUUGAAAUUUAAAAAAGUUUUAUCUACAAAACUAUUAAUUCAAUCGAUGAUCCGCUUUCAUCAUUGAAUUUCUCGCGACGAGUUCUUCGAAACUAGAUCCCAUGUCGACAUGUUCUGUUAACUAUUUUUUCUGUUCAUACUUGCCACAUUUUUUGACCCACUUGCCAUAUUAUUAACCACUUACUUGCCUGAGAAAAAUAACUUAAUUGUCACUUUAUAAUGUUGAUUCGUACAAAAGCCUUGUAGCAAUUUUCGUUAUACAUGAUAUAAAAGCAUGUCAUAGGUUGUGUUUUCCAAUUUAAAUAUGCCAACUUGUCAUAUUUAUAUAUAACUUUACCAGAAAACUAUUUUGUGUGCUUGUUAGUUUAACUAUGCCGAGUUGUCAUAUUUACAAACGAUGAUAAAAAAAGACUUUUUGUGGUCACCGGUUUUAAAUAUGUUGAGUUGUCAUAUUUUUGCGCGCAAUCAUCUAAAAAAAGUUGUUUGUGCUUGCCAGUUUGAUUAUGUCGAGAUGUCAUAUUUAUAUACAAUUUCAAAAAAUAUGACGAUUAAGUUAUUUUUUAUCACACAAGUAAGUUCUUACUAAUAUGACAAGUAAGUGCAACAAAUGUGGUAAGUACGAGCAAAAAAAAAGUUGUCGAAACAGGUCGACAUGGGAUCUAAUUUUGAAGAUUUCGUCGAAACAAAGUCAAUGACGAAAACAGAUCAUCGAUCGAAUUAACGGUUUAAGAGAUAAAAGUUUUUGAAUUUCGGUCAUUUAGAGAGAAUCUGAUGACAUCAUUGCAUGCAUGUAUGAUAAAGAGAGACGAGUUUGGCUUCACUGUAGCACUGUGUUGUUCCGGGAUAAAAAAAAUUACAUCACUAAUCACGCGUCAAGAAAUCAUGUAUGGCUUUAAAAAAAAAUCAAAAAUGGGUGGAGAGCCGCCGCAUGGGAAAGCAGUUGUGCACACGCUACUGAUUAGAUUUUCUCCAUAAUCUUUUGCUCUCACAUUUUUUCAUCUUAUUCACUUUUUCUACCCAAGAGGCUGCCUCCUGUAAAAGACCCACUCACAUGUUUGAAGCACCAUCCGAACCUACCUGAACCACCCGAAGCUAUGGGGCAGCAUCCCUGGGGCUACCCGGUGUACAUGGCCUCAAAGCCACGCGUGCUGCAUACCCGAGCUUGUACAUGCACNNNNNNNNNNNNNNNNNNNNNNNNNNNNNNNNNNNNNNNNNNNNNNNNNNNNNNNNNNNNNNNNNNNNNNNNNNNNNNNNNNNNNNNNNNNNNNNNNNNNNNNNNNNNNNNNNNNNNNNNNNNNNNNNNNNNNNNNNNNNNNNNNNNNNNNNNNNNNNNNNNNNNNNNNNNNNNNNNNNNNNNNNNNNNNNNNNNNNNNNNNNNNNNNNNNNNNNNNNNNNNNNCUUCCGAUCACAUACAUCAAAACAUGCAUACGACCUACGAGCAACUGCAGUAAAGUAGUGCUAGUUACAACUCCAGUAUGCCGUGUUCGAGCCUUGACUAGAACCCUAAGGCCUAAGCCAUGCGAAGCUGCAUACUAAGCCAUGUGAAGCUGNNNNNNNNNNNNNNNNNNNNNNNNNNNNNNNNNNNNNNNNNNNNNNNNNNNNNNNNNNNNNNNNNNNNNNNNNNNNNNNNNNNNNNNNNNNNNNNNNNNNGAUAUUCGGUGGAAUCCGAGGGAGCAGAGCCUACCGGAAGGAAUGACAACAAUCAAUAUCAAGCAUAUGCAAUCAAGAUGAUGCAUGAGCAUGGCAUGAGGAUGCAAGGUGAUAAACUAAUAUAGAUAGCAUAUAUUAGGUUUGAAGUUGAUUUGAAUCAAAUUCAAUAUCACUUCAAACGAGGUAUUCUCGGAUACCGUUUUAAUUGAUUCGACCUGAUGCUCAGAUCAUCUUGAUGUUAACAUGCAUGGGAUGACAUGUUAAGUUGCUGGUUUGUAAUUAGAACAGUGUUUGAUAAUGUCAUUCAUAAAGAAAUUUAAAUAUUUUCCAUAUUCCAUUUAUAAAAUAUUUAUAAGAAUUGACUUAUUCAUUAAUCUACAUGUUUGGGUUCUGUAACUUUUUCAAACAUGACUGAAAAUAGCAUAUUCAGAUUCCUUGAAUUUUUCGGAUACUUUUUCAUAUAUAAAUUAUUUUCAUUGGAGUUACAGAUUAAUUUCUAUGAAUUUUUGAAGUUUUAAACAUUUUUGGAAUUAUUUCUAUACUGGAAAAUCUCUUUAUUGCGUCAGCCUGACAUCAGCGGGUCAGCCGACCUGUUCAGGUCAAACCUGACAGGGGGGACCCAUUGGUCAGCCUCUCUGGGGUUAAUCCCGCACUGACCAGCCCCUUAACUGAGUUGACUUGGCCUUGGGCCCACUGUCGGCGAGAGUUUAAGCCUCUAAACUACUGGAUUAGCUUGGCCACGUCGGCCCCCACCGGAAUAUGGCCGGCGGCGACCACGGGCGCGGCGGGGGGCUCGUCGGAGAGAGCCAAUCAGCGCUACGACCGUCGGUUUUGGGCGCAGAAUAGAGCUACAGGCAGCUAGUGAAACACCGCAUCUAAAUGGGGUGGAGCUGGACCCGGUGGUCACCGGAAUCCUUGCCGGCGAUGAGGUCAGCGGCGACUGUGGCUCGGGCGUCGACGAACGUGCCGAUGCAGGGGGCUAGCGAGCUGGGAGAGAGGCCCCAUGCCAUCUACAGAGCUCNNNNNNNNNNNNNNNNNNNNNNNNNNNNNNNNNNNNNNNNNNNNNNNNNNNNNNNNNNNNNNNNNNNNNNNNNNNNNNNNNNNNNNNNNNNNNNNNNNNNGAUAUUCGGUGGAAUCCGGGGGAGCGGAGCCUACCGGAAGGAAUGACAACAAUCAAUAUCAAGCAUAUGCAAUCAAGAUGAUGCAUGAGCAUGGCAUGAGGAUGCGAGGUGAUAAACUAAUAAAGAUAGCAUAUAUUAGGUUUGAAGUUGAUUUGAAUCAAAUUCAAUAUCACUUCAAACGAGGUAUUCUCGGAUACCGUUUUAAUUGAUUCGACCUGAUGCUCAGAUCAUCUUGAUGUUAACAUGCAUGGGAUGACAUGUUAAGUUGCUGGUUUGUAAUUAGAACAGUGUUUGAUCAUGUCACUCAUAAAGAAAUUUAAAUAUUUUCCAUAUUCCAUUUAUAAAAUAUUUAUAAGAAUUGACUUAUUCAUUAAUCUACGUGUUUGGGUUCUGUAACUUUUUCAAACAUGACUGAAAAUAGCAUAUUCAGAUUCCUUGAAUUUUUCUGUUACUUUUUCAUAUAUAAAUUAUUUUCAUUGGAGUUACAGAUUAAUUUCUAUGAAUUUUUGAAGUUUUAAACAUUUCUGGAAUUAUUUCUAUACUGGAAAAUCUCUGUAUUGCGUCAGCCUGACAUCAGCGGGUCAGCCGACCUAUUCAGGUCAAACCUGAUAGGGGGGACCCACUGGUCAGCCUCUCUGGGGUUAAUCCCGCGCUGACCAGCCCCUUAACUGAGUUGACUUGGCCUUGGGCCCACUGUCAGCGAGAGUUUAAGCCUCUAAACUACUGGAUUAGCUUGGCCACGUCGGCCCCCACUGGAAUAUGGCCGGCGGCGACCACGGGCACGGCGGAGGGCUCGCCGGAGAGAGCCAAACAGCGCUACGGCCGUCGGUUUUGGGCGCAGAAUAGAGCUACACGCAGCUAGUGAAACGCCGCAUCUAAAUGGGGCGGAGCUGGACCCGGUGAUCACCGGAAUCCUUGUCGGCGAUGAGGUCAGCGGCGACUGCGGCUCGUGCAUCGACGAAAGUGCCGAUGCAGGGGGCUAGCGAGCUAGGAGAGAGGCCCUAUGCCAUCUACAGAGCUCNNNNNNNNNNNNNNNNNNNNNNNNNNNNNNNNNNNNNNNNNNNNNNNNNNNNNNNNNNNNNNNNNNNNNNNNNNNNNNNNNNNNNNNNNNNNNNNNNNNNAUGCCAUCUACAGAGCUCGAGGAGCUCAUUCCUGAGCUCGGCCUCGCGAGCUGAGUACCACAACGACGGCAAUGACAUGGCCGGCGACGAGGUCCUUCGGGCUCCGACGGCUAACGUGGUUAAAGGAGGGGGAAGGCCUCGGGAAGAGGGGGAACAGGAAGAGGAGCUCACAGCGGAUCUUGUGAGGCUGCCGGUAGGGUCGGGGAGGACUGGGAGACAACGGAUCCAUGACGGCCGGAGCUUCGGGAAGAGAGAGAUCCGAGAGGGGAAGGGGAUCGAGAGGCCUAGGGGAGAGGAUAGAGCCGCGGGGAGGAGGAUAAGAAGGCACAGGCGUCGCGCUGGCGCUCCUGGAGGCCUCCAGCAGCGGGCAGGUAGGCAGGAGGUGGCCGGCUCGGCCGCCGUGCUCAUCUUCUCCCCUGCCUACUCGCAGGAGGAGGAAGAUGACCGGGGAGCCCCUGUUGGGCUGGGCCGGCGACAAAAAGAGGUAAGUCAUUCCUUUCUCUUAUUUCUUUUCUAUUUUGUUUGUGUUUUGCUAACUAUUGUUUUGCUAUUUAUUUCAGCUCCAAAAUGGUUUGUAAAAACUAAUUUGAACACCCCAGAAUAUUUGUGGGAAAGUAUCCAAUCAUUCCUAAAGUUUUCAACAUUUUUGAAAACUUAAAGUUUCUGAUUUCAAAUUUAAAACUUGAGAAUAAUAGCUUUUUGCAUUAAUUUAAAAUGCUUAAAGUGUCAAGAAAAAGGUUUUCUUCAUUGCUUAUAUACUUUCAUGAUUUAUCAGAAAGUUUGAACUUUUCUUGAGGCCAUUUUGGGUUCAUUGAUUUUAACUAGUUUGAGAUUUCCUUUAUUUAAAGAAGUGGCUAGGGUUUUGAGUUUUCCUUCACCACUUUCUUUGUUCUUGUUGAAAAUUUCUUAGAUGCAAUGCAAAGAAGACAUGAGCACAAAGCUAACUUGCUUAAGGUGUCAGGGAUGUGACAACNNNNNNNNNNNNNNNNNNNNNNNNNNNNNNNNNNNNNNNNNNNNNNNNNNNNNNNNNNNNNNNNNNNNNNNNNNNNNNNNNNNNNNNNNNNNNNNNNNNNGCCGGCGCAGGGGCGGUGAAGGGGGCUGGUGCGGUGGAGGUAGUUGGGGUGGGGAGCAGUGGUGGGAUCUGCUGCGCGAGGUGGAGGGGAGAGGUGAGUGAGCGCAGGAUUUGGAAAAAAAACAAAAAGCACGGUCUAUUUUGGAUAAAGCGUGCGUGAUAUUUGGCUAACUCCCGCGUUUUCUGUAUAUGGAGUAAGCCGGGUGCAAAAAUGUAAGCCGAGUGCCCUAUGACAAGUACACACGGCUNNNNNNNNNNNNNNNNNNNNNNNNNNNNNNNNNNNNNNNNNNNNNNNNNNNNNNNNNNNNNNNNNNNNNNNNNNNNNNNNNNNNNNNNNNNNNNNNNNNNNNNNNNNNNNNNNNNNNNNNNNNNNNNNNNACAAGUACACACGGCUUACACAUGAAAAUAUGUUCAUGUGUGUGCAAAUUCGUGUUUAACUUUUAUUUUGAAUAUCCGUGUUUAACUUCCAUGACAUUCAUCUGGUAAGGUAUUUAAUUACUUCAAAUUCACAUCAUAGUUUUUUUAUUGACAUGACGAAGAAAUACCUAGAGCAAUACUGUAAGGUUUUUAGAUUACAAUUGAGGCAUUACGUAUAGUGCCAAAUUUUAUUUCUUUUACAUACUUCGAGAAAAUAAAAAUGUUGGUUGCACUAAAUCUAAUCUUGAAACUUUGGCAGGAAUAAAAUCGGUUUCUUUAUGGCUCUAAACCAUAUGAUGUCCUAUGUGAUGUAUUUGNNNNNNNNNNNNNNNNNNNNNNNNNNNNNNNNNNNNNNNNNNNNNNNNNNNNNNNNNNNNNNNNNNNNNNNNNNNNNNNNNNNNNNNNNNNNNNNNNNNNUGUCGUAAAAGUUUGGGCACGUUCCGGGUGGGCCCACAACUAUUUGAGACAUUUAUUGCAUUUCUAGGGUUUUGGUGAUCUUCCUACCCCCCUCACACGGUCUAUAGCCGACAUGAGAGACAUUUCUGUGGUAAAAUGAAUAAAUAAAUAACAUUCAGGGAUUAAAGAUAAAUGCAAGGGAAAUCACUUUAGAACUUUUUUAAAUUUGAAAAUCUAUAAAAUAUAAACCGAGUGCUUUUGGAGAACACACGGCAUAUAGUAUGUAAGCCGUGUCCACUUACCAAGCACACGGCGUAUACUAUGUGUAAACCGUGUGUUCUUGUCAAGCACACGGCUUAUAGUGUGUCUAAGCCGUGUGUACUUGUCAAGCACACGGCUUAUAGUUCAAGCCGUGACGGCGCCGUCAAACACCGCUGUUGUAGAUACGUGGCACGUACCUUUACCGGGUGACACGCUAUAAACCGAGUGCUUUCUUCAUAUAUACCGUGUGAAAACUAUAAGCCGAGAGCUUUUUCUAGACACUCGGCUUAUAUGGUAGCAUAAGCCGAGUGCAUUGUUUUUACCGGGUGUUUUUGCUUGUGUACACGUCUUAUAUUCAAAUAAGCCGAGUAUCCGAAAAAAAGAACACGACUUAUAGCUUGCCACACGGUAAAACGUGAUUUUCCUGUAGUGUGGUGAUAGAAAGGAUAGACCAUGCAGUGUGAUGAUCGGUUCUCCAGGUCCAAGGAUAUGAACCUAAUCAGGUUUUUAAAGGAAACGGGAAUCCUGUACACUCGUAAAUAGUACUUCUAGACGAAAGACACCACGAUCUCGCAUUUUGUUGUUUGUAAUAUAGCCUUUUCUUCUUUGAAAUACCUCUCUGUUUAACAACCGAAGGCAAAAGCUAAUAUACACCAGUUCACUUCAAACCAUGACAUUCUUGUGAUUUUACUCAGUACAUUCCAGCUUUUUGUCUUUUUUGGCGGGUGAGUAAAAUCCAGCUUGCAAACCCAAGAUAAGAUUUAUCAUUUGUCGAACAUAUAUGUAGUUUUGUAUCCAGAAACAGCAAGAGGAGAAUUCUGUCAAUUUUGAUCAAUACUGUCAAGUCUGAAUGUGGACAGGAGAACUCAUCAAAACUGUAAAAGCAGUGCUAUGUUGUUUGCUUAGGUGUGUGCAGAAUUAUAAAUCGACACAAACUCAUCUUCCCCAACAUGACGAGCAAUUCCUUUCCAAAUUCUCUGCAGAUUUUUAACACUACAAAUCUCGCUAUCAAUUUAUCAACUUCUUCUGAUCACAUACUGAACAUGCAUACGAGCUACGAGCAACUGCAUUGCAGUGGUGUGCUAGUUACAACUGCAGUAUGGCAUGUUUCGAUCAGAAAGAUUACAUAUCAAAAGUGACCAGGACAUGCACUAGCUAUAGAUCAACUGUUUUCUUGACUAGAGCCCUAAGCCAUGUGAAGCUGCGUCCUGACCGCGAAGGUCUUCUUGACCAUGGAGCUGGUGCGCCUCCUGAUUGGCUGCAUCUGAGACGCGGCUGCAUCAUCUUGGGCGCCUGCACCAACUGCGUCCUGCGCCGCCGUUUCGCGUCCUCUGCUUCCUGGUAACCUUGGCGGAGCUUGCGCUUCGCGGCUUCCAUCUUGUCCUCCCAGCUGAGCACAGCACGGUCACCAUCGACGAAGCCGGAGGCAGGAUCGGACGCUGGCUUUUUGAUGAUUUUCACCGUCUUCUUGGCCAACGGCUCGCCCAUGAUCUUGGGAGGUCGCUUCGUCUCCGCGUUAGGGUUGGCGGAGACAUUCUGAUGCUGGCCGAUGGCCGCCUUGGACUGCGGCAGCUUCUUGAUGGGCAUGGCUGGUGUGACCUUGGCGACGUUCUCCAGCUUGUUCAUGGGCGUGGCUGGCGUGACCUCGGCGACGUCGUCCUGGACGGAGGCCUCCCACCCGCUCACGAUGCCGCGCGCGAGGAGGCGGACGCGCUCCGAGUCGUGCUCCCGCAGCGCGCGCACAGCCUCGGCGAGUUCCUUGGAGAUGGGCGCCUCCGGCACCAGCCUGAGCGUCUCGAGAGACUCUGCCAUGACGUCGUCGAGAAUCCCGCAGAGACGCUCCGCCUCGUCGUCGUCGGCGGCACUGCAGAGCUGUCCUACCAGGUCUCCCCUCGCGCGCCGGAACACGUGGCGUGAAAACUGGCCUGGGUCGGCGGCCUCGAUGGCGUCGUCCACGGCGUCGAAGGCGACGUAGAAGGUGUUCCACCGGCGGAGCAUCUGCCCAGCCAUGGCGGCGGCUUUUCCGCGAGCUCCUGUGAAUCUGUGAUCGAUUUGGGGGAUUGGAUGGGGAAGUGGGGAGGAG